UCCAGAUAACUCCAAGUUCUGACCUAAACGCACCUGUUAAAUAUCCACCCAACACCCAUGCACACUGUACUUCCCAGUCAUUCCGUCUUCUUCUCUCAGAUCUAAGCAAAAAGUCAGACGAACCACAACCACCGCCAUGGCAACCACCCUCACCACCGACCUCCGCCUCUCCAUCGCGCACCAAACCCGAUUCGGCCUCCGCCUCGCCUCCGCCAUCUCCUCCGACCCCGAGUCUGCUGCCACCAACGUUGCUUUCUCCCCGGUCUCGCUCCACGUCGCGCUCAGCCUCGUUGCUGCCGGCGCAAGGGGUGCCACCCGCGACCAGCUCGUAGCUGUACUCGGGGGCGGUGGUGCAGGAGAGGCCGAGGCACUCCAAUCACUUGCCGAGCAGGUGGUGCAGUUCGUGCUCGCCGACGCGUCCAUCAACUCCGGCCCGCGCAUCGCCUUCGCCAACGGUGUUUUCGUCGACGCGUCGCUCUCGCUCAAGCCAUCCUUCCAGGAGCUCGCCGUGUGCAACUACAAAUCUGAGGUCCAGUCCGUGGACUUCAAGACUAAGGUAAUCCCGUUCCUGCUAGUUCUUGACACGACAGCAGGGUUCUUCAUGAGUGAACUAUUUUUGCUACCCUAGUAGCAUAUUUAUUUACUUUUGCUUUUACGUGGCGGCAUGCCAUUGUUACUUUGGAGGUAGUAGUUCGUAGUGUUCCGGCAAAUAAAAAGUAGUAGUUCGUAGUGGGACGUGGGAUUUUCUCAGCCCGAUCUGAAACGAUCGAGCUCGGGUAAACGGUAAAGUAAAAAAAUAUAUUUUUAUGACAAACGUUGAGAAAAGUUCUAAGAUUUUGCAAAAUUUCAUCAUGAAAUCUAAUUUUUGGAUGGCGGCAUGCCAUUGUUAUUCUGGAAGUGCUAGUUAGUAAUGCUGAUCCAAUGGAGAGAGAUGGAUAUCCAUUGGCAAUCGGUAAACCUUUUAACCAUACUAGACGAUGCCCCGCGCAUUACGGCAGGAACCUUGUUAAAAAAGUACAAAUACAUGAUAGAAAACUAAAAUUAAUGCAAAAAUAUAAAACUUUCUUACAUGAUUUAAUUUCCUGUGAAAAAAUAAAGCAUGAGGUGGCAUGUUUUGCAUAAAGAGGUUAAUGAAAAAUGUAAUUUAUGACUCCAUGCAUGACUUGAUGAUGUGGCAUUUUUUGUAUGAGGAAGAAAAAUUAACUAAUGGGUUGUAGCUGUUUAAGAAUAGAGGAUUCUAGACUUGUGAUUCACUGUAUAAUUUCAUGCAAAUGUUUCUAACAAAAAUUGCUUGGAUACAGUUAUGAAGACAUAACAAUUUUGAUAUAUAUUUUUGCUGGUAAGAACUAGUAUUACUCAAGGAGCGUCCAAAUUAAUGUAUGUCUUACACAAAUCAACUGCCUCUGGGGGACCAGCUGAUCCCAAGAAGAAAACUGUUCUAUUCUAAAAUCUAGAAAACGUAGUUGAAAUAUCACUAACAAAAUUCUGGCCACGAUAAGCAUGAGCAAUACAAGUCGUACGACGAGACCUCAAAUGCUUAAUUUCACCAACCAAGGAUGCAAAGACAGAUAUGUCAAUGUUUUUAUCCAAGAUAUAGCUAUCUUGAUCUAUUUAGGUACAAUUAGGAAGGUAUAAUUAUCGUGUCAUUUUAGGUAUACAAAUAACAGUAAUGAUUUGUUUAGGGACAAUUAUGAAGAUCUAAGAUCAUGAUAUUUUAGAUCUAAUUAUGAAGAUCAAACAACAGUCAUCUUUUUAUAGGUAUACCUAUAGGGAUCUAAUGAACAUGAUAUGUUUAGUUACAGCUUUAUAAAUGUCAAAAGUUUGUGAUCCAUUAAUAAUCAAAGGAUCAACUAAAUCAAUAAUCGGACCAUUCUGGAAUAUCUACUCACAAAAAGAUCUCUCUUUUUCAGUUGUAUUGGGCUUCUAAUUUAGUAUAUAAUAGAAAUUUUGCCCGGAGGUACCCUAUCAAGUCAGUAUGAAUGCCUAGGUUUUUUUUUAGAAAAGGAGGUUCAACCCCCCGGCCUCUGCAUCAAUCGAUGCAUACGAUUAUCUUUAUUAAUAAUUCAAUAUAGGUCUAACAAGAACAUACAUCAAACCAUUCGAAGCCACCACUCACACCUACGAAACUCGAUAAUGUGGAGUGCUCUCACUCCCCAUAUUUAAAACCGGUGCCGUCACCGAUCCAUCCACAUAACGUAUCGGAACCCAUAGCCGGUCUAGCAGACCAAAAGUGUACACCACAUGCACAUGUUUUAGACGCCGCCAUCAUCAUCAGGCCACUGACCCAUCUUCAGGAGAGAGAUCUGUAUCAUCCUUGCCAGUCCGUCCAUCCGUCGACGCCACCACGGCUCGUCGAUCUAGACGUGAAGAUUCUGGAAGAUCUGUCGUGCGUAGCACCUGCCGACCAGGCAUGACAUAGCGUAGCACCUGUCGACCAUACAUGACUUGACAUCUCAACCGAAAGCUUCGUGCAAGAUGAUCGACUCCACCACGAUGCCAAACAACGCCACCGCCCUGCGCUCAUUCGUCCAAACACGAAGAUUCUGGAAGAACCGUCGUGCGUAGCACCUACCAACCAGGCAUGACUCAGCGUAGCACCUGUCGGCCAGGCAUGACUUGACAGUUCCACCAAAUCUUCGGGCCAGACGAAGCCGCUCCAUCUCCUGCCUCUGUCAUCCAGCGCUGUUCCACAAACGAUGCUCCCAAGAGAGAAACGGCACCGCAGUACGACCAUCGUCUGAUCUGGAAAGUCAGAUCUUAGGGUUUCCCCCGAAGCAGUGCCCACCACCAGAAACCGUCCACGACCCACAUAGUGCCCACCACUACUCAACCCUCAAGGCGACGCCUUCACGAAGGUCACGACGUCAAGGAUGCCGCCGCCGCCCACCGGAGUUAGGGUUUUCACCCGAGAGGCAAUAAGGUAGGAAGUGGAGGAGUAGAUGUAGACCGACGUCUCCAGGAAGAACAACGUCACCCUUGAGCGUCAUCGUCGGCGCGGCCGGCCAGGGCCGACCAAUGGGUUUUCCCUUAUCUGAAUCUCCUCCACCAGCUUCAUCCGCGUCCACGCUGGCAACGCCAGGAAACCGCAGGAGAGAAGCACAUCGCGGGUAUCUGGAUCAAUGAAGAUCCAAUCUGAACAGUGACGAGUACCACCACCCUGCGUUGGCCGACGGCGUCCGAGCGUCAGAUCGAAAAGGAUCUGACCCGAACUCGACGACGCACGCGACCACCAUGUCUUGCCCCUCCCACAGCCGCCACACCGCGCCGCAAGAACGAAGCCCUCGACGCGCUCCGCACGCCGCCGCUAGGAUCCACAUGCUACGCCGCCACACCGCGCGCUAGUCCGGUGCCUCCUCACGAAUGGCCGUCCCGCGCCAGCAAUGUCGCGUGAAGGGGAGAGGAUCCCCGCCGCCGCCCCUGCCGGCCAGGCUUCGCCCUGGCGGCGCUGCUGGCGGCGACGAGGAUGAAGGAGGAGCGAGGGAGGACCGCGGCGGCGGCUAAGGUUACCCCCUGGUCGCCCACGGGGGCGAAGGGAGGGGGUCACGGGGGCCGACGGGAGGCGGCCUAAAAUCGUGUGAUUCACCAAUUUGUGAGUGCGUUUAAAUGUUCUACCCGUUUUGAUGUAGGGUGCAUUUCAUGAUCUCUCAUGAUGAGAAGUUGUGUCAUUCCUAAUAUGGUUUUCAUUGACAUCAUGGAAUUCUGGUCUUGUACAAAAGUGUAUAAAAAUAAUCAACUAAUGGCUAUAAUAGUGAAAAGGUUAGUAUCCGUAUUAGGGGGGGGGGGGGUGCUUGUAGAUGUUUGUGUGAAUGGUCUUUAUACCAACAGUCGUGUGUAUAAAGAAAUAUCUACCUUUAGACCUAUUUUAUUACAUAAUAUUAUAAUUCUUUACUUUUAUCAUUCUCAAAACUGCAACUCAGUGAGAGCAGCGUUUCUGCUCUCGGUUUCAUCUUCACCCGCACGCACGAAAAAAAAACAAAUAAAAUAUUAGAAAUUUUUAAAAAAAAUCUAAUUUUGUGUUGUAGAAAUUUCAUAUGUGAGGAAUGCUCCAAAUUUCAACUUAAUUGAAUAUCUGAGCAACUCUCGGCAAAAAAGACAAAUCAGGUGUGUAAAAAAGGUUUACUCUUCACGAGUUGUUCUGAUCCGAUUUUCUUUUUUGCCGAAAGCUGCUCACAUGUCCAAAUAAGUUAAAAUUUAGAGUGGGCUUCACGCAUCAAAAUAUCUACCACACAAAAAAUUAAGGCUUUUGAAUUUUUAGUAUUUUGUUUUUAAUUUUUUUGUCAUUUGCAGAUGAGCCUCGGAGCAGAGUUGGAUUUUCGCAACUCGCUUAUGUAUUAUGGUUUCGUUAGUUUUGCUAAGUGUUAAUAUAUUUUGCAAUGGUCCAGGCUCCUGAAGCUGCUACUCAAGUGAAUACCUGGGUAAAGAAUGUCACCGCAGGUCUCAUCGAAGAGAUCCUCCCCGCGGGGUCUAUUGCCGAUACAACUAGACUAGUUCUUGGUAAUGCACUUUACUACAAAGGAAUUUGGACCAACAAGUUUGAUGAAUCUAAAACAAAGUAUGAUGAUUUCCACCUUCUUAAUGGGAGCACUGUUCAAACACCAUUCAUGUCUAGUACAAAUAAGCAGUACCUUUCAUAUUCGGACGACUUGAAGGUACUUAAGCUUCCAUACCAACAUGGUGGGGACAACAGGCAGUUCUCCAUGUACAUUCUUCUUCCUGAAGCACAUGACGGUCUCUCAAGCUUGGCACAAAAGUUGAGCACUGAACCAGAUUUUUUGGAGAACCGUAUCCCAACGGAGGAGGUUGAAGUCGGACAGUUCAUGCUCCCAAAGUUCAAGAUAUCUUUUGGAUUUGAAGCAAACAAAUUGCUCAAAACUUUGGGUCUUCAACUGCCAUUCAGUUUGGAGGCCAAUCUUUCGGAGAUGGUGAAUUCUCCCAUGGGCCUAUACAUCUCAUCUGUUUUUCACAAAACGUUUGUUGAAGUAGACGAAGAAGGAACUAAGGCAGGAGCAGCAACCGGCGAUGUGAUUGUAGACCGGUCACUACCCAUAAGGAUGGAUUUCGUCGCUAAUCACCCUUUCCUCUUCCUUAUUCGAGAAGACAUCGCCGGUGUAGUGCUCUUCAUUGGUCAUGUUGCCAAUCCCGCUGUGUCUUCAUAGUAUGUUUACCCUAAAUCAGUGUCUUGUAAGUUAAUUACCUAAACUGUUACAUGUAAGUGAUGGGUUUCAACAUUCAAUAAUGCUGCCGGUAUAAUAAAUUAAAUAAAUUGUUUUUAAGAAAUGUCUUGAUUGUUGUGUGCAAGGUUUGCACGAGGGCAAUGAUCCAUGAUUGAUGUGGAGCUUUAUGCUUUGAGGUACUUAAUACAUGAGGUAAGCAUGCUUAUCAAAUGAUUCUUGAUGAAGUAUGAAAACCAUUUUUGCAUAAUUUGGGAGCUCAAUCUAAGUUGGUUAGAAAAUCAUUGAUUCGAGCAUGGUCGGGAUCCUGCUGUGGGCCCAUGAGGAUACUACCAAACUGGGUAUAGAGAAUGUGCUAAGUUUAUAGUAAAAAAAUGCUAAGUUAAGUCCGCGCAUGAUGUGCUUGGGAAAGAGCUGGGAUGCAAAUUCAAACUCAUAUGAAAAAUGCCAUUGAUGAUGCUCAACCACCAAACAUACUAGAAUAAUUUCUAAUUCGUGAAAGAUGCGAUGAAAUCUUCCCAUGAAUUCCUGAAACUGAUGGGUCGGGGAACUACUAGUCCUACUAUAAACUUACUCUGAUGUCACCGGAUAUCUGCGUUAUUAACUUCUACACAACUAGCGGCAAGUUAGGCCUUCACAAUGCGCUCUUGUUUCACCGGUACUGCUGGGCCUAAUAAUAGAUUUGCGUCACUUAACAGGAGAAACAUGAAGGAAAAUCUAGCCUUGCCAAGCGACUACAUGUUGUUUCCUUUUCACUUGGUGACACUGCAGAAUUCUUGUAUGGCGAUNNNNNNNNNNNNNNNNNNNNNNNNNNNNNNNNNNNNNNNNNNNNNNNNNNNNNNNNNNNNNNNNNNNNNNNNNNNNNNNNNNNNNNNNNNNNNNNNNNNNUGUUGGAUUCGUUAGAAUCACAUGGUGAUGUGAACUAGAUUAUUGACUCUAGUGCAAGUGGGAGACUGUUGGAAAUAUGCCCUAGAGGCAAUAAUAAAUUAGUUAUUCUUAUAUUUCUUUGUUCAUGAUAAUCGUUUAUUAUCCAUGCUAUAAUUGUAUUGAUUGGAAACACAAUACUUGUGUGGAUACAUAGACAAAACACUGUCCCUAGUAAGCCUCUAGUUGACUAGCUCGUUGAUCAAAGAUGACCAAGGUUUCCUGGCGAUAGGCAAGUGUUGUUACUUGAUAACGGGAUCACAUCAUUAGGAGAAUCAUGUGAUGGACUAGACCCAAACUAAUAGACGUAGCAUCUUGAUCGUGUCAUUUUGUUGCUACUGUUUUCUGCGUGUCAAGUAUUUGUUCCUAUGACCAUGAGAUCAUAUAACUCACUGACACCGGAGGAAUGCUUUGUGUGUAUCAAACGUCGCAAUGUAACUGGGUGACUAUAAAGAUGCUCUACAGGUAUCUCCGAAGGUGUUAGUUGAGUUAGUAUGGAUCGAGACAGGGAUUUGUCACUCCGUGUGACGGAGAGGUAUCUCGGGGCCCACUCGGUAAUACAACAUCACACACAAGCCUUGCAAGCAAUGUGACUUAGUGUAAGUUGCGCGAUCUUGUAUUACGGAACGAGUAAAGAGACUUGCCGGUAAACGAGAUUGAAAUAGGUAUGCGGAUACUGACGAUCGAAUCUCGGGCAAGUAACAUACCGAAGGACAAAGGGAAUGACAUACGGGAUUAUAUGAAUCCUUGGCACUGAGGUUCAAACGAUAAGAUCUUCGUAGAAUAUGUAGGAUCCAAUAUGGGCAUCCAGGUCCCGCUAUUGGAUAUUGACCGAGGAGUCUCUCGGGUCAUGUCUACAUUGUUCUCGAACCCGUAGGGUCUGCACACUUAAGGUUCGACGUUGUUUUAAGUUCUCGAACCCGCAGGAUCUGCAUACUUAAGGUUCGACGUUGUUUUAUGCGUAUUUGAGUUAUAUGGUUGGUUACCGAAUGUUGUUCGGAGUCCCGGAUGAGAUCACGGACGUCACGAGGGUUUCCGGAAUGGUCCGGAAACGAAGAUUGAUAUAUAGGAUGACCUCAUUUGAUUACCGGAAGGUUUUCGGAGUUACCGGGAAUGUACCGGGAAUGACGAAUGGGUUCCGGGAGUUAACCGGGGGGGGGGGGGANNNNNNNNNNNNNNNNNNNNNNNNNNNNNNNNNNNNNNNNNNGUUAACCGGGGGGGGGGGGCAACCCACCCCGGGGAAGCCCAUAGGCCUUGGGGGUGGCACACCAGCCCUUAGUGGGCUGGUGGGACAGCCCAAGAAGGCCCUAUGCGCCAUAGGAAGAAAAUCAAAGAGAAAAGAAAAAAAGGAGGAGGUGGGAAAGGAAAGAAGGACUCCACCCACCAAACCAAGUAGGACUCGGUUUGGGGGGGGAGACCUUCCCCCUUUGGCUCGGCCGACCCCCUUGGGGCUCCUUGAGCCCCAAGGCAAGGCCCCCCCUCUCCCACCUAUAUAUACGGAGGUUUUAGGGCUGAUUUGAGACGACUUUUCCACGGCAGCCCGACCACAUACCUCCACGGUUUUUCCUCUAGAUCGCGUUUCUGCGGAGCUCGGGCGGAGCCCUGCUGAGACAAGGUCAUCACCAACUCCCGGAGCGCCGUCGCGCUGCCGGAGAACUCUUCUACCUCUCCGUCNNNNNNNNNNNNNNNNNNNNNNNNNNNNNNNNNNNNNNNNNNNNNNNNNNNNNNNNNNNNNNNNNNNNNNNNNNNNNNNNNNNNNNNNNNNNNNNNNNNNGUUCAGCACACGUACAGCUCGACGAUGAUCUCGGCCUUCUUGAUCCAGCAAGAGAGACGGAGAGGUAGAAAACUUCUCCGGCAGCGUGACGGCGCUCCAGAGGUUGGUGAUGACCUUGUCUCAGAAGGGCUCCACCCGAGCUCCGCAGAAACGCGAUCUAGAGGAAAAACCGUGGAGGUAUGUGGUCGGGCUGUCGUGGAAAAGUCGUCUCAAAUCAGCCCUAAAACCUCUGUAUAUAUAGGUGGGAGAGGGGGGGCCUUGCCUUGGGGCUCAAGGAGCCCCAAGGGGGUCGGCCGAGCCAAAGGGGGAAGGUCUCCCCCCCCAAACCGAGUCCUACUUGGUUUGGUGGGUGGAGUCCUUCUUUCCUUUCCCACCUCCUCCUUUUUUUCUUUUCUCUUUGAUUUUCUUCCUAUGGCGCAUAGGGCCUUCUUGGGCUGUCCCACCAGCCCACUAAGGGCUGGUGUGCCACCCCCAAGGCCUAUGGGCUUCCCCGGGGUGGGUUGCCCCCCCCCCCCGGUUAACUCCCGGAACCCAUUCGUCAUUCCCGGUACAUUCCCGGUAACUCCGAAAACCUUCCGGUAAUCAAAUGAGGUCAUCCUAUAUAUCAAUCUUCGUUUCCGGACCAUUCCGGAAACCCUCGUGACGUCCGUGAUCUCAUCCGGGACUCCGAACAACAUUCUAUAACCAACCAUAUAACUCAAAUACGCAUAAAACAACGUCGAACCUUAAGUGUGCAGACCCUACGGGUUCGAGAACAAUGUAGACAUGACCCGAGAGACUCCUCGGUCAAUAUCCAAUAGCGGGACCUGGAUGCCCAUAUUGGAUCCUACAUAUUCUACGAAGAUCUUAUCGUUUGAACNNNNNNNNNNNNNNNNNNNNNNNNNNNNNNNNNNNNNNNNNNNNNNNNNNNNNNNNNNNNNNNNNNNNNNNNNNNNNNNNNNNNNNNNNNNNNNNNNNNNCAAUUAUAGCAUGAACAAUAGACGAUUAUCAUGAACAAGGAAAUAUGGUAAUAACCAUUUUACUAUUGCCUCUAGGGCAUAUUUCCAACAGUCUCCCACUUGCACUAGAUUCAAUAAUCUAGUUACAUUGUGAUGUAUCGAACACCCAUAGCAUUAUGGUGUUGAUCAUGUUUUGCUCGAGGAAGAGGUUUAGUCAACGGGUCUGCAACAUUCAGAUCCGUGUGUACUUUACAAAUAUCUAUUACUCCACUCUGGACAUGGUCCUGGAUGGAGUUGUAGCGGCGUUUGAUGUGCUUGGUCUUCCGGUGAAAAAUGGGCUCCUUGGCUAUGGCAAUGGCCCCAGUGUUAUCACAGAAGAGUGUCAUUGGACCCGACGCACUUGGAACCACUCCAAGGUCGGUGAUGAGCUCAUUCAUCCAAAUUCCUUCAUGAGCCACUUCUGAAGCAGCUAUGUACUCCGCUUCACAUGUAGAUGCUGCCACGACUUCUUGCUUGCUGCUGCACCAGCUCACUACCCCACCAUUCAAAACAUACAUGUAUCCGAUCUGUGACUUAGAGUCAUCCGGAUCUGUGUCGAAGCUAGCAUUGACGUAACCCUUUACGAUGAGAUCUUCAUCACCUCCAUAAACGAGAAACAUCUCCUUAGUCCUCUUCAAGUACUUAAGGAUAUUCUAGACCGUUGUCCAGUGUUCCAGACCGGGAUCACUUUGGUACCUCCCUACCAAACUUAUGGCAAGGUUUAUAUCACGUAUGGUACACAACAUGGCAUAAAUUAGAGAGCCUACGGCUGAAGCAUAGGGGACAGUACUCAUCUUCUCUCUAUCUGCUGCCGUGGUCGGUGACUGAGUCUUACUCAAUCUCAUACCUUGCAAAACUGGCAAGAACCCCUUCUUUGAGUUUUCCAUAUUGAACUUGUUCAAUAUCUUGUCAAGGUAUGUACUUUGCGAAAGACCUAUGAGGCGUCUCGAUCUAUCUCUAUAGAUCUUGAUGCCUAAUAUGUAUGCAGCUUCUCCAAGGUCCUUCAUCGAAAAACUCUUGUUCAAAUAGGUCUUUAUGCUCUCCAACAUCUCUAUAUUAUUCCCCAUCAAUAAUAUGUCAUCCACAUACAGCAUGAGGAAAGCUACAGAGCUCCCACUCACUUUCUUGUACAAACAGACUUCUCCAUAAACCUGUAUGAACCCAAACGCUUUAAUCACCUUAUUAAAGCGAAUGUUCCAACUCCCAGAUGCUUGCACCAGCCCAUAGAUGGAGCGCUGGAGCUUGCACACUUUGUUAGCACCCUUAGGGUCGACAAAACCUUCUGGUUGCAUCAUAUACAACUCUUCCUUAAGAUUCCCGUUAAGGAACGCUGUUUUGACGUCCAUUUGCCAAAUUUCAUAAUCAUGAAAAGCGGCAAUUGCUAGCAUGAUUCGGACUGACUUCAGCUUCGCUACGUGAGAGAAAGUCUCUUCGUAGUCAACUCCUUGAAUUUGUCGAAAAUCCUUUGCGACAAGUCGAGCUUUAUAAACGGUUACAUUACCAUUUGCAUGAGUCUUCUUCUUGAAGAUCCAUUUAUUUUCUAUGGCUCGCCGAUCAUCGGGCAAGUCCACCAAAGUCCAUACUUUGUUCUCAUACAUGGAUCCUAUCUCGUAUUUCGUAGCCUCAAGCCAUUUGUUGGAAUCCGGGCCCCCCAUUGCUUCUUCAUAGUUCAAAGGUUCACCAUUGUCUAACAAUAUGAUUUCCAUCACAGGGUUGCCGUACCACUCUGGUGCGCAGCGUACCGUUGUCGACCUUCGUGGUUCAGUAGCAACUUGAUCCGAAGCUUCAUGAUCAUCAUUAACUUCCUCUUCAGUUGGUGUAGGCACCACAGGAACAAUUUCCCGUGCUACGCUACUCUCCGGUUCGAGAGGGGGUGUAAUUACCUCAUCAAGUUCUACUUUCCUCCCACUUACUUCUUUCGAGAGAAACUCUUUCUCUAGAAAGGAUCCGUUCUUUGCAAUGAAUACAUAAUAGUUUCCUUAGGGUAUCCAAUGAAUACAUAUUUCUCCGCUUUGGGUUCGAGCUUCUCUGGUUGAAGUUUCUUCACAUAAGCAUCGCAGCCCCAAACUUUAAGAAAUGACAACUUAGGUUUCUUGCCAAACCAUAGUUCAUAUGGUGUUGUCUCAACGGAUUUAGACGGUGCCCUAUUUAAAGUGAAUGCUGCAGUUUCUAAUGCGUAUCCCCAAAAUGACGGCGGUAAGUCGGUAAGAGACAUCAUAGAUCGUACCAUAUCUAAUAAAGUGUGAUUACGACGUUCAGACACUCUGUUGCGUUGCGGUGUGCCAGGCGACGUCAGUUGUGAAACGUUUCCACACUUCCUUAGGUGUGUGCCAAACUCGUGACUCAAAUAUUCUCCUCCACGAUCAGAUCAUAGACACUUAUUUUUUCUAUCACGUUGAUUUUCAACCUCACUCUGAAAUUCCUUGAACUUUUCAAACGUCUCAGAUUUGUGCUUCAUCAAGUAGAUAUACCCAUACCUACUCAUAUCAUCGAUGAGAGUGAGAACAUAACGGUAGCCACCGCGAGCUUCAACGUUCAUUGGACCACACACAUCAGUACGUAUUAUUUCCAAUAAGUCGGUCGCUCUCUCCAUUAUUCCUAAGAAUGGUGUCUUAGUCAUCUUGCCCAUGAGGCACGGCUCGCAUGUGUCAAAUGAUUCAAAGUCAAGAGACUCCAAUAGUCCAUCAGUAUCGAGCUUCUUCAUGCACUUAACACCGAUAUGACCAAGGCGGCAGUGCCACAAGUAUGUGGGGCUAUCAUUAUCAACUUUACAUCUUUUGGUACUCACACUAUGAAUAUGUGUAACAUCACGAUCUAGAUUCAUCAAGAAUAAACCAUUCACCAGCGGAGCAUGACCAUAAAACAUAUCACUCAUAUAAAUAGAACAACCAUUAUUCUCUGACUUAAAUGAGUAGCCGUCUUGCAUUAAGCAAGACCCUGAUACAAUAUUCAUGCUCAAAGCUAGUACUAAAUAACAAUUAUUAAGGUUUAAAACUAAUCUCGACGGUAGAUGUAGAGGCAGCGUGCCGAGGGCGAUCCCAUCGACCUUGGAUCCAUUCCCGACGUGCACCAUCACCUCGUCCUUGGCUAGUCUCCGCUUAUUCCGCAGGUCCUACUUUGAGUUGCAAAUUUGAGCAACAACACCGGUAUCAAAUACCUAGGAGCUACUACGAGCGCUGGUAAGAUACACAUCAAUAACAUGUAUAUCACAUAUACCUUUAACGUUGCCGGCCUUCUUGUCCGCUAAGUACUUGGGGCAGUUCCGCUUCUAGUGACCUUCUCCCUUGCAAUAGAAGCACUCAGUCUCAGUCUUGGGUCCAUUCUUUUUCUUCUAACCAGGCAUCUUGCUUACCGGGCGCGGCAACGGCUUUGCCGUCUGUCUUGAAGUUCUUCUUACCCUUGCCUUUCUUGAAACUGGUGGUCUUAUUGACCAUCAACACUUGAUGCUCUUUCUUGAUUUCUACUUCUGCAGACUUGAGCAUCGAGUACAACUCGGGGAUGGUCUUUUCCAUCCCUUGCAUGUUGUAGUUCAGCACAAAACCUUUGUAGCUUGGUGGGAGAGACUGGAAGAUUCUUUCAAUUAUAGCGUCAUCCGGAAGUUCGACUCCAAGUGAAGUUAGACGACCGUGUAACCCACACAUUUUGAGUAUGUGCUCAUUGACAGAACUGUUCUCCUUCAUCUUACAGCUAAAGAACUUGUCAGAGACUUCAUAUCUCUCGACACGGGCAUGAGCUUGAAGAACUAGUUUCAGCUCUUGGAACAUCUCAUAUGCACCGUGUUGCUCAAAACGCCUUUGGAGCCCCUUUUCCAAACUGUAUAACAUGCCACACCUAACCGCAGAGUAGUCAUCACUCCGCGUUUGCCAGACGUUCAGAAUGUCCUGGGCUGCUGUAGGAGCAGGAGGGUCACCUAGCGGCGCAUGAAGGACAUAAGCCUUUUUAGCUGCUUCAAGAAUGAGCUUCAAGUUGCGGACCGAGUCCGCAUAGUUGCUACCAUCAUCUUUCAGCUUGUUUGUCUCUAGGAAUGCGUUGAAAUUGAGGUUGACGUUGGCCAUCUACAAUAUUUAUAAAGACAACUUUUAGACUAAUUUCAUGACAAUUAAGUUCAUUUAAUCAAAUUAAUUAUGAACUCCCACUUAAAUCGACAUCCCUCUAGUCAUCUAAGUGAUACAUGAUCCAUGUUGACUAACCCGUGUUCGAUCAUCACGUGAGACGGACUAAUCGUCAUGGUGAGCAACUUCAUGCUGAUUGUAUUCAACCAUACGACUCAUGUUCGACCUUUCGGUCUCUUGUAUUCGAGGUCAUGUCUAUACAUGCUAAGCUCGUCGAGUCAACCUAAGUGUUUCGCGUGUGUAAAUCUGGCUUACACCCGUUGUAUGCGAACGUUAGAAUCUAUCACACCCGAUCAUCACAUGGUGCUUCGAGACAACGAUCCUUCGCAACGGUGCACACUUAGGGGAAUACGUUCUCGAAAUUUUUAAGAGGGGUCAUCUUAUUAUUCUACCGUCGUUCUAAGCAAUAAGAUGAAAAACAUGAUAAACAUCACAUGCAAUCAUAUAGUGACAUGAUAUGGCCAUUAUCAUCUUUUCUCUUUCGAUCUCCAUCUUCAGGCAUCGCAUGAUCAUCAUUGUCACCGGUGUGACACCAUGAUCUCCAUCAUCAUGUUCUCCAUCAUCGUGUCUCCGUGAAGUCGUCACGCGAAAUACUACUACCACUACUACUAUAGCUAUCCGUUAGCAAUGAAGUAAAAGUAGUAAACACAUGGAGUUCCAUCUCAUACAAUAAAUUAAGACAACUCCUAUGGCUCCUGCCGGUUGUCAUACUCAUCAACAUGCAAGUCGUGAAUCCUAUUACAAUAACAUGAUCAUCUCAUACAUCACACAUGCAACAUCACAACUUUGGCCAUAUCACAUCACAUGUCAAACCCUGCAAAAACAAGUUAGACAUCCUCUAAUUGUUGUUGCAAGUUUAACGUGGCUGAUUUGGGUUUCUAGCAAGAACGCCUUCUUACCUACGUGACAGCCACAACGAUGAUAUGCCAAAGAUAUUUACCCUUCAUAAGGACCCUUUUCAUCAAAUCCAAUCCGACUAGAGUGGGAGAGACAGACACCCGCUAGCCACCUUUAUGCACGGUGUGCAUGUCUGUCGGUGGAACCUGUCUCACGUAAGCAUACCUGUAAGGUCGGUCCGGGCCACUUCAUCCCACAAUACCGUCGGAAAAGAAUAAGACUAGUAGUGGCAAGCAAUUGACAAAUCAUCGCCCACAACCUUUUGUGUUCUACUCGUGCAUAGAAUCUACGAAUAGAAAACCUGGCUCGGAUGCCACUGUUGGGUAACGUAGCAUAAAUUCAAAAUUUUCCUAUGCCAUAUUCAGAUCUUCCUAUGGAGAGACCAGCAACAAGAGAGGGGUGAGUGCAUCUUCAUACCUUUGAAGAUCGCUAAGCGGAAGCGUUGCAAGAACGCGGUUGAUGGAGUCGUACUCGCGGUGAUUCAGAUCGCGGUGUGAUUUCGAUCUAGUGCCGAACCACGGCACCUUCGCGUUCAACACACGUGCAACCCGGUGACGUCUCCAGCACCUUGAUCCAGCAAGGAGGAGGGAGAGGUGAUACAUCUCCAACGUAUCUAUAAUUUUUGAUGGUUUCAUGCAAUUAUCUUGUCAAACUUUGGAUGUUUUGCAUGCCUUUUUUUGGGACUAACUUAUUAAAUCAGUGCCAAGUGCCAGUUCAUGUUUUUCCAUGUUUUUGACCCCUUUCAGAGGAGAUUUUGAAAUGAAGUCCAAACGGAAGAAAAUCCCCAAAAAGAUUAUUUCUCGAACGAAAGAAGAUCGGAGGACUUGGGAACCAAGCCAGAAGAGCGCCAGGGGCCCCACAAGCCCCCACCCCACAGCCAGGGGGCUGCGCCAUGCAGGCUUGUGGGCACCCUGGAGGUCCCCUGACCUAGAUCUUGUGCCUAUAUAUUCCCAAAUAUUCCCAAAAAAAUCAAGAGAGGAUCGCAAUCGCUUUUCAGCCGCCGCAAGCUUCUGUCUCCGCAAGGUCCCAUCUGGGGCACGUCCUCGUGCCCUGCCGGAGGGAGGAUUAGGACAUGGAAGGCUUCUCCAUCAACACCAUGACCUCUCCGAUGAUGCGUGAGUAGUUCACCAUAGACCUACGGGUCCAUAGCUAGUAACUAGAUGGCUUCUUCUCUAUCUUGGAUCUUCAAUACAAAGUUCUCCAUGAUCUUCAUGGAGAUCUAUCCGAUGUAAUCUUCUUUUGCGGUGUGUUUGUCGAUAUCCGAUGAAUUGUGGAUUUAUGAUCAGAUUAUCUAUGAAUCUUAUUUGAGUUUCUUCUGAUCUCUCUUAUGCAUGAUUUCAUAUCCUUGUAAUUCUCUUCGAGUUGUGGGUUUAGUUUGGCCAACUAGAUCUAUGAUUCUUGCAAUGGGAGAAAUGCUUGGUUUUGGGUUCAUACCGUGCGGUGACCUCACCCAGUGACAGAAGGGGUAGCGAGGCACGCAUCAUGUUGUUGCCAUCAAGGGUUAAAAGAUGGGAUUUUCAUCAUUGGUUUGAGAUUAUCCCUCUACAUCAUGUCAUCUUGCUUAAGGCGUUACUCUAUUCGUCAUGAACUCAAUACACUAGAUGCAUGUUGGAUAGCGGUCGAUGUGUGGAGUAAUAGUAGUAGAUGCAGAAAGUAUCGGUCUACUUGUCCCGGACGUGAUGCAUAUAUGUAUGAUCAUUGCCUUAGAUACCGUCAUGACUUUGCGCGGUUCUAUCAAUUGCUCGACAGUAAUUUGUUCACCCACCGUAAUACUUGCUAUUUUGAGAGAAGCCUCUAGUGAACACUAUGGCCCCCAGCGUCUACUUCACACCAUAUUUUCAGCCUUACACUUUUUACUUUGUUGCACUUUCCGCCUUCAGAUCUCACUUUGCAAACAAUCUUGAAGGGAUUGACAACCACUUUGAAGCGUUGGGUGCAAGCUUGUUUGUGUUUGCGCAGGUAAUCUGGACUUGACGAGACCCUCCUUCUGGAUCGAUACCUUGGUUCUCAAACUGAGGGAAAUACUUACUGCUCCCGUGCUGCAUCACCCUUUCCUCUUCAAGGGAAAAACCAACACAAGCCCAAUCUGUGUCAACGUGUCAAUUUCUGGCGCUGUUGUUUGAGAAGUAGCAGAAGGAUUUUUGGCGCCGUUGCCGGGGAGGAAGAUCAAGUCAAGAACUCAUCCAAGUAAGUGUCGCAAACUCAUCUCUUGCAUUUACUUUGUUUGCCAGUUGCCUCUCGUUUUCCUCUCCCCCACUUCACCAAUUCGCCUUUUUUGUUCGCCCUUUUCGUUCGCCCUUUUUCUCGCCUGCUUUUGUUUGCUUGCGUGCUUGCUUGUCUGCUAAAGCCUGAAUGGCCCCACUAAGGGAUUUUGAUGCUCACUUUGCGAAGUUAGAAGAGAUUGAAACUAGUGUCAAAGGCUUCAUGUCUACACAGUUUGAAUAUAAUAGUUACUUCCGUAGAGAGCUGAAGGAGCAAAAUUCUUUUCUGGCUUUUAUGAGUAGAGAAGUUGAUGAUAUGGCCAAAGAAUUCCUUGCGUUGAAUUCCUAGUUCGCUCAUCUUGAAAAGCUAGUGGGCCAGAUUUCUGAUAAGCAAGCUACUUUAGUCAAUAAAAUGGCUGCUAAACCCGAAACUCGUGAUGAGAAUCACGAAGAUCUUAAAGUGCUUGGUGUGACUCCCAUUGAAUCUUUGUUUUCUUGUGUCAAACCUAAUGAUUAUGGGGCUGGAUAUGAAUCCACUUUGGUUGAAAAGUGCCCCAAUGAUUCGGAGUCCAUCUACCUUGAUGCUAAAAGCAUUAAAAGUGGAGUAGAAGACGUUAAAACUUUGAGUAGUAAUGAAAUUACUACCGUGGAUUUCAAGGAAUUCAAUUAUGAUAGUUGCUCCUUGAUUGAAUGCAUUUUUUUGAUGCAAUCCAUGUUGAACUCUCCACACGCUUAUAGCCAAAACAAAGCCUUUACCGAUCAUAUCGUCGAAGCUAUGAUAAAAGCUCUUGAAGAGAAACUUGAAUUGGAAGUCUCUAUCCCUAGAAAGCUUAAUGAUGAGUGGGAACCUACCAUCAAAAUCAAAAUCAAAAACUAUGAGUGCAAUGCUUUGUGUGAUUUGGGUGCUAGUGUUUCUGCAAUUCCAAAGUCUUUAUGUGAUGUUCUCGGUUUCAAUGAGAUUGAAGAGUGUUCUCUUAAUUUGUGUCUUGCUGAUUCUACUGUCAAGGAACCCAUGGGAAGGAUCAAUGAUGUUCUUAUUAUUGCAAAUAGGAACUAUGUACCCGUGGAUUUCAUUGUGCUUGACAUUGAUUGCAAUCCUACAUGCCCUAUUAUUCUUGGUAGACCUUUCGUAAGGACUAUUGGUGCUAUCAUCGAUAUGAAGGAAGGGAAUAUUAGAUUUCAAUUUCCUUUAAGGAAGGGCAUGGAACACUUUCCUAGAAAGAAAAUAAGAUUGCCUUAUGAAUCCAUGAUGAGGGCCACUUAUGGUUUGAGCACCAAAGACGACUAUACGUGAUUCUAUCGCUUCUAUGCCUAGCUAAGGGCGUUAAACAAUACCGCUUGUUGGGAGGCAACCCAAUGAAUUUAUCCUUUUCUUUCUGUUUUGUUGCGUCCACACUUUCAUAAUUCUGUUGUGAUUGUGUUUUUUGUGUUUCUUUUUUUGUUUGAGCCAAGCAAAACCUUUAUGACUAGUCUUGGUAAUGGUUGUUUGAUCCUACUGAAAAAAAACAGAAACUUUUCGCUCACGAGAUGAUUUUUCAUUUUUAUUCAGAAAGGGAUUUUGAGUUGAUUCUUUUUGAUGCUGAUUGAUAUGCUUUUUCCCCAGACCGUCGUAAUUUUUUAGAUGUUUUGAGGUACCAGAAGUAUACGAAGUAUACAGAUUGCUACAGACUGGUCUGUUUUUGACAGAUUCUGUUUUUUUGUUGGGUUGGUUGCUUGUUUUGAUGAAAUUAUGGUUAGUAUCGGGGGUUACUAGCCAUGGGAAAGUGAGAAUACAGUAGCUCAUCAUCAAUAUAGAUAGAAUUGAAGUUUGCUACAGUAAGAAAAGAAGGGGUAGUUUGUUUUCUUGUACUAAUACUAUCACAAGUUUAUGUUUAAGUUUUGUGUUGUGAAGUUUUCAAGUUUUGGGUGAUGUUCUCAUGGACAAAGAGAUAAGGAGUGGAAAGAUCUCAAGCUUGGGUAUGCCCAAGGCACCCCAAGCCAAAUUCAAGGACACCAAAAAGCCUAAGCUUGGGGAUGCGCCGGGAAGGCAUCCCCUCUUUCGUCUUCAAUCCAUCGGUAACAUUACUUGGAGCUAUAUUUUUAUUCACCACAUGAUAUGUGUUUUGCUUGGAGCGUCUUGUAUCUUAGGAGUCUUUUCUUUUUGUUGUGUCACAAUCAUCAUUGCUGCACACCUUUUUGAGGGAGAGAUGCACUCAUUGUGAUUUUUCUAGAAUGCUCAAUGUGCUUCACUUAUAUCUUUUAAGCUAGAUACUUUUGCUCUUGUGCUUCACUUAUAUCUUUAGAGCACGGCGGUGCAUGAUUUGGUAGUUGGCUUAUGCUAUGAAAGUAGUCCCAUGUGCUAGGUACCCAAAGAGGAUGCAAAAACCUCCAUCUUCAUGUGCAUUGAGUAGAAAGAGAAGUUUCGAUUCCUCUCAAUUAGUUUUGAGACAUGGAUUCGGUAAUAUUAAGAGUUAUGUUAGUAGGCUGUUGUGAAUCUAGAGAUAGUUUUGUUGGAGUUAGUGAUUCCCGUAGCAUGCACGUAUGGUGAACCACUAUGUUAGGAAGUCGGAGCAUAAUUGAUCUAUUGAUUGUCAUCCUUUGUGUUGAGGUCGGGAUAGUGCGAUGGUUUACACCUACCAACCCUUCCCCUCGGAGUAUGCGUUUAGCACUUUGUUUCGAUUACUAACAAAAACUUUUGCAACAAGUAUGUGAGUUCUUUAUGACUAAUGUUGAGUCCAUGGUAUAGAUGCACUUCCACCUUCCACCAUUGCUAGCCUCUCUAGCGCCGCGCAAUUCUCGUCGGUGCACAAACCCACCAAAUUCCUUCCUCAAAACAGCCACCAUACCUACCUACUAUGGCAUUUUCAUAGCCAUUCCGAGAUAUAUUGCCAUGCAACUACCACCGUUCCAUCUCAUGACUUGUGGCAUCACUCUCAUAUUGCCAUUGCAUGAUCAUACUAGAUCGUUGCACAUCCCGGUACACUGCCGGAGGCAUUUCCUAUGGAGUCAUCAUCAUUGUGAUCUUCGAGCUGUGAGUAAAUAAAAGUGUGAUGAUCAUCAUUAUUAGAGCAUUGUCCCAUGUGAGGAAAUAAAAAAAGAGGCCAAAGAGCCAAAAAAAGAGAGGCCUAAGAGCCCAAAUAAAAAAAGGAGAGCAAAAGAGAGAAGGGACAAUGCUACUAUCUUUCUCCACACUUGUGCUUCAUGAUAGCACCAUGUUCUUCAUGAUUGAGAGAUUCUUGCUUUGUCACUACCAUAUUCUAGUGGGAAUCUUCACUAUAUAACUUGGCUUGUAUAUUCCAAUGAUGGGCUUCCUCAAAAUUGCCCUAGGUCUUCGUGAGCAAGCAAGUUGGAUGCACACCCACUAGUUUCCCUUUUGAGCUUUCAUAUACCUAUAGCUCUAGUGCAUAUCUUGUAUGGCAAUCCCUACUCAUUCACAUUAUUAUCUAUUAAUGGGCAUCUCCAUAGCCUAUUGAUGCGCCGAGUCAAUGUGACCAUCUCCUCCCUUUUUGUCUCACAACCACCACCGCACUCUAUUUCACCUAUAGUGCUAUAUCCAUGGCUCACGCUCAUGUAUUGUGUGAUAGUUAUAAAAAGUUUGAGAAAGUAAGAGUGCGAAAACAAUUACUUGGCCACUUCCGGGGUUGUGCAUGAUUUACAUUAGUUGUGUGAGGAUGAUGGAGCAUAGCCUGACUAUAUGAUUUUGUAGGGAUAACUUUCUUUGGCCUUGUUAUUUCGAAAGUUCAUGAUUACUUUGCUAGUUUGCUUGAAGUAUUACUGUUUUCAUGUCAAUAGCAAACUAUUGUUUUGAAUCUUACGGAUCUGAACAUUCAUGCCACAUGAAAGAAGUUGCAAAGGACAACUAUGCUAGGUAGCAUUCCACAUCAAAAAUUCACUCUCUAUCACUUUCCUACUCGAGGACGAGCAGGAGUUAAGCUUUGGGAUGCUUGAUACGUCUCCAUCGUAUCUAUAAUUUUUGAUGGUUUCAUGCUAUUAUCUUGUCAAACUUUGGAUGUUUUGCAUGCCUUUUAUUUAUUUUUGGGACUAACUUAUUAACUCAGUGCCAAGUGCCAGUUCCUGUGUUUUUCCAUGUUUUUGACCCCUUUCAAAGGAGAUUUUGAACGGAGUCCAAACGGAAGAAAAUCCCCGAAAAUAUUUUUUCUGAAAUGGAAGAAGAUCGGAGGACUUGGGAGCCCAGCCAGAAGAGCCCCAGGGUCCCCACAAGCCCCCACCCCGCGGCCAGGGGGGCCGCGCCAUGCAGGCUUGUGGGCCCCCUAGAGGUCCCCUGACCUAGAUCUUGCGCCUAUAUAUUCCCAAAUAUUCCCAAAAAAAUCAAGAGAGGUCGCAAUCGCUUUUCCGCCGCCGCAAGGUUCUUUCUCCGCAAGAUCCCAUCUGGGGCACGUCCUAGUGCCCUGCCGGAGGGGGGAUUCAGACAUGGAAGGCUUCUCCAUUAACACCAUGACCUCUCCAAUGAUGCGUGAGUAGUUCACCAUAGACAUACGGGUCCAUAGGUAGUAACUAGAUGGCUUCUUCUAUCUCUUGGAUCUUCAAUACAAAGUUCUCCAUGAUCUUCAUGGAGAUCUAUUCGAUGUAAUCUUCUUUUGCGGUGUGUUUGUCAAGAUCCGAUGAAUUGUGGAUUUAUGAUCAGAUUAUCUAUGAAUCGUAUUUGAGUUUCUUCUGAUCUCUCUUAUGCAUGAUUUCAUAUCCUUGUAAUUCUCUUCGAGUUGUGGGUUUUGUUUGGCCAACUAGAUCUAUGAUUCUUGCAAUGGGAGAAGUGCCUGGUUUUGGAUUCAUACAGUGCGGUGACCUCACCCAGUGACAGAAGGGGUAGCGAGGCACGCAUCGUGUUGUUGCCAUCAACGGUAAAAAGAUGGGGUUUUCAUCAUUGGUUUGAGAUUAUCCCUCUACAUCAUGUCAUCUUGCUUAAGGCGUUACUCUGUUCGUCAUGAACUCAAUACACUAGAUGCAUGUUGGAUAGCGGUCGCUGUGUGGAGUAAUAGUAGUAGAUGCAGAAAGUAUCGGUCUACUUGUCUCAGACGUGAUGCCUAUAUGUAUGAUCAUUGCCUUAGAUAUUGUCAUGACUUUGCGCGGUUCUAUCAAUUGCUCGACUGUAAUUUGUUCACUCACCGUAAUACUUGCUAUUCUGAGAGAAGCCUCUAGUGAACACUAUGGCCCCGAGGGUCUACUUCACACCAUAUUUUCAGCCUUACACUUUUUACUUCGUUGCACUUUCCGCCUUCAGAUCCCACUUUCCAAACAAUCUUGAAGGUAUUGACAACCCCUUUGAAGCGUUGGAUGCAAGCUUGUUUGUGUUUGCGCAGGUACUCUGGACUUGAAGAGACCCUCCUUCUGGAUCGAUACCUUGGUUCUCAAACUGAGGGAAAUACUUACUGCUCCUGUGCUGCAUCACCCUUUCCUCUUGAAGGGAAAAACCAACGCAAGCCCAAUCUCCGUCAACGUGUCAAUUUCUGGCGAUGUUGUUUGAGAAGUAGCAAGAGGUUAGGGAAGAUCUCCGGCAGCACGCCGGCAUGGUGUCGAUGGAGAGACGAGGUCUCCUGGCAGGGCUUCACCAAGCACCGUGGGAGAGGAGGAAGGAGGGAAGUAGGUCUGCGCCGAGGGAGAUUGAAAACCGUGUGCAAAACAGCCCCAAAACCCUCUCUAUAUAUAGGAGGAGGGGAGGGGGUGUGCCAUCCCUAGGGUUCCCACCCUAGGUGGUGCUGCAGCCCCCCCAGAUGAGAGGUGCGGUGACCAGGGCAGGGAGAGGGGGUGGCGCACCCCUAGGUGGGCCUUAGGCCCACCAACGCCUAGGGUUUGCCCCCUCUCUACCUCCUGCGCCUUGGGCCUCUAAGUGGGAGGCGCACCAGCCCACUUUGGGUUGGUUGCCCUCCACCUUUUGGUCCAUGCUACCUCUUGGGGCUGGUGGCCCCUCGCGGUGGACCCCCGGAACAUUUCCGGUGGUCCCGUGGUCCCGGUACGCUACCGGUGACGCCCGAAACAUUUCCGGUGUCCAAAACCACCCAUCCUAUAUAUCAAUCUUUACCUCCGGACAGUUCUGGAGCUCCUCGUGAUGUACGAGAUCUCAUCCGGGACUUGGUACAUCCUUUUGUAAUCUCGUAUAACAAUUCCCUAUAACCCUAGCGUUAUCGAACCUUAAGUGUGUAGACCCUACGGGUUCGGGAAGCAUGCAGACAUGACCGAGACACUCUCCGUCCAAUAACCAUCAGCGGGAUCUGGAUACCCAUGGUGGAUCCCACAUGCUCCACAAUGAUCUCAUCGGAUGAACCACGAUGUCAAGGAUUCAACCAACCCCGUAUACAAUUCCCUUUGUCUGUCGGUAUAUAACUUGCCCGAGAUUCGAUCGUCGGUAUACCUAUACCUUGUUCAAUCUCGUUAUCGGUAAGUCCCUUUACUCGUUCCGUAGCACGUCAUCCUGUGACUAACUCCUUAGUCACAUUGAGCUCAUGAUUAUGUUCUACUGAGUGGGCCCAGAGAUACCUCUCCGUCACACGGAGUGACAAAUCCCGAUCUCGAUUCGUACCAACCCAACAGAUCCUUUCGGAGGUACCCGUAGUGCACCUUUAUAGUCACCCACUUACGUUGUGACGUUUGAUACACCAAAAGCACUCCUACGGUAUCCGGGAGUUGCACAAUCUCACGGUCGAAGGAAAAGAUACUUGACAUUAGAAAAGCAUUAGCAUACGAACAAUACGAUCUAGUGCUAGGCUUAGGAUUGGGUCUUGUCCAUCACAUCAUUCUCCCAAUGAUGUGAUCCCGUUAUCAAUGACAUCUAAUGCCCAUGAUCAGGAAACCAUGAUCAUCUAUUGAUCAACGAGCUAGCCAACUAGAGGCUUGUUAGGGACACAUCAUGAUCCAUUUAUUCACACAUGUAUUACUGUUUCCUGUUAAUACAAUUAUAGCAUGAACAAGGAAAUAUGAUAAUAACCAUUUUAUUAUUGCUUCUAGGACAUAUUUCCAAGAGUGAGCAACUGGUGGCCCCCCUCCGAUGGCUUUUCGCUCCAACAUUUUUUAUUUAUUUCAUAAAAAAACUUCAUAAAGUUUCUUUGAGUUUCGAGAACUUUUAUUUCUGCACAAAAACAACAUCAUGGCAGUUCUGCUAAAAACAACAUCGGUCCGAAUUAGUUUCAUUCAAAUCAUGCAAAUUUCAGUCUAAAACAAAAACAAAAGUGUUUGAAAAAGUAGAUACAUUGCAGACGUAUCACUGAUUCUAACAAAUUCAGUGCUUACAAGUAUGUUGAUAUUCCUACUAUCUUCUUUUGAAUUACCCGUCGGGGAACGGAAAAUGUUAGAUUUAAUCGAUCGCAUGUUCUAUGGCAAUGCUAUGAGAUCAAAAUCAAGUAUAGGUUGGGCAAAUGAGACAUAGUUUGUAGGCCAAAAGACCAAGGGGGUCUAGGGAUUGCGAACCUCGAUGCAAAAAAACCAAGUGCAUGCUUAGUAAAUGGCUAUACAAGUUAUUUGUUGAGAACGAGGGUAUGUUGGUCCAACUGUUUCAUAGUAACUACUUGUAAUCCAGGACCCUAUCAUAGGUUAUGACACAACCGAAUGAUUCCUCAUUCCAGAAGGGGCUAAUGAGAUGAAAGUAGCCUUUUUCAAAAGAACAAAACGUUGGGAAUGGAACCACGACUGGCUAGGAAAGCGCCACUAGCCACACAAUAUCCAACCUUCUACAACAUCAUGCAACGUAAGGAAGCUUACAUAAGUACAAUAUUAGAGUCGGUGGCUUUAAACAUUUAGUUCCUAAGGUCCUUGGUCGGGGACAGAUGGGAUAUAUGGCUACAUCUUGUCCGCUGUUGAUGGAAUUUAACUUAUCUGAUGAGACUGAUAAACUUCAAUGGAAACUCUGAGUGUCUUGGGUUUUCUUGGUGAAGUCCAUGUAUCCACAUUAAGGGCUCCUUUGAUUCAAAGGAAUUCUAUAGGAUUUUUAGAGAAUUGAAAUCCUUAGGAAUUUUUCCUACAUUGGUCCUUUGAUUCAUAGGAUUGGAUCCAUAGGAUUUUUUCCUAUGAAAUCUUUUGUACUACAUUUCAUAGGAAAUCUAACAUCCAUUUCAACCUCUUUUUACAAUUUCUUUGUUUUUCCUAUGGCAUCAAACACUCCUUGUUAAUCAUAUAGGAUUCAAAUGGACAUGCCUCUCCAACCCUCUACUUUUCCUAUUCCCGUGUUUUCAAAAUCCCGCGAAUCAAAGAGGCCCUAAGUUUACUCUGAUUCAACCCCGAAAUCACUUCAUUUUUGAAAGAUUAAAGUGCUUCUAAGAAUAAAAAUAUUUAUGCAGUUUGUCCACGAGGAAGUGAUUUUGGCUAGAAACAACUUGGCAAAGCGCAGAUAACAAGUAAUAGACGAUGCUGGUUUCGUGAUCAAGAUGAAAAUAUCGAACAUCUUUUCCUCAAAUGCCGACUAGCCAAGCUUUGUUCUAAUAUUCAGGACCGGCCUUGAGAGCAGCUGCCAUUGACUGGGAAAAGUUGGGGGCUAAAAUCUCCGCCCGUCAUCGUUCACCAUAAACUUGAGGAGAAAAGGAGAGAAACGCUGGAGCCAAAGGCGGUGCUACUCGUAGUUUUUGUAUUAUAAUCAACAUCAUAAAAAUGAGUUCGCUGCACUAAUAUGCUUUUGUUUCACUAUAAAUUUUAUCUACAUAUAUAAAAAUGAGGCCGGGCAGUGAAAAUCUCUCCCAUUUUUAUGAGUGAAAAUCUCUCCCAUUUUUAGAACGGAAAAUGUCUCUCGAGGCGAAAGGAGGGGCGAUCUCGGAGGCGGCCAAAGGGGCUCUCUCCUUGGUCGCCCGAGAGUUGAUCAGAGGGACCUGUCCGGCCACCCAUGGAUCGGUGGAGUCCGUUCAGCUGGGCGGCGCGUCUUUCAUCUCAGCGAAAGGAGGGGCGAUCUCGGAGGUGGCCAACGGGGCUCUCUCCCUAGUCGUCGGAGAGCCGAUCGGAGGGACCUGUCCGGGCACCCAUGGAUUGCUGGAGUCCGCUCAGCUGGGCGGCGCGUCUUCCAUCUCAGAAGAUGGGAUUUGCAGGGAUACGCAUCGGACCUGGACGGUGCUGUUCGUGGACACCUCCUCCGAGGAACAUGUGCAGAGAUCGGGUUCCAUCAAACUCCAUCAGGUAUCUCGCUGGAUCACUAUUAGGGAUGAAGAGAAUGAUAUUCUUGCAGGCCGUUACUUGCAAGAUGAGGAAGCUCCGACGAUCGGACAAACCAUGGACAUAGAUGGAUUCAAGAUCAUAGUUGAAGACCUCCAUGAGGCUCAUCAGGUGAGUACUGACUUUAUUUCUAGUUCCCCUCGGUUUGGAGGGCGAUUUUGGGUCCUGGCAGAUCAGGAAUCGGAGGAUGAGGUCGAACAGAUCGAUGUCGAGGUUUUUGAGCUUUCUACUGCUGCAGCUUAUGCUGUUCGUUUCGAGAAUGCCAUCAGACAGCAGGUAAAAAUUACAGCUAGGGGGCCGAAGAAGGCUGUGUUGAAGAACACCGUUCGUCCUUGGAUCGGUCCCUUACCAGCGGUGCAGCAUGCACCGAUUACGCUUUCUGAUUUCCUACCGGCGGCGAGAUGGUGCCUAGCCAAGGGAAGGAAGAAGAAGAACUUGGCAGGUCCGAAAAUUGUGCCGACAACGAUGACCGAGCCGAGUUCUACGCGAUCUGAUCACAGGGAGGCUUUUUUCAAAUCGGUAACGGAGGCUGCUGGGUUUGUUUUUGAACCGGCCAAAGUUAACUCUAUUGGGUAUAAGGCCCAGGAGGAAAGCCCGGUCGACAUGUCCAAGUCGGACAGCGUCUGUUCUGGGUAUAAGGCCCAGGCGGCAGCUACGUUGACGACACAUAAUCCGGAGCGAUCGAUUGAUUCGGGUGAUUUGCAUCACGGGAACUCUACCGCCUGCACGAGGACGCCUGAACCUAGGGUUCCUCGACAUCAGCAUCGUGGCUUCCCAUCGCUCGAGUCUGGACGAGCUGCGCGGGUGCCGCCUCCUCCUUCCACUGCUGUGAGCAUGGCAGGCAGGGGUAAUGCCAAACAUCCACUGACUGCGGAGCCGCGAACUGCUGGGCAGGGGGAUCGCCCCAACGCAAAGCAGCCUGCUGCUGCUCAUAUGGCGCGGCCUCCAGGGGCAGCACAGGCAGGACAACAGCUCGGCCCUCCCAGUCAGGUUGGGGAACUUGUAGAUCAGCGGCCACAGCAGCGCAGUAGAUGGGACAGUGACGGCAGCAAUGCUUAUGGAGAGGGCCAGUUUCGAGGGCCAGCAUAUGGUGGUGGCCAUGGGCAUGCAGCUCCCAACUAUGGACCUAACCAGAAUUUCACUGCACCGCCCGGGAAUUUUGUGCCAGGGACGUCGGGACCUCCUCAUCACAAGAGAGGGGGGUUUCGACAGAAUUGGGCAGGCAGAGGUGGAGGUAGGAAGCCAAGGCCUAAUCUGCCUAUUCAAGAACCACCGGCAGAUGAUGCUGUUAGGGCGGCUGUUCCAGAGAAGGUGGCGGCUGACCCGGUUUUACCUGAACAAGUUCAUGUGGUUGCAAAAGGAGAGGGAGGUGAUAGGCCCUCCAAGUGGGCACGCAAGAAAGAGAAGAUGGUCUGUUAUCGCUGCAGUGAGACGGGGCAUUUUGUGUCUGAGUGCAAGGCUGAGCUCUGUGUGAUCUGCCUUAAGCCGACGCAUGGUGAGGCUAAGUGUCCUCUGACAGUUGGGAGUAUGCCGGUUGUGACCAUCUAUGGCGUAUCCAGUCAAGAACUUAUGUUCUUUGAGUCACCGGCGGCAACGACAACUCUUCACACCCCGGAUGCUGGUUUCACGGCACGAUGACGGUGACUCGGGGAGUCUUGACUGUGGAGCUGGUGGUGCAACAACUUAAGGAACUUGUUUCAGCAACUUUUCGGUGGGAACCGGUUUUGAUUUCAGACAAUGUCUUCAAGGUCGUUUUUCCUACCAAGGAGGACUUAGCUCGCUUGCUAAAGUUUGGUAUGUGCAGAGUGGCUAGCACAAGCUGUGUUCUUGAGUUUGAUGCCUGGAAGAGUGAGGAGCCGAAGGGCGUUCCUCUACCUUAGAUAUGGGUCCACUUUGCAGGAGCUCCUACCAGGGCUAUGAAUGACUUUAGCGUUGUAUGGAGUUUGGGUUCACUUAUUGGUAAGACAGAGGAGGUGGACAUGGUGUUCACUAGAGCCAAAGGUAUCGCCAGGAUGCUUGUGAGUGUGCUAGAUAUUCAGAUUAUUCCAGAUGAGGUCAUUUGGGCUUUUGAGGGGAUGCGAUACACGCUCUAGUUGGAAAUAGAGAGUCCUACUCUUUUUGAUUCACCAGUCAUCGAUAAAGAUACAAAUAUGACCGAUGGAGAUGAUGCAGAUGGAGCAAAGGACAAUGGUAGUUUUUUUGAGCCAGGGCCUACUUUUUCUUCUCAGAAGAAUUCACAACCCACUCAGGAUUUGCAACACUCAGGCACUGGUACAAAUCACGGGGUUUCUGCGUCCGAUCUGGAUUUGCGGUUUGGUUCUUUUAAACCUGCAUCGGCGCCGGCAAAACUCGGUCGGUCCUUAUACUCGUCUUCGGGUAUGCAGACGAGACUUCCGAGGUUCACAGGAAAGAAUCCUCGGAACAACAUAGGUAUUCUGCAGUCUACCAAUAUGUUGCAACCGGUUUCUUUGGAGGCAUAUUUGGCAGAUGCAAAGUUUGUUAGUAACCGAACUGAGAAUAUGCAGUUGGAUUCGGAGGCUCAUCCAGAGAGGUGUCUUAGCACGGUUGAAGAUGCUCCAGUGAGGGAGUUAGGUGCUGGGGAGGUUACCGCUACCAUGCAUGAUGUUCGUGCUCAGGAGGUUCCCACUACCGUGCAUGGUGCCGCUAGUUCCGACAAUAUGGCUGCACCAGCACCAGUGCACUACUAGCGUGCUGCGACUGAGAUGAGGGACGUUGGGGCUUGCACGGGUGGGGAACCACGUACGCCCGACGCGUCCUGCAUGGCGGUGCAAGUACACCAUGCAACACAGACGCGGGUCCAUGCUGCGCCUCACCCCAAUACCGUGGCAGGCAGCCAGGUACACGUUGAUGCACACGCUUGCAUGACCGUUUCUGAGCCGGAAGUUGGAGGUCAGUUGGGAGCAGCGUUGAGGGAAGCCAAUAAUGGAGAGGCGACUUUGGCUACAGAUGGUGUUCUCACUGGGAUAGUUCGACAUGCACUGGAAGAGGGUGUUUAUGUUUCUGCGAGACGGCCUAUUGAGAUCUCAGUUGAUGAAGUCAUAACGUUUGGUGGAGUUCCAGAUCCGAUGGGUCCAGACAGACGGUCUAGUAAUCGGGUACAAUCCCAGCCGGACGUGGAUGACUUGCAGAUUGGCCGUGCUAUGAGGGCGGCUAGAAUGAAGGAUGUUAAGAAUUCGACAGGUAUGUCCAUUAAUACUGAGCACUCUAUUCUUCAUUUUUCACCGCAAGACAUCAUAGAUAAUGCCACCUCUGUGGGGGUCAUCUUGGGUAGUAAUAGCAAAGAAAUUUCUAAAUCUAUUAAUGACUUAUUGGACUUAGAAGUUGAUAGGGCUUUGGAUAUUAUUCGAACCAUAGCUGCCAUUAAACCAAUGAAUGAUGAGGCAAUAUCUAACAUGGGAGGUCUGAAUUUACUAUGUGAUAAUUUAGUCUCAACUGAAGAUAGAGAGGAGCCUCAGGAGGGUUUGCAGAUAGAUCAGCAGCCCAAUGCUAUACUACAUGAGGGUGCCGAAAAUACGACUGGUUAUAUGGACCAGGAAUAUGUUUCUGAAAAACCAAAACGCACUUAUAAAAGGAGGGUCUAUACUGUCUCUGCUAUUCGUAGGAGUGCUAGAUUCAAGACUGCUAAAAAAUUCCAUGAUGAAAUAUGAAAGGAAUGUUUUGGAACAGCAGAGGUCUGAGAGACUUGGCUAAAAUCCGGUUCCUUGCAGAAACAACAUUACAUCAUAGUCUUGACUUCAUCGCGUUGAUGGAGACGGGUCGGGAUAAUUUUACAUCGCAAUUUCUAAAUUCUCUUUCGGGAGGUGUUGAAUUUGAUUGACAUUGUCUACCACCAAGAGGAAGAUCCGGAGGGAUCUUACUUGGUGUCCGGUGUCAUACACUCCAAGUCCGAGAAGUAGUGCUUGGGGAGUUCUCGGUCAAAUUUCGAAUUAGAACCAAGGAAGAUGGGUUCCAAUGGGCUCUGGUUGCGGUUUAUGGGGCUGCACAAACAGAGCAAAAGCCAGCUUUUCUGGCUGAUUUGGUUCGAAUUUGCGAUGACACUUUACCACUAGUGGUGGGUGGUGAUUUUAAUAUUAUCAGGAGAGCUGAUGAGAAGAAGAACGAUAACUUUGAUGGCAGAUGGCCUUUUAUGUUCAACACAAUUAUAGAGAGUCUCAACCUACGGGAGAUCAACCUCUCAGGUAGGAAAUUUACUCGGGACAAUUCUCUACCUAAUCAAACUUUUGAAAAAUUGGAUAGGGUACUUACGAGUGUUGACUGGGAACAGAAGUUCCCGUUAGUCACAGUAUGUGCACUUCAGAGGGCGAUAUCUGACCAUACACCUCUCCUACUAGAUUCUGGCCAGGCCACUCACAAAGGGAAAAGUGAUGCUUUCUCUUUUGAAUCAAGUUGGUUCACACGUGAGGGGUUUGUCGACAUGAUCUCUAGGGAAUGGAACAAGCAUGCGGGUGGGAACUCUAGUGUUGAUGUCUGGCAGAAUAAGAUACGUCAUCUUAGACAAUUCCUGAGAGGUUGGGCUAAGAAUAUAUCUGGGGUCUAUCGAGAUGAGCAAGAUAGACUGCUCAAAUGUAUAGAUACUCUAGAUCGUCAGGCAGAAACUCGCAUGCUGGAUGACCAAGAGAGGGCCUUAAAGUACGAGGCUGAACAAAGAGUCCGGAUCCUUCUUCGAGAAGAGGAAAUGAAAUGGGCUGUCAGAGCAAAAGUUAGGGCAAUUGUCCAGGGGGAUGAUAACACUAAAUUUUUCCAUUUGAUUGCAAACGGCAAACAUCGGAAAAAGAGGAUUAUACAACUUGAGCAAGAUGAGGGUACAAUAGUAGGUCAUGAGAAUCUAAAGUUGUACAUCACAAACUAUUAUAAAAGGUUGUUUGGUGCUACGACUCAUAGUUUUGUGUCUAUGGAUGAGCAUCAGACCGCGGAUAUUCCUCAGAUCGGACAAGCCGAUAAUGAGUGUUUAUCCGCUCCAUUCCUAGAGAAAGAGGUGCUAUAGGCGAUUCAGGGUAUGAAAAACGGUAAAGCGCCGGGGCCAGAUGGGUUCCCGUCUGAGUUUUAUAAGAGAUGUUGGCAUAUUAUUAAGAAAGAUCUCAUGGCAAUGUUUCACGAUUUGUUCUCCGGGCACUUACAACUCUUUCAUCUUAAUUUUGGUACCAUCACGCUGCUACCCAAAAAAGAGGGUGCUUCGCGUAUUGAACAAUUUUGCCCCAUAUGUCUGCUUAAUGUUAGCUUCAAAAUCUUCACAAAGGUAGGGACAGAUAGGUUAACUAAGAUGGCACAUUCUGUGGUGCAAUCUUCGCAGACGGCUUUCAUGCCUGGUCGGAAUAUUCUCGAAGGGGUGGUUCUUCUCCAUGAAACCCUUCACGAAUUACAUUCCAAGAAGCUUGACGGAGUCUUAGUUAAGGUAGACUUCGAAAAGGCUUACGACAAAGUCAAAUGGUGUUUCUUGCAACAAACUCUGCGCAUGAAGGGGUUCUGCGAGAUUUGGCGAAAGCAUAUCGAUCAUUUUAUACGAAAGGGUAGUGUCGGUAUUAAAGUGAAUGAUGAUGUUGGUCAUUUCUUUCAGACACUAAAGGGUCUUAGGCAGGGAGAUCCUAUGUCACCUAUUUUAUUUAACAUCGUAGCAGAUAUGUUAGCGCUCAUGAUCAGGAGGGCUAAUGAAAAAGGGUUAGUAAGGGGACUAGUACCACAUCUAGUAGAUGGGGGUGUUUCCAUCCUACAAUAUGCGGAUGACACAAUCCUUUUCAUGGAGCAUGAUCUCAACAAAGCCAGAAACAUGAAGUUAAUAUUAUGUUUAUUCGAACAGCUAUCUGGGCUGAAAAUUAACUUCUUUAAAAGUGAACUCUUUUGCUUUGGACACGCAAAAGAAGAACAAAUCACUUAUAAUCAAUUAUUUGGUUGUGAGAGUGGUUCGCUACCGUUUACGUACUUAGGGAUCCCUAUUCAUCAUCGAAAACUAUCCAUUAAGGAAUGAAAGUGCAUCGAGGAUCGGUUUGAGAAAAAGCUGAGCUGUUGGAAGGGCAACCUAUUAUCCUACGGAGGACGAUUGGUCUUAGUUAACUCAGUGUUGACAAGUAUGCCAAUGUUCCUUCUAUCCUUUUUCGAAGUACCAGUUGGGGUGCGCAAAAGGUUGGAUUUUUACCGAUCAAGAUUUUUCUGGCAGAGUGAUGAGGUCAAGACCAAAUAUAGGCUGGCUCGAUGGGAUAUUAUUUGUAGACCCAAAGAUCAGGGAGGGUUGGGGAUUGAAAAUUUAGAGGUUAAGAACAGGUGUCUGCUCAGCAAGUGGCUGUUCAGGCUAUCUGUGGAAUCAGAAGGUAUGUGGAUACAAAUUCUGAAGAACAAGUAUCUACAGCAAAAAACCUUGGCUCAGGUCACUGUGAGACCUGGAGAUUCACCUUUUUGGAAGGGUAUCAUGAAGACAAAAACAACCUUUUUUAACAGGACUAGAUUCAUCAUCGGAAAUGGUGAAGCUACUAGAUUCUGGGAGGAUAUCUGGCUAGGUGACGAGCCUCUGGCCCUUCAAUAUCCGCAGUUGUAUCACAUUGCCCAACGCAGACAGACAAAUGUUGCGGCAGUCUUACGUGAGACGCCUCUCAACAUUCAGUUUCGCAGAUCCUUGGUAGGAAAUAGAUGGGUCAGAUGGCUACAUCUAGUCAGAAGGCUAAUGAAUGUUAAUCUUUCUGAUGCUCCGGAUAGGAUUGUUUGGAAACUCACCUCCAAUGGGAAGUUUACCGUGAAAUCCAUGUAUGACCAUGUUAUUGACAGUUCAGUUAUUCCAAAAUCUUCACAUAUUUGGAACGUCAAGGUUCCCCUUAAGUUAAAAAUCUUUUUGUGGUUUGUCCACAAAGAAGUUGUUCUAACUAAGGAUAACUUGGCCAAGCGAAAUUGGAAAGGAAAUCGCAGAUGUACCUUCUGUCAGACAUAUGAAACUAUCAAGCACCUCUUUCUCGACUGUCCUAUGGCUAAAAUAUUAUGGCGCUCAAUCCAUAUAGCUUUUAACAUAACCCCGCCGACUAGCAUUAACAUGUUAUUUGGGACAUGGCUUGACGGGGUUAAUACUUCGUUCGCUAAGUUAAUUCGAGUUGGAACUUCUGCACUUUUAUGGGCUAUAUGGAACUGCAGAAAUGACCUAGUUUUUAACAGACAACAAUCUAUUAACUUUUUGCAGGUCAUCUUCAGGGCUACCGCAUUGAUCCGCAUGUGGUCCUUACUCACUCCUGUGGAAACCAGGGAGCCUUUAAUUACUGGAUGUGCCCGAUGGGAGAUGGUAGCUCAGGCUAUCUUCAGCCGAUAUGGAUGGCGACAUGUUCAUAGAAUAGGGAAUUAGUCAACUACUCCUAUCCAGAUAUUCGGCUUGGGCGUUCAUCGCCUUGUAAUUUAUUUUACAUUUACUUUUUUGACUUUGUAACUACUUCAGAUCUUUUCAGUUAUUAAAUAAAAUGGCUGCAUGCAUCACUCGAUGCAGAGGCCGGGGCGUGGCCUUCUUUUCAAAAAAAAUAUAUACAUGCAUAAGCAUGUAAGUAGCCCUGACAUCACUAAGCUCUGACUCUGACUCUAGCGCCGGAGCACUGGAGCAGUCAGAAAAUCGGUGGGAAAGCUGGCACGAGAGUACGUAGAAGCGAAGCCAUCCCAUCCCAUGUUCUAGAAGAUAACCUAUAUUUUUCCUUUUCAAAAAGGAAAAAAUCAACUGAAGCAGAUUAGUCAAAAAAAAGCCGCGUGGCCGGGCCGGGGCCUCCACGUCUCCCAUCGCCCUCGCCCUCACCACGGCCCCCGAUCAAUCCCCGGACGCGGUUUGCGCGCCUUCCGCGAAGCUUCCCCCGACACCACUGCGUCUGCGUGCCCCGCCAACCCCGACAUUUCACAAAACCACACUAGACUAGACACGGUCCAACCUUCCAGUCGAAGCAAGCAAUUCAACCCACCAACCAACCACAUCGCACCCAGCACCGGUGCGGUGACCGACCCAUAAAAGCAGCCCCUCCAUCACGGCCACGGUUCCCCUCCAUUCCCUUCCCUUUCCUUUCCUUUCCAUCCCGCGACGCACGCAGCUCGACCAGAACCGUGCAGCGGCAGCGGCAGCGGCAGCCGGCGGAGAGCAGCCAUGGCGAUGGAGGGCUACGACCGGGAGUUCUGGCAGUUCGGCGACCAGCUGCGGCUCCAGACGGCCACCUUCUCCGGCCUCUCCCUCGGCGACUCCAUCUGGUCGUCCCCCGCCGACAACAACGCCCCCCGCUCCCGCAACGCCGACCCCGGCCUCUUCUCCCCCUCCCCGCCCGCCGCCCACAACAACGCCGCUUCCAAGCCCAACAACAGCCUCAACGGCCCGGGCCUCAUCGGGUCCGGCAAGCUCGCCUUCGGCGCCACCACCACCAGCAAGGCCGACCGCUACAACAACGUCAGCCUCCCCGACGCCAAGCCCUACGCCAACGCCAACGCCAACGCCGGCUACGGCGCCAAGCCCAACAACGCCAACAUCAACGGCAACACCUUCGGGCUCAGCAAGAUGGCCGCCAGCGGCGGGGCCGGCUACAGCAACUUCAACGGCGGCAACGAGGGGGUCAAGAGCUACUUCAACAAGUCCAUCGGCAGGCCGGCCAGCAACAACAGCAACAGCAGCAACUUCAACUUCAACGGCUACGGCGGCAAGAAGGGCGCCGCGGACGGCAAGAAGAAGCACGCCAAGAACGAGAGAGGGGACAACAACCACGGCGCCGCCUCGGAGAAGCGGUUCAAGACGCUGCCGGCGUCCGAGGCGCUGCCUAGGAACGAGCCCAUCGGCGGCUACAUCUUCGUCUGCAACAACGACACCAUGGAGGAGAACCUCAAGAGGCAGCUCUUCGGUAAAUACUACACUGCUAAGAUUUUUCUCUUUAAUCUCCCUUUCAAAGUCCAAUUAGAUUAGCCGUACCUAAUCCUAAGAUAGAAUCAAUCCAUAUGUAUAUAUUCAACUAAUUCGAUCAGAUCUAGUACGUGACGGACUGACGGUUUGGUUACUUUUAAUUUGCAGGGUUGCCAUCCAGAUACAGAGAUUCAGUGAGGGCGAUCAGGCCGGGGCUGCCCCUCUUCCUCUACAACUACUCCACCCACCAGCUCCACGGCAUCUUCGAGGUAAAAUCAAUCAGAACAAUCAAAUUAAUCUGCUCUCUUGCUUGCAGUUCGAUGACAAUUUAGUUAGCGUUGAAUUGAUUGAACUGAACUCAUCGCCUUAUACUGAAUCGCCUGCACAGGCCGCGAGCUUUGGCGGAGCAAACAUCGACCCGGCGGCGUGGGAGGACAAGAAGUGCAACGGCGAGUCCCGCUUCCCUGCACAGGUAGCUUCACCUUCACCUUCACAAGGAGUACUAAGUUGACAUCAAUAUAAUUCUAAGAACACAAGUUAGCUAGAGAUAUCUACUCUAGCUUGACCCGGAAGGAGAUCAGAUUGAUGACUAGUAAAAGCAAUCAAUCAACUAGUUUAUUGAUUAUUAUAAACGGAUGGAAGUUGUUGUCUUGUUUAGUUGGAACCUAGUAGAUUGUCGGCAUAACUUUUUGCUAGUGACUGUCCAACAACCUACAUUCAGAUUAGGUUGGCCGGUCAAUCCUAGGCCAACCACCUGUUCUUCUAGAACAAGUACACUUGUCAACACACGCUCGGUCCUUCUAGAGAUACUCAAACAAGAUCACUUUUUUUUAUCGACUCAAACAAGAUCACUUGAAGUACUAUUUGAAGUUAGUGAUGGUACUAAAAAAGAAACAUGCCUUAAAUUAACAACACCGAAUCUUAAUUCCACUGGUCUUUUUGCGUGUAAACUAAAUUAAGAAUGAACAAUCCUAACUAAUUAGCAGUAGCAAUUUACUUGAUCUCUAUUUAUGUAUGUCUUGCUGAUUUGCAACGAUUGAUGAAUUCAGGUGAGGGUGGCCACAAGGAAGAUCUGCGACCCACUGGAGGAGGACGCAUUCCGCCCUAUCCUGCACCACUACGACGGGCCCAAGUUCCGGCUCGAGCUCAGCAUCACCGAGGCUCUCUCCCUCCUUGAUAUAUUUGAAGACAAGGAUGAUGCAUGAUGAAGGCUGCUCAGUGCUGAUCAGGGGACUGUUGAGGAAGGAACAGCGUGCAAUAAGAUGGACUGGAGUAUACAUACAUACAUACGAUUUAUAUCAUUAUCAAUUAAUGGUGAUAUAUAAGUGAGCUUUAUUGGGUUUUCCAUCUCAUGGGCUAUGAAAUUAUGCGCCCCUCGUUGUCUGUAAUGCGUGGUGAUGGCUGCAGAAGAUGAGCCCUCGUGAACAUAACUUAUGUAUUGUCACGGCUAUGUAUGUAUAAUACUAUUGAGACUUUAAGAUGUUUCUCCUGUUGUACACCUUAUAGCAGAAUAAACCAUCGCCUUCAUGUUAGCGAAAACAAUACUGCCUUUUUCUUCGAGAGUGAUGAGGGAGUCGGUACAAGCACAAGAGUGUGCACCAAGGUGGAAAUUGCUUUUGGAGGUCGAGCUCCAUGGAAGCCUACAAAUGCAAAUUUUAAAUUUCGUAAAAUCUCGUAUUUUAUAUUUUAAAAAAUCUAAAAAAAUACAUAGAUAGAUGAAGGUAUAAUAUAAUACACAAGUGUGUAAAUAUUUAGACCUAAAUACCCUGAAAUGAGGGCUAUGCAAAAAGAUAAAUCUAAGACUUUUUAACACAUAAUACUAUUCAUCCUUUCAGAUCAUAAAUUUGUCUUUUUAUACAGAUUGCAUUUUAAAGUAUUUUGGUCUGAAAUUUUACACACACACGGAUCGCACCCUUGUUUAGUUGUAUAAUUUUUUUCAGAUUUUUUGAAACCAAAAAUUUCAAAUUUUAAUUUUUUCAAAAAUUUCGUCCUUCGUGGAGGCUGAGUGCCAAAACACCAUUCUCUGCAUCAAGGCACAAAAUAAAAUUACAUGGGAGACACCCAGCAUGAGAGCCGAACACAAGACGAAAGACAAGGACGGAAGGGGAGGGUGGUUGUAGAAGUCACAUCGAACCCCUCACCAGGUGUCUAGUAGACAGCUGAAGUUGAAGGCCAGACAAGGAGCUCAGUAGAGAACCUCGUCAUCCACAUAUAAAAGACCACUUGAGGGGCAAUGGAGAAAAAGAUGUAGGCACCACAACAGAGGCUUGCAGAGGAACGUCACUGACACAAUCGAAGGGCGUUGGAUAGCAGAGAUCAUGCCACGACACCGGUGUGCCGCCGGCGAAGCCAGAAGACAAAGUGACACCGAGACAGAAGGUGCGACACCGUUGUACUGCCGCCGAGGUCGAAGGGCAACCUGCUAGUCGUGGCCACCUCAGGAUGUCCAAGCAAGCGACGCCCGAGCCACUAUGAAGAUAUCCCUGCAAGACGGAGACACCAUAGCAGAAGCGCACCGAGGAGUAUCCAUGUCACAGUUGAAGGGCCUCAGAUAGCCAAGAUCGCGUGGGACACUAGGGUACCGCCAACGUAACCAAAGGACAGAAACUUAGUGGAGACCGGAGGGUGCAAAACCGGUGUGUCGCCGCCGAGUGCCGGUGUCAAAACCGAUGGAUCUCGGAUAGGGGGUCCCGAGCUAUGGAUCUUGGCUCAAUGUGGAACAGGGAACACAGGGACAUUAUUUACCCAGGUUCGGGCCCUCUCGAAGAUGUAAAACCCUACGUCCUGCUUGAUUAUAUUGAUGUAUAUAUGACGAUUACAUAGUUAGUCUACCACGAGAUCAGAUGAACUAAACCCUAGAUGGUGCUUUUGUGUGCUACGAACUAAAACCCUCUGGUUUAUAUAUACACUAGGGGUACCUAGGGUUACACAUGAUCGGUUGCCAUCAAGAGAUAAACACGUCUAUUCUUCCAUCUUGACUUGGAUGACACACCAAGGUAGCAGACGUUUCCUUCCUGAACACGGGGCCGCCUUAUAGCUCGGCCUUCAAGUAAUAGCCAAAGAGCGGUCCACCUGUCAGACCCAUAAGAGAUAGGUCGAUGGCCCGAGGACCCCUUAGUCACGGACUCCCUCAGUAGCCCUUGAACUAGCCUCCAAUGCCGGGGUCCAUGCGUCCAAACUCUCGAGCUUGCAGGGCGAGUUCUUGUCCCAAUCUAUGUUCGGCCAAUGCUAGUUCCUCACCAACGACUUCCCGAUUUCCGAACAAUAUGUGUUACUUAGCCUCGAAGGCCAAUUGCAGAGUAUGAACAAUGCUUUUGCCUCACAACUUUUAGCGAAAGGUCACGGACGGUCACAUCCUUUGACCAGUCAUGGAAACUUGUUUUGCGGUACGAGGCAAUUUCUUUAUUGGUGCGUUCCAUAAAUAUGGAGAUCGUGCCCCGUUUUUAAGGGAUAUGAUCAAUGAUUUGGAUUAUCUCACGCGCGCAUAACGACACGAGUAUAUUGGGAAGUGGUGAGGAUUGUGGCACAGUAAAAGGACUCUUGGUAUUACGGCAGCUUGUAAAAGGAAAACAGUCACCAAAGCCUCUACACGCUUCUUAAAUCCCUCAUUGAUGUCACCUUCCCAAUCAGCUAAGCUCAAAAUUCCCAUAUCCAUUCCUCCCACGCACACCUCCUCAAGCCACUUCCCAGUCCGUGCAUGGUCGGCUCUGGUUCCAAGGGCAAGUAGGAGGCCUCCUGUGUCACCAAAGAUGACAUCCAUGAGCUGAAGCGCGUCGGCUAUCUUCCGGUCGACGUCAUUCAUCGCUCUCUGGAGAAGGGCCAGGUCAUCCUCACGCCGAGGCAAGGCGAGAGGGUGGUGUUCAUCCCCCACUUCAUCUGAGGACUUGGCUUUCCGCUCCACCCCUUUGUUAGGGUUUUGAUGUUCUUCUACGGGUUGGACUUUCACGGUCUCCCCCAAACUCCUUUUUGCAUAUUUCGACUUUCAUUAUUGUUUGUGAGGCUUUUGUGCGGGUCCAGACACACUUUGGCUUGUGGCUAACGGUUUUCAAUGUUAAGAUGAAGAUAGUCAAUAGCCAACAUGCAAACUCUGGGGUGUGGUGAUUAGCAAGCUUCCCCGGGUUGUGUGGCCGGAAGGUACCUUCAUAGAUACCAUCAAAAUCUCGCAAAGAGAGUGGUUUUAUAUCACCAAACCACGCGGCGCGGGUUGGGAAACACCUUCCGAAUUCAGAUCCGGACCACUCCCAAGGUUGGUGUCAUGGAUCAAGAAGGGUCUCUAUUGGGGGUCGGCAGCGGAGGUGAGAUCGUUGUAGAAGCGCGUCUCCCAGAUGAUGGAGGAGAAGAUGGAACUAAUCAACGUGAUUUAGACCAUGCUUCACCAUCGCCUCCUACCCUCCGAACAUCGGGCCGCCCCAAUGUGGUCCUACAAGCCCAAAGACCAUGACACCAUGGUCCACCUUUUCCGCACCUCCCACGACAAGUUAUGGAAGGUGUUGUUCAAGCCCAGAAGGACUCGCCGGCUAAGGAGGAAGACAUCGGUCUCGAUGCCACACACCCUCCUUGAUACGUCUCAAACGUAUCUAUAAUUUUUGAUGGUUUCGUGCUGUUAUCUUGUCAUCUUUGGAUGUUUUAUGUACCUUCUAUAUCUUUUUUGGGACUAACUUAUUAAUUCAGUGCCAAGUGCCAGUUCCUGUUUUUCUGUGUUUUUGGUUCUUUUCAGAUCUGAUUUUGGAACGGAGUCCAAACGGAAUAAAAUCCCCGAAAUAAUUUUUUCCCGAACGGAAGAAGAUCAUGGGGCUUGAGGGCCAAGGCAGGAGAGCUACAUGGGUCCCCCAAGCCCUGUAGCCGCCACGAGGGGGGCGGCGGCUAGCUGGCUUGUGGCCUCCCUGGCACCCCCUGACCUAGCUCCUUCGCCUAUAUAUUCCCUAAAAUACAGGAAAAGUUAGGGGAGUCCACGAAAACACUUUUCCGCCGCCGCAAGCUUCCGUUUCCGCGAGAUCUCAUCUAGAGACCCUUCCCGGUGCCCUGCCGGAGGGGACUUUGGAGUUGGAGGGCUUCUACAUCAACAUCAUCGCCCCUCCAAUGACUCGUGAGUAGUUCACUUCACACCUACGGGUCCGUAGUUAGUAGCUAGAUGGCUUCUUCUCUCUCUUGGAUCUUCAAUACAAAGUUCUCCAUGAUCUUCAUGGAGAUCUAUCCGAUGUAAUCCUCUUUGGCGGUGUGUUUGUCGAGAUCCGAUGAAUUGUGGAUUUGUGAUCAGAUUAUCUAUGAUAUAUAUUUGAGUCUUUGCUGAUUUCUUAUAUGCAUGAUUUGAUAUCCUUGUAAGUCUCUCCGAGUCUUGGGUUUUGUUUGGCCAACUAGAUCUAUGAUUCUUGCAAUGGGAGAAGUGCUUGGUUUUGGGUUCAUACCGUGUGGUGACCUUUCACAGUGACAGAAAGGGCAGCAAGGCACGCAUCGUGUUGUUUCCAUAAAGGGUAACAAGAUGGGCUUUUAUCGUAGAUAUGAGAUUGUCCAUCUACAUCAUGUCAUCUUUCUUAAGGUGUUACUCUGUUCUUUUGGACUUAAUACACUAGAUGCAUGCUGGAUAGCGGUCGACGUGUGGAGUAAUAGUAGUAGAUGCAGAAAGUAUCGGUCUACUUGUUUUGGACGUGAUGCCUAUAGAUAUAAUCAUUGCCAUAGAUGACGUCACGACUUUGCGUGGUUCUAUCAAUUGCUUGACGGUAAUUUGUUCACCCACCGUCUACUUGCUUUCAUGAGAGAAGCCACUACGGCCUCCGGAUCUAUUCACACCUAUCGUUUCCACUUUCGCUUUUACUUUGCUUUGUUACUUUGUUGCUUUCGGUUCUCACUUGGCAAACAAUCUAUAAGGGAUUGACAACCCCUUCAUAGCGUUGCGAGCAAGCUCUUUGUGUUUGUGCAGGUACUUGUGAUAUUCCUUCACUGGAUCGAUACCUUGGUUCUCAAAACUGAGGGAAAUACUUACUGCCGAUGUGCUACAUCAUCCUUUCCGCUUCGAGGGAACACCAACGCAAGGCUCCAAGGCCACGGGGGAAAUCCUUUGCAUAUUUUCCUAGGAAGUCCCUAAAGGCGCAACCGUAGCAGAAGGAUUCCUGGUGCCGUUGCUGAGGAGUAUCAAGACAAGAACAGUCUCCCGUCAGCACGUGUUUCUGGCGCCGUUGGAAGGUCUUUUGUUGCAGUAGCACUCCUCGGCAGGUACAAUAAAGUUUUUCUCCUAUGUUCGAAUAUUUCCUUUUAACAAGGAACUUGACACUUUCUUCCUCAUAUUUGCAGGGCUGGCUACAAAAAUCCAUGUGGAUCGAUGACCCAGACCCGCUGCCCGAGGACCCAAGACGACCUUGCUGACAGAGAUGCUGGUCGAGGUGUCGUACAAGGCGUCGAAGAAGAAAGAGAAAAAGAAUAAAGAGAUCCAAGAAGGCCUCCGUUCGAGGGGACCUCCGGACACUAGGGCAGAGGAUACCCAAUCCUUUUCCGCUCUUGAAGGAGAGAAGGGAGAGGACGGGAAGGAGAGCGUCUCCUCCCAAAGAAGGAAGAGGGCCGCGUCCGAUGGCACUAAGGAGGAUCUGCCUCCUCUUGCCCCGGAAAGGCAGUGCAAGGACAAGGUAGCCCGACCCGAUGACAGUUCGGGGUAUGUGGUUUCUGACGUGUCUCCCCGAAGGAACCCCAGGGUCAAGCCCCCGACCCAAAGGUAUGAAUUUGAAGACUCUUUUGCACAUUCAUAUUAAGGCUCAUUACUAACCAUAUGCACGCUUCAUGUUAUAUCCCACUUCAUGACCUCCCCACCGACCGAUUCUUGGAGGGGGAUUCUCCGCCACAUGAGAGAGCGAAGAGCGGGACUGCGUCACGCACUACACCUCCUCAGUUCAUCAAGGAGACUGAGGAGGUGCUAUCCCGAAAUCCUGGAGGGUAGUGUGUAAGGGAAACAAGACAAAAGCCCAACCAUCGGGCCUAAUAUAUCGGGCCUGAGUCCGGCCCAAGCCCACAAAAAUCUGACAAGGCCCGGUCGGCCUGGCCCGACCACGGCUUAAAUUUGAUUUUCCAUGGGCCUGAGCCCGGCCCAACCCGACAGUCAAGCUCAAAUUCCAAGCCCGAGCCCAGCUCGAUCGCAAGAUUAGGCCCGGCCCGACCCAGGAUUUUCAGGCCGGCUCAGGUUGGGCCGUUCGGGCCGGGCCAUGGCAGGUACUUCCUCCGUUCGUAAAUAUAAGUCUUUUUAAAGGUUUCAUUAGGAUACUACAUAGGGAUGUAUAUAGACAUGUUUUAGAGUGAGAUUCACUCAUUUUGCUCCGUAUGUAGCUCCUUAAUAAAAUUUCUUAAACUACUUAUAUUUAAGAACGGAGGGAGAUGCAUGGCGAGUAGGAUCCAAGAGCAUGCAUAGAAAAGGAGACGAGGGACACAUUGUAGGCAAAUCCUAUUUCCCGCGUAGGUCAAUGCAUAGCGAGGUAACACAUGCCCCUGUUAGUGGCGUUCUGUACGACCGACCUUCCCACAGAAAGUUUUCUCUUUCUUCAAUGUUUUCUUUUUUCUGAUUUUUAUUCUUGUUUCUUAUUUUUAUUUUAUUUCAAAAUUUUAAGAUUCCCAAAUAAUUUCCAAUUUCAUGAACAUUUUUUAAUUGAGAACUUUUUAAUUUCACGAACAUUUUUUCAAAUCCGCGAACUAUUUCAUAAUUCAUCUAAGCAUCUUUCAUUGGCAGACAGUUUUUUAAAUUCGCGAUCAAUUCUGGCAGAUUUGUUUAUUUAUUGUUUUGAGAAUUGUUUCGUGAACUUUUUUCAAUUUUACAACCAUUUUUUGUAAAUUUAUGAAUAAAAUUUUAAAUCACGAGGAUUUUUCAAAUUCAUGAACAUUUAUGUAUUCUUGAAUUAUUUUGAAAUUGCAAACAUAUUUUGAAUUCACAGACAAAAUUGCAAACAUUUUAUGAAUUCACAGACAUGUUUUAAAUUCAUUAAUAUUUUUAAAUUUGUAAAUAAUUUUGAAUUCAUGAACAUUUUCUAAAAUUCAAAAGUUUUUUGAAAUUCAUGAGCCCUUUUCAAUCAUUUUAAAAUUUUGUUAGAAACUAAAAAAAUAGAGAAAAAAGAAACGAAACAUUCAACCCUAGUUCCAGGCUUCCGGCUCAGUUAGCAUCAGCACGCUAGCCAAAUAGGAGGCCUGCGUAACCCUGCCUUCGUGGGUUGGACAUUAAUCUGCAUCCCGCGGCGAAUUGAAAUACAAUAUAUAUUUAGCGGCAAGUAAAUUUUCCGACGCCCCGGGCCGCGGCCUGCUCCCAGCUCUGCUCUUGUGGCCAUUGACAACAUAGUUGAUGCAAGGUACCCCUAAAAAAAAGUUGCUGCAAGGUGAAUUGUCAUAAAAAAAGGAGUUGUUGCAAGGUGAUGAUUGACCGGCAGCCAAAUUGUGAGAACCAGUCGUCCUAGAGUUCUCGAAUGAUGCUGCAAAAGAUGAAUCGAUCCCUGUCUAGAAAUUAUCCUUGUUAGACUGUAUAUACGUAGCCCUGUAUACAUAUACUAUACAUUGUAUUCUAUUCCUUGGGUAUCCUUAUAUAAUGAGAUAGCCAUACCCCGUUUAUGGUGUCGAGCACUUCCCAAACAUUACGUUUUACAUUGUAUCAGUUUAGGUUACGAUGUCUUCCACUGCAACGCCGCCGCCACCACCGCCGCCGACCUCUGGCGCCGCCCCAUCCGCCGUGGCGCCGGCCCUCGCCCCCGCGUCGCCGUUCCUCGCCUCCCGGCCUCUGACGACGGCCUAUGGGGCCCCGACGUCGCCCCGCCAUCCGAUUGGAUCGGAUCCCAACGCCCAGCCUGGGGCUGCUGCCUCCUCUGGCGCACCUCAACUCGUCCAUGGCGCCCCGCCGCCAUCGUCGCCCUGACCGAUCCCCUACGGCGCGCCAUCUGUGCCGCAGCACUACGCUGCGCCUCCUCCGCCCUACUAUGGCGCGCCUCCGUCGUACCAGUCCGUGCCGCCGCCGCCAACGAUCUGCGCGACGUCUACACCGCACCACUACCCGCCGCCGACGGUCUACCCUGCGCCGUUUCAGCCGUCCCAGGGAGCUGCGGCUGCGUUGCCCUACGGGGCUCCUGCCGUGGAACCCCACGGUGCCCCCGCGAUGGGUUCCUCUAGAGCCCCGCCCUACUCGGUGGCUACUGGUCAUCCCGGGGCGGCCCCGUCGAUGGGCUUCUAUGCCCCGCCACCAGUGCAUGCUGACCCGGCUGCGCUGCCGUCGCCGUUCUACUUUUCGCAUCUCCUUCCGGUGAAGCUUGCGCCGGACAACUACUUGCCCUCGCGUGCCCAGGUGCUGCCCCUUUUGCGGAGUCGCUACCUCGAGGGCUACGUCGACGGCUCUAUCCCGUAUCCGCCGCCUCAUCACCCGGCGUAUCACACAUGGGUGGCUUGGGAUCAAGCCAUCCUCUCCGCCAUCCAGUCCUCGCUCACCCCGAGCGUCUCAUCGCUGGUCAUCUUCGCCGCUACGUCCGGGGAGGCGUGGGCGGCGCUUCACACAAGCUUUGCCUCCCAGUCUCAGGCGCAUGCUCAUUCUAUACGCACCGAGCUGGGUGAGACCAAGCUUGGUGACCUCAGCAUCACGGACUACUUCAACAAGAUGCGGGGUCUAGCCGACACGUUGGCCUCCGUUGGUCAGUCGCUACAGGAUGAGGAGUUCACCACCUUUGUGCUUAACGGGCUUGAUGAUGAUUAUGACAAUCUUAUUGAGAAUGUCCACGGCCGUGAUGAUCCGCUACCAUCUCGUGAGCUCUAUGCACGGCUCCUUGGCCGUGAACAGCGCAUCAAGGCGCGCCGCGUCUCCCCUGGCUUCACCUCUGCCAAUGCCACGACUCGUGGAAAGCCCCCGCCGUCAUCUUCUUCCAACAACAGAUCGACAUCGUCCCCACAACCGACUUCACGGGGCAAUGCUCCGACCAUCACGGGCGGCAAUCGGCCGGUGGCGUGCUGCUCCUCUUGUGGCGCCCCGCAGGCGUGCCAGCUCUGUGGAAUUGAGCGGCACAUUGCCUCUCGCUGCCAUCGACGCUACAAGCAAGACUUCCUUGGCCUCGGCAACAAUGGCAAAGGGAAUGAAAAGCAGGCUGCUGCUGCGGUGACGAGUCAUGAUUCUGGACGCACGCCAUCUUACUCCAUUGAUCCUGCCUGGUACAUGGACACUGGCGNNNNNNNNNNNNNNNNNNNNNNNNNNNNNNNNNNNNNNNNNNNNNNNNNNNNNNNNNNNNNNNNNNNNNNNNNNNNNNNNNNNNNNNNNNNNNNNNNNNNNNNNNNNNNNNNNNNNNNNNNNNNNNNNNNNNNNNNNNNNNNNNNNNNNNNNNNNNNNNNNNNNNNNNNNNNNNNNNNNNNNNNNNNNNNNNNNNNNNNNNNNNNNNNNNNNNNNNNNNNNNNNNNNNNNNNNNNNNNNNNNNNNNNNNNNNNNNNNNNNNNNNNNNNNNNNNNNNNNNNNNNNNNNNNNNNNNNNNNNNNNNNNNNNNNNNNNNNNNNNNNNNNNNNNNNNNNNNNNNNNNNNNNNNNNNNNNNNNNNNNNNNNNNNNNNNNNNNNNNNNNNNNNNNNNNNNNNNNNNNNNNNNNNNNNNNNNNNNNNNNNNNNNNNNNNNNNNNNNNNNNNNNNNNNNNNNNNNNNNNNNNNNNNNNNNNNNNNNNNNNNNNNNNNNNNNNNNNNNNNNNNNNNNNNNNNNNNNNNNNNNNNNNNNNNNNNNNNNNNNNNNNNNNNNNNNNNNNNNNNNNNNNNNNNNNNNNNNNNNNNNNNNNNNNNNNNNNNNNNNNNNNNNNNNNNNNNNNNNNNNNNNNNNNNNNNNNNNNNNNNNNNNNNNNNNNNNNNNNNNNNNNNNNNNNNNNNNNNNNNNNNNNNNNNNNNNNNNNNNNNNNNNNNNNNNNNNNNNNNNNNNNNNNNNNNNNNNNNNNNNNNNNNNNNNNNNNNNNNNNNNNNNNNNNNNNNNNNNNNNNNNNNNNNNNNNNNNNNNNNNNNNNNNNNNNNNNNNNNNNNNNNNNNNNNNNNNNNNNNNNNNNNNNNNNNNNNNNNNNNNNNNNNNNNNNNNNNNNNNNNNNNNNNNNNNNNNNNNNNNNNNNNNNNNNNNNNNNNNNNNNNNNNNNNNNNNNNNNNNNNNNNNNNNNNNNNNNNNNNNNNNNNNNNNNNNNNNNNNNNNNNNNNNNNNNNNNNNNNNNNNNNNNNNNNNNNNNNNNNNNNNNNNNNNNNNNNNNNNNNNNNNNNNNNNNNNNNNNNNNNNNNNNNNNNNNNNNNNNNNNNNNNNNNNNNNNNNNNNNNNNNNNNNNNNNNNNNNNNNNNNNNNNNNNNNNNNNNNNNNNNNNNNNNNNNNNNNNNNNNNNNNNNNNNNNNNNNNNNNNNNNNNNNNNNNNNNNNNNNNNNNNNNNNNNNNNNNNNNNNNNNNNNNNNNNNNNNNNNNNNNNNNNNNNNNNNNNNNNNNNNNNNNNNNNNNNNNNNNNNNNNNNNNNNNNNNNNNNNNNNNNNNNNNNNNNNNNNNNNNNNNNNNNNNNNNNNNNNNNNNNNNNNNNNNNNNNNNNNNNNNNNNNNNNNNNNNNNNNNNNNNNNNNNNNNNNNNNNNNNNNNNNNNNNNNNNNNNNNNNNNNNNNNNNNNNNNNNNNNNNNNNNNNNNNNNNNNNNNNNNNNNNNNNNNNNNNNNNNNNNNNNNNNNNNNNNNNNNNNNNNNNNNNNNNNNNNNNNNNNNNNNNNNNNNNNNNNNNNNNNNNNNNCACAAGUAAGUUACACAAACUUACUUGAGCUAUAUCACACGACAAGUAGGUGAACAACACAAGAUACUAGAUCACACUAUAUCACACGAUAUAUCAAAGGCUGCAAGUAUGAACGUGUGGAUAUAGAGGGUAUGCUUGAGCGAUUAAUCUUAUACAAGAAAUAGCCAACACAGUAUAAUGAGCACAAACAAUAUGCAAUGUAUGUAUGCUCGAGUAACACAAGUAAACCACAAGUAAGGAGUUAGGGUUAAGGAUAACCAAGGUCACUGAGACGAAGAUGUAUCCCGAUGUUCACUUCCUUGGAGGGAAGCUAGUCACCGUUAGAGAGGUGGAUGUUACCACGAAGGCACACCAACGCCACGAAGGCUCACCCUAUUCUCCCUUUGAGAUAACACCACGAAGGCGUUUCUCAACCACUAGUGGUAAGCCUUUGAGGUGGCUUCCAAACCCUCACAAACUUUUCCGGGGGGUAAUCACACGGAUUGAUUCCUCUCCGAAGAACUCCUACCGCCUAGGAGUCUCCAACCUCCAAGAGUAACAAGAUCACGAGGAAUGCUCAAAACUUGCUCAAAUCUCAAAUAGCUUGGGUUGAGAGGAGGAGAGGGAGACGAUCUAUCUUUUGAUUGGAACAACUCUCAAAGGGGCUCACAAAUGCUCUUGGGAUCUAAGAUUUGGUGUGAGCAAAUGUGUGUGAGGUAGAAGUGUGUUCUUAUGAGGAUAAGGCUGUGUUGGGCUGCCCUCUCACGAAGUGGGAGGGGGGUAUUUAUAGUGGGGAGAGAAAAACAGCCGUUGGGGACACUUUAAGUCACACAGGGUCCGGACGUCCGACAGUUUCCGGAAGUCCGGGCGUCCGCGAGGGGUCGGACGUCCGACAGGGGUCGGUCGUCCGAGGCCUGUAGAUAUCACUGAAAAUACUGUGAAUUGAACAGCGACCGGACGUCCGGAGAAGGCCGGAAAUCCGAGUUAUACGACUCAACUUCUUCUGGUGCGAGGUUUCGGAUUUCCGAAAGGGGACGAACGUCCGACCCUCGGACGUCCGGAGGGAGCCGGAAGUCUGAGUUAUAUGGCUCAAGUUUCUGUGGUGCAUAGUUCCGGAAUUCCGAAGCUGGUCGGAUAUCCGGGCCUCGGACGUCCGGAGGGAGCCGGAAGUCCGAGUCAUAUGGCUCUGAUUUGUCUUGUAUAGGAUUCCGGAUUUCCUAAGCAGUCGGUCGUCCGGUCCCCGGACGUCCGGAGGAAGCCGGAUGUCCGAGGCACUGGUUUUGUUUUCAGAUAACAGCAGAGCAGUGGAGAUGUGGUCUGAGCAGAACAGUGGAGAUGUAGUUUGAGCAAGGUCAUCGCAAAACCUGUGAUCCCCUCUUAAUAGUGCUGGAUCCCUAAAGACUCAAGAAACAUAAAAGGGGUACUGAUGAUCCAUACUUGAGUGUAUACUUUUAUUCGCUGAUCAUCACUCCGCACAACUAACGUCAAAGGAACUGAUACCUUUGAGUUAGCCCUUUCACUUGAGCUUGAUGUUGUUGUUCCUUCUUGGCUCAAGUUGAAAGCAAGACAUGAUGAAGUCUUCAAGUAGCUCUCCCAUACACAAUGUGGAAAGCCUAGGUUAUGUAUUCAUCUUCAUUUGUCCACCAUGUGAACAUCCACAAGAAUCAAGCAUGUAGUGCUCAGGAAUGCUUAUCUUGAUCUUGUCCUUGUUAGCACAUGAGCUUGUCCUUAUCAACACAUGAUCAUUAACAAUAGCUUCAAUGAUAUAUUCGUGCUGAUCCACUUGAACUUGCACACCACAAUCUUGAUGACGAUCGCCACUUGAUGUCAUCCUUCAUAGGUUGUAUGAGAUCUUCCUUUUGACGCAAGCCCAUGGAAGCACACCUAACCCCCACAUAGGACUCUCACAAAGACCAUGGGUUAGUACACAAACACGUAAUGGACAAUGCUUACCAUACCAUGGGAUCACUUGAUUCCUCUCGGUACAUCUUAUACGCUUUGUGUGUUGAUCAUCUUGAUUUACUCUUGUCUAAGAUCUUGAUCAACCUAGUGUAUCUAUGACCAUUCUUUGGAUAAUACCUUGAAUACCAUCUUGGUCAUCAUAUAAACUCCUUAAACCCAACAGAUGGACUUCAAGAAGUGCCUAUGGACAAAUCCUAUAAAUAUAACUUAAGGCAACCAUUAGUCCAUAGGAAUUGUCAUCAAUUACCAAAACCACAUAUGGAGAUAUAUGCUCUAACAAUCUCCCCCAUUUUGGUAACUGAAGACAACCACUUCAAGAGAGUUUAUAUAAGGAAAUAAGCAUAAGCGUGAAGAUGUAAAUGCUUACGCAAUAAAAGCAAAACCCUCUAAACAUAUCCAAAGUAAACUCUCUAAACUUCUCCCCCAUUGGCAUCGAUCGCCAAAAUGGACAAAAAGUUUAGAAAGCCAAUAUAGUAGGUGGUCCUCCAAAAGGUGUGUUGUGUACUGCUCAGCAAAUGAGUGCAGAGAAAUACACAAAUACAAUGAUAAGUAGAGGACCCAAAUAUUGCAAAUAAAAGGAUCAUAUGCCACAAAGACAUACAAAAAUAGAGGCAAGCAAUCAAAAGAUUCCUGAUGGAACAAACAAUCAUAUGGUCCUUCGAACCACAUGAAUAGAAGAUAUUAUGAUAAAGGCAACAUAGUGUUUUAUCAAAAACUAGAGAAGCUCCCCAUGAUUUGUGCACAAAUACGAGAUUUUUGUAUUUGAUAGAGGUGCACAAAAUAGAAUCGUUGCUCCCCCAAAAUUAAUAAAAACACACAACGAGUGCAAGAAGAUAGAUGAGACAAUAAACAUAUCAAUUGCACAAAACAAAUGGUUGAGCAACAUGUAAAAGAAGCAACUUAAGAAUAGGCUCAACCAAAGUAAUGUGUGUGAGUCAUGGCAAAGAACUUGAGAAGACUAAGAUAAGGAUGAGCAUUACUCAUCAACAUAGUCUUGAUGAAAUGAGAUACAAAGUGCAAGACAUAUCAUUCCCACACACACAUACUAGAAAAUGGGUUCACAAGCUUACUAAUAAACAAAAUAAGAACCAACGCUUGUGACAACCCAUUGUGAAGAUAGAAAGUAAGAACCUUGUUAAGAGGAGAGAUACUAAUGAAAUGGCAAAACCCUCAUCAAGACAAGCAUGAGGAAAAAUAAUCUUCAUGGCCAAAGAGUGCAUCAAGAUGUAGGAAAAUAAGAUACGCACUCAAAAUAAAACUUUUCACGAAGCCACCAAAAGCUGAAAAAGGAAAUGCAAUGAUGAUCGUGAAAGAAAAGAGGAUAUUAAUUACAGAUGUAACUUCUCUCAUGUGUAAAAGAUUCUAAGUAGAAGACAAUCAUGAUGAUAUAUAUCCACAAAGAAGGAUGUACACACGAAAUGGUUACAAGAAGGAACAAACUAGAUAUCCAAAAGGAAGUCAUAAAUAUAUCAAUGUGAUCUUUUGCUUGGAAGCAUAGCACAUGGCCUAAUAUUUUCUUAUUGUACAAUAUGAACUUCCAACAUACGAACAUCAAAGACAUCCCAACUAGUAGUAAGACAUCAUCGUUCGGAUGCUUUGAGAAAGCAAACAAGUACUACGAGAACAAAUCAAGAGAUUCAUGCCAUGAUGCAACCUGGAAAAGAAAAGACAGGUUGGGUCCUUUGCAAGAAAAGAAUGCAUGAAGUGGAUACUUGUUACCGAGACAACAUUGGAUUGAUGUAGUAGAUAGUUGUUCUUUGAUCAUCCUAACUUGGCUCCAAUAAUCACAUGGUCUCAACAUCUUCCUUAUAGGUGAGCCGAGCAUCCAAUGCAUCUCCAGUUGUUCCUGGAACAACAAAACAAACAAAAUGGUGCCCAAACUCAUUGGGACCAAAGAGUUAGAAAACCAGCAAUACAUAGGACAAACUCCACAUACAUAUGUGCAUAUAGAUAUGAAUUUGAAUUUCAUGCACACUUUAGCCAAUUUAUGACAAGGUGGAGUUUCCCCUAUAUAUUGGGUCAAAGAAGGAAAACAAGCAAAACAAGUUGUAUAUAGUAGCUAGAUACGCAUGCUCAAGACUCUCAAGAAUCAACUCAACACAAAGUUGAUAAGUCAUCAAAAGACAAGGUAUCAAGUGAUAAUAAGAUCCUAAAACAAAAGAACUAUCACUUGAAGGGUAUCAAUUAAAAGAUACCUCAAGGAAUGAGAUAUCCAUUGGCACAUGCCAAAUAGAAGGCAACAAGAAACCAAUUGAAGGAAAACAAACACGAGGUAUCUAAUUUCCAAGAGAGAGCUAGGUUCCAACAAACCAAGCCCUUGACAAAUUUUCAUGAUGGCACAAAGCAUCAUAAAGAGCAAGACUUGCCUCCCAUCAACACAUACUUGAUGGGGAUCAAAAGAUUUUAUGAUGGGUGAAUAAAGAGAGUGUUUUAAAGAAAAUAGGAUAGCUCCCCCAAGGGACGUGCAUUAUAUAGAAUUUGCAUUUGAAUACAAAACGCACACGAUGGGAUCAUCACUUUCUCUAUAUCUAUAAAAACACUAGACAUGUUAAAAUAGAUUCAUAAGAGGCAAGGAAGACAAACGAAACAGAAAAUCCAAUGUAAAGAUGAUUAGCAAUUCCUAUCACAUGAUGGGAAUACCAAUUGUCAAGGACAAGAAGUAUUUUCGAAGUGAUACUCAUUGGUAGAUCACAAAUAUAUCCAAGACCAUCUUUACCCAUAAAACGCAAGCAAAUGACACUUGUAGAGCUAACAUGCCACGUAGGAACAAGAUAAUUUACAAUAUCAACACUAAGUGGCAACACGUCAAAUGUACACAUUUUCUAGGUUUGUAAUAUGCACAUAGCAUAUUACUCCCCCAUAAUGUGAUAAACCAACAACAUUAACAAGUGGCAAAUUAAAACCAACAAGAGAUACUUAAUGGACCAUAUAGAAUUUGAAUUUCUCAUGAGUAAGACAUACCACAUAGAAACUAGAUAAUCUUGAAGUAUCAAAACUAAGUGGUAUUCCCCAUGUAUACACAUUUAUAAGAUUGUGAGGUGUGCAAAGCACAUCACUCCCCCACAAUGGGAUAAUCCAUUAAUCUCUCACAAGAGCCAACAAAAAAUAUAAACAAAAUGCAAAAAGGCUCAAUACAAGACUCACAUGUACAUAAUAUGCAAACCAACAUACCCGUACUCGAUUACUCAAGAUAAGCAAGUUGGAAGCACAACAUAUACAAACGCAUGCAAGGUACAAAACCACAACAUGCAAAGGGGCAAGCACCUAACAAUGUAAACAGUUUAAGUAUAAGUUAUCGUAAGGAGGCACAUUGGAUAUAAGAUAGAAACUCGAUAAUCCAAAUGACUUGGCUUGAGAUAAUAUGAAUGAUGAAGACCCCUUAAUUCUUCAUUAUGUAUCCAAGUCUCUAAUGUCCUCCAUAGUCACCUAUUGAUCAAGUUUGAGCUUGUUGGUCCCCAACUACGUUGGGUCCUAAGAGGUUAAUCACAAUAGGCUUGGCAACCCAAAUGGUUCUUUUCUUGACUCCAUUUUGAGUACCAACAAACUUGGCAAACACAUUGCCAACCUUAUCCUUCCCAAGGGAAUAGGUAUCAUCAAUAGUGAUUGGGUUGGAUAAGUUACCUCUCGUGCAAGACGAAGCGACGUGACCCUUCUCACGACAUAAGUAGCAACAUCUACCCUUUGUUUUCUUCCCAGUUGAUUUCUCACCUUGGGGAGUGUUGGCUUGGGUAUUAUUGGGAAGAGGCCUUCUUUCAACUUGUAGUUGAAUAUGUGAUUGAGUUUGUGGAUGCUUCCCUUGUUGCUUGUGACUUUGAGACUUCGUCUUCAGAGGGCAAGAUCUAACAUGGUGCCCUUUAACUUUGCACUUGAAGCAAAUGAUUUUGGACGAAUUCUUGACUUGUUCUAGGCCCCUCUUGUUCUUGUUUGAGUUUACUCCAACAUCAUUUUUGUCAUUCGGAGAUGUUUGCUCACACAGGACGUUGUUGAGUGUGGACAUCCCUUCAUGACACUGUUCCAAGUCUUUCUUCAAAGAAGUGACUUGGGCCUUGAGCUCUUCGAUUUCCUCUGCACGGUUAGUAUCAAUGCAAGUACUAGAGGAAGUGUAAGCUUCAAUGUUAGAGAAACAAGGCAAGGAAAGUAAUUCAUCACACGAGGUAGCAACAUUAUGAGUAGACGGAUUACGAGGACUAGCACAUGGAAAUAUAGUACUUUGACUAGAAGUAGUGCCAUUGUCCACAUGAGGCUCACUUGACGUUACCUUGGUGAUGAUAGCCUCAUGAGCUCACUUUUGCACAUUAUGGGAUGUUAGAAGAUCAGCAUGAGGGCUUGUGAGCAUUACAUGGUUUUCUUCCAACUUCCCAUAAUUGCUAGUUAGUAAAUCAAGUUGAGCACGUAGCUCAACAUUCUCCUUCAAUGUUGAUACUUCAAAAGAGAUAGGGUUAGAUGUACAAGUAUCAUCAACAAUAUGAGAGGAGUAAGUAGCGAUUAGACACUUCUCAUGAGUAGAUUGAAGCUCCUCAAAUAUCUUAGAGGUUUUGACGAGCUCUCCCUUGACAUUCUUGCAUUCAAGGAGAAGGACCUCAAAAUCCCUUUUAAGUUUAUCAUGAGCAACUUCAAUCUCUCCUUUUGAAGAUCUUAAGUCUCUACAUGCUUGAUGACUCUUCUCAAGUUCAUGUUCAAGUUGUUCACUUUUAGCUUGUUCAUGAUUAAGGGAAUCAUUACAAUUUUCAAAGUAAGCAAGAACAUCUUGGAACCUUUGAAGAGCAUUAUUUUUAGCUUUAUGAAGAAUUUUACUGAUCACAUAGAUAUUUUCAGUCAAGUCAUCAUCAUCAUCCUCAUCGCAAAUAUCAUCGUUAUUGCACAGGGAAGAUGAUACCUCAUUAUUACCUCUUGCCAUGAGGCACAUGUGAACUGGAGGAGUUGAUGAUGAUUCUUUUGGUGAAUCAGAUUCUUCAUUAGUCAAAAGUACUUCAUAUUUCUUGAUUUCCCCAAAAUGAUUAGUCAUAGAGCAACUAGGGAGAAACAAGAUAUUUUGAUCAAGAGGACACGAGGAAGCAGGCAUAUCACCACAGACAUUUGUCGAGGGAUCUUUAGGUGAAAUGCAUGACCUAUCAGCACAAUAAUUUACACUAUGUGUGGUGCUAGAUAUGCUCGUGUCCAUAGAAGCUAUGACAUUUUCAUCAACAUAUAUUUCUUCACUCACUAUGUCAUUACCUUGUGAGAUUGAAGAUACUGAGGUGUGCAAGCAAUCGGAUAUGGAAGUAGUGGUGGACUCUUUAAGAUCGAAAAGAGUGAAGAGCUCAUGCACCAACUCCUUCAUCAUAAUACCGUCUUCAUCAAGAUUGGACCCACCAUAUAUAUCUUCAAGUUUAGUCCAAACUUCAUGAGCUGACUUGCAAGUCGAGAUAGACUUAAACACAUCAGGACUUAUGGUUCGAUGAAUGGCAAGAAAAGCCUCACAAUCAAGAUACAUUUCAUUAGUAGAUGAAGAUGCAUCAUCCUUUUUGUCGGCAAUCCCUACAAGAACAAUUCGUAAAGUAUUUGGGCCCAUGGCCCGAAAGUGAUGAAGCAUACGAAUUCUCCAUAGGGUAUAAUUUGUGCCAUCAAAGUCAAAUAUGCCAUUGUGCACUAAUCCAAUAGUCGACAUCGAUACUCUCUAGGUCGUGAAACCUAAUUAAAGAGAGACCUAGCUCUGAUACCAAUUGAAAAGACCUCGAUGACGCCUAGAGGGGGGGGGUGANNNNNNNNNNNNNNNNNNNNNNNNNNNNNNNNNNNNNNNNNNNNNNNNNNNNNNNNNNNNNNNNNNNNNNNNNNNNNNNNNNNNNNNNNNNNNNNNNNNNCAAGAUGACUAAGACUCCAUUCUCAGGAAAUGCCUCAUGGGAACCGUGACUGUUCCCCUCAAUACAGAAGCACUUAGUCUCGGGUUUGGGUUUAAUCUUGGGUCUCUUCAUUAGUGCAGCAACUGUUUUGCCGUUUCACGAAGUAUCCCUUCUAGACCUUGCCUUUCUUGAAACUUAGUGGUUUUACAAACCAUCAACUAUUGAUGCUCCUUCUUGAUUUCUACUUUCGCAGUGUCAAACAUCGCGAAUCGCUCAAGGAUCAUUGUAUCUAUCUUUGAUAUGUUAUAGUUCAUCACGAAGCUCUCACAGCUUGGUGGCAGUGACUUUGGAGAACCAUCACUAUCUCAUCUGGAAGAUUAACUCCCACUUGAUUCAAGUGAUUGUCGUACUCAGACAAUCUGAGCACACGCUCAAUGAUUGAGCUUUUCUCCUUUACUUUGUGGAUAAAGAAUCUUGUCGGAGGUCUCGAACCUCUCAACAAGGGCACGAGCAUGAAAUCACAAUUUCAUCUCUUUAGAACACCACUUAUGUUCCGUGACGUUUCAAAACGUCUUAGGUGCCUGGCUUCUAAGACAUUAAGUAUUUUUCAUUGAACUAUCGUGUAGUCAUCAGAAACGUGUAUGUCGGAUGUUCACAGCAUCCACAGACGACGCUCGAGGUGCAGCACACCGAGUGGUGCAUUAAGGACAUAAGCCUUCUGCGCAGCAACGAGGACAAUCCUCUUCAAAGUUUGCUACUAUCAACUUUCAACUAAAUUUUCUCUAGGAACAUAUAAAAACAGUAGAGCUAUAGCGCAAGCUACAUCGUAAUUCGCAAAGACCUUUAGACUAUGUUCAUGACAAUUAGUUCAAUUAAUCAUAUUACUUAAGAACUCCCACUCAAAAAGUACAUCUCUCUAGUCAUUUGAGUGGUACAUGAUCCAAAUCCACUAUCUCAAGUCCGAUCAUCAUGUGAGUCGAGAAUAGUUUCAGUGGUAAGCAUCUCUAUGCUAAUCAUAUCAACUAUAUGAUUCAUGCUCGACCUUUCGGUCUCAUGUGUUCCAAGGCCAUGUCUACACAUGCUAGGCUCGUCAAGUUUAACCCGAGUGUUCCGCGUGUGCAACUGUUUUGCACCCGUUGUAUGUGAACGUUGAGUCUAUCACACCCGAUCAUCACGUGGUGUCUCGAAACGAAGAACUGUCGCAACGGUGCACAGUCGGGGAGAACACAAUUUUUUCUUGAAAUUUUAGUGAGAGAUCACCUCAUAAUGCUACCGUCGUUCUAAGCAAGAUAAGGUGCAUAAAGGAUUAACAUCACAUGCAAUUCAUAAGUGACAUGAUAUGGCCAUCAUCAUGUGCUUCUUGAUCUCCAUCACAAAAGCACCGGCACGAUCUUCUUGUCACCGGCGUCACACCAUGAUCUCCAUCAUCAUGAUCUCCAUCAACGUGUCGCCAUCGGGGUUGUCGUGCUACUCAUGCUAUUACUACUAAAGCUACGUCCUAGCAAUAUAGUAAACCCAUCUGCAAGCACAAACGUUACUUUAAAGACAACCCUAUGGCUCCUGCCGGUUGCCGUACCAUCGACGUGCAAGUCGAUAUUAACUAUUACAACAUGAUCAUCUCAUACAUNNNNNNNNNNNNNNNNNNNNNNNNNNNNNNNNNNNNNNNNNNNNNNNNNNNNNNNNNNNNNNNNNNNNNNNNNNNNNNNNNNNNNNNNNNNNNNNNNNNNUAACCAUUUUAUUAUUGCCUCUAGGGCAUAUUUCCAACAGUCUCCCAGUUGCACUAGAGUCAAUAAUCUAGUUACAUUGUGAUGUAUCGAACACCCAUAGCAUUAUGGUGUUGAUCAUGUUUUGCUCGUGGAAGAGGUUUAGUCAACGGGUCUGCAAUAUUCAGAUCCGUGUGUACUUUACAAAUAUCUAUCACUCCACUCUGGACAUGGUCCUGGAUGGAGCUGUAGCGGCGUUUGAUGUGCUUCGUCUUCCGGUGAAACCUGGGCUCCUUGGCUAUGGAAAUGGCCCCAGUGUUAUCACAGAAGAGUGUCAUAGGACCCGACGCGCUUGGAACCACUCCAAGGUCGGUGAUGAGCUCCUUCAUCCAAAUUCCUUCUUGAGCCGCUUCUGAAGCAGCUAUGUACUCCGCUUCACGUGUAGAUGCUGCCACGACUUCUUGCUUGCUGCUGCACCAGCUCACUGCCCCACCAUUCAACACAUAUACGUAUCCGGUCUGUGACUUAGAGUCAUCCGGAUCUGUGUCGAAGCUAGUGUCGACGUAACCCUUUACGACGAGCUCUUCGUCACCUCCAUAAACGAGAAACAUUUCCUUAGUCCUUUUCAGGUACUUAAGGAUAUUCUUGACCGCUGUCCAGUGUUCCAUACCUGGCUCACUUUGGUACCUCCCUACCAAACUUAUGGCAAGGUUUAUAUCAGGUCUGGUACACAGCAUGGCAUACAUUAGAGAGCCCACGGCUGAAGCGUAGGGGACAGAACUCAUCUUCUCUCUAUCUGCUGCCGUGGUCGGCGACUGAGUCUUACUCAAUCUCAUACCUUGCAAAACUGGCAAGAACCCUUUCUUUGAGUUUUCCAUAUUGAACUUCUUCAAUAUCUUGUCAAGGUAUGUACUUUGCAAAAGACCUAUGAGGCGUCUUGAUCUAUCUCUAUAGAUCUUGAUGCCUAAUAUGUAUGCAGCUUCUCCAAGGUCCUUCAUUAAAAAACUCUUGUUCAAAUAGGCCUUUAUGCUCUCCAACAUCUCUAUAUUAUUCCCCAUCAAUAAUAUGUCAUCCACAUAUAGUAUGAGGAAAGCUACAGAGCUCCCACUCACUUUAUUGCACAGACAGGCUUCUCCGUAAACCUGUAUGAACCCAAAAGCUUUAAUCACCUCAUGAAAGCGAAUGUUCCAACUCCGAGAUGCUUGCACCAGCCCAUAGAUGGAGCGCUGGAGCUUGCACACUUUGUUAGCACCCUUAGGGUCGACAAAACCUUCUGGUUGCAUCAUAUACAACUCUUCCUUAAGGUUCCCGUUAAGGAACGCUGUUUUGACGUCCAUUUGCCAAAUUUCAUAAUCAUAAAAGGCGGCAAUUGCUAACAUGAUUCGGACUGAUUUCAGCUUCGCUACGGGAGAGAAAGUCUCUUCGUAGUCAACUCCUUGAAUUUGUCGAAAACCCUUUGCGACAAGUCGAGCUUUGUAAACGAUUACAUUACCAUUUGCAUCAGUCUUCUUCUUGAAGAUCCAUUUAUUUUCUAUGGCUUGCCGGUUAUCGGGCAAGUCCACCAAAGUCCAUAUUUUGUUCUCAUACAUGGAUCCUAUCUCGGAUUUCAUGGCAUCAAGCCAUUUGUUGGAAUCCGGGCCCUCCAUCGCUUCUUCAUAGUUCGAAGGUUCACCGUUGUCUAACAACAUGAUUUCCAUCACAGGGUUGCCGUACCACUCUGGUGCUGAGCGUGCCCUUGUGGACCUUCGCGGUUCAGUGGUAACUUGAUCCGAAGCUUCAUGAUCAUCAUCGUUAACUUCCUCUUCAGAUGGUGUAGGCUCCACAGGAACAACUUCCCGCGCUGCACUACUAUCCUGUUCGAGAGGGGGUGCAAUUACCUCAUCAAGUUCUACCUUCCUCCCACUUACUUAUUUCGAGAGAACCUCUUUCUCUAGAAAGUAUCCGUUCUUGGCAACAAAGGUUUUACCUUCGGAUCUAAGAUAGAAGGUAUACCCUAUAGUUUCCUUAGAGUAUCCUAUGAAUACGCAUUUCUCCGCUUUGGGUUCGAGCUUUUCUGGUUGAAGUUUCUUCACAUAAGCAUCGCAGCCCCAAACUUUAAGAAACGACAACUUAGGUUUCUUGCCAAACCAUAGUUCAUACGGUGUCGUCUCAACGGAUUUAGACGGUGCCCUAUUUAAAGUGAAUGCUGCAGUUUCUAAUGCGUAUCCCCAAAAUGAUAGCGGUAAGUUGGUGAGAGACAUCAUAGAUCGUACCAUAUCUAAUAAAGUGCGAUUACGACGUUCAGACACUCCGUUGCGCUGCGGUGUGCCAGGCGGCGUCAGUUGUGAAACGAUUGCACACUUCCUUAGGUGUGUGCCAAACUCGUGACUCAAAUAUUCUCCUCCACGAUCAGAUCGUAGACAUUUAAUUUUUCUGUCACGUUGAUUCUCAGCCUCACUCUGAAGUUCCUUGAACUUUUCAAACGUCUCAGAUUUGUGCUUCAUCAAGUAGAUAUACCCAUACCUACUCAAAUCAUCGGUGAGGGUGAGAACAUAACGAUAACCACCGCGAGCUUCAACGUUCAUUGGACCACACACAUCAGUAUGUAUUAUUUCCAAUAAGUCGGCUGCUCUCUCCAUUAUUCCUGAGAAUGGAGUCUUAGUCAUCUUGCCCAUGAGGCACGGUUCGCAUGUGUCAAAUGAUUCAAAGUCAAGAGACUCUAAUAGUCCAUCAGUAUGGAGCUUCUUCAUGCGCUUAACGCCGAUAUGACCAAGGCGGCAGUGCCACAAGUAUGUGGGACUAUCAUUAUCAACUUUGCAUCUUUUGGUACUCACACUAUGAAUAUGUGUAACAUCACGAUCGAGAUUCAUCAAGAAUAAACCAUUCACCAGCGGAGGAUGACCAUAAAACAUAUCACUCAUAUAAAUAGAACAACUAUUAUUCUUUGACUUAAAUGAGUAGCCGUCUCGCAUUAAGCAAGACCCUGAUACAAUGUUCAUGCUUAAAGCUGGUACUAAAUAACAAUUAUUAAGGUUUAAAACUAAUCCCGACGGUAGAUGUAGAGGUAGCGUGCCGACGGCGAUCACAUCGACUUUUGAACCAUUCCCGACGCGCAUCGUCACCUUGUCCUUGGCCAGUCUCCACUUAUUCCGCAGUUCCUGCUUUGAGUUGCAAAUGUGAGCAACAGCACCGGUAUCAAAUACCCAGGAGCUACUACGAGCGCUGGUAAGGUACACAUCAAUAACAUGUAUAUCACAUAUACCUUUAACGUUGCCGGCCUUCUUGUCCGCUAAGUAUUUGGGGCAGUUCCGCUUCCAGUGACCUUCUCCCUUGCAAUAGAAGCACUCAGUCUCGAGCUUGGGUCCGUUCUUUUUCUUCUUCCCGGCAUCUGGCUUACCGGGCGCGGCAACAGCUUUGCCGUCUUUCUUGAAGUUCUUCUUACCCUUGCCUUUCUUGAAACUAGUGGUCUUGUUGACCAUCAACACUUGAUGCUCUUUCUUGAUUUCUACUUCUGCAGAUUUGAGCAUCGAGUACAACUCGGGUAUGGUCUUCUCCAUCCCUUGCAUGUUGUAGUUAAGCACAAAGCCUUUGUAGCUUGGUGGGAGAGACUGGAGGAUUCUGUCAAUUAUAGCAUCAUCCGGAAGUUCGACUCCAAGUGAAGUCAGACGACCGUGUAACCCAGAAAUUUUGAGUAUGUGCUCACUGACAGAACUGUUCUCCUCCAUCUUACAGCUAAAGAACUUGUCGGAGACUUCAUAUCUCUCGACACGGGCAUGAGCUUGAAAAACUAGCUUCAGCUCCUGGAACAUCUCAUAUGCUCUAUGUUGCUCAAAACGUCUUUGGAGCCCCGUUUCUAAACUGUAUAACAUGCCACACCUGACCAGAGAGUAGUCAUCACUCCGCGUUUGCCAGACGUUCAGAAUGUCCUGGGCCGAUGCGGGAGCGGGAGGGUCACCUAGCGGCACAUCAAGGACAUAAGCCUUUUUAGCUGCUUCAAGGAUGAGCUUCAAGUUGCGAACCCAGUCCGCAUAGUUGCUACAAUCAUCUUCAACUUGUUUUUCUCUAGGAAUGCGUUGAAAUUGAGGUUGACGUUGGACAUCUACAAUAUUUAUAAAGACAACUUUUAGAAUAAGUUCAUGACAAUUAAGUUCAUUUAAUCAAAUUAAGUAUGAACUCCCACUUAAAUCGACAUCCCUCUAGUCAUCUAAGUGACACAUGAUCCAUGUUGACUAACCCGUGUCCGAUCAUCACGUGAGACGGACUAGUCACCAUGGUGAGCAACUCCAUGCUGAUCGUAUUCAACCAUACGACUCAUGUUCGACCUUUCGGUCUCUUGUAUUCGAGGUCAUGUCUGUACAUGCUAAGCUCGUCGAGUCAACCUACGUGUUUCGCGUGUGUAAAUCUGGCUUACACCCGUUGUAUGCAAACGUUAGAAUCUAUUACACCCGAUCAUCACGUGGUGCUUCGAGACAACGAACCUUCGCAACGGUGCACACUUAGGGGAAUACGUUCUCGAAAUUUUAAGGGGGAUCAUCUUAUUAUGCUACCGUCGUUCUAAGCAAUAAGAUGUAAAACAUGAUAAACAUCACAAUGCAAUCAUAUAGUGACAUGAUAUGGCCAUUAUCAUCUUUGCUCUUUCGAUCUCCAUCUUCAGGCAUCGCAUGAUCAUCAUCGUCACCGGCGUGACACCAUGAUCUCCAUCAUCGUGUCUCCGUGAAGUCGUCACGCCAACUACUACUAUCAUUACUACUAUAGCUAACCGUUAGCAAUGAAGUAAAAGUAGUAAGCACAUGGCGUUGCAUCUCAUACAAUAAAUUAAGACAACUCCUAUGGCUCCUGCCGGUUGCCAUACUCAUCGACAUGCAAGUCGUGAAACCUAUUACAAUAACAUGAUCAUCUCAUAGAUCAUACAUGCAACAUCACAAAUUUGGACAUAUCACAUCACACGUCAAACCCUGCAAAAACAAGUUAGACGUCCUCUAAUUGUUGUUGCAAGUUUUACGUGGCUGAUUUGGGUUUCUAGCAAGAACGCCUUCUUACCUACGUGACAGCCACAACGAUGAUAUGCCAAAGAUAUUUACCCUUCAUAAGGACCCUUUUCAUCAAAUCCAAUCCGACUAGAGUAGGAGAGACAGACACCCGCUAGUCACCUUUAUGCACGGUGUGCAUGUCUGUCGUGGAACCAGUCUCACGUAAGAGUACGUGUAAAGUCGGUCCGGGCCGUUUCAUCCCACAAUACCGCCGGAAAAGAAUAAGACUAGUAGCAGCAAGCAAAUUGACAAAUCAUCGCCCACAACUUUUGUGUUCUACUCGUGCAUAGAAUCUACGCAUAGAAAACCUGGCUCUGAUACCACUGUUAGGUAACGUAGCAUAAAUUCAAAAUUUUCCUANNNNNNNNNNNNNNNNNNNNNNNNNNNNNNNNNNNNNNNNNNNNNNNNNNNNNNNNNNNNNNNNNNNNNNNNNNNNNNNNNNNNNNNNNNNNNNNNNNNNNNNNNNNNNNNNNNNNNNNNNNNNNNNNNNNNNNNNNNNNNNNNNNNNNNNNNNNNNNNNNNNNNNNNNNNNNNNNNNNNNNNNNNNNNNNNNNNNNNNNNNNNNNNNNNNNNNNNNNNNNNNNNNNNNNNNNNNNNNNNNNNNNNNNNNNNNNNNNNNNNNNNNNNNNNNNNNNNNNNNNNNNNNNNNNNNNNNNNNNNNNNNNNNNNNNNNNNNNNNNNNNNNNNNNNNNNNNNNNNNNNNNNNNNNNNNNNNNNNNNNNNNNNNNNNNNNNNNNNNNNNNNNNNNNNNNNNNNNNNNNNNNNNNNNNNNNNNNNNNNNNNNNNNNNNNNNNNNNNNNNNNNNNNNNNNNNNNNNNNNNNNNNNNNNNNNNNNNNNNNNNNNNNNNNNNNNNNNNNNNNNNNNNNNNNNNNNNNNNNNNNNNNNNNNNNNNNNNNNNNNNNNNNNNNNNNNNNNNNNNNNNNNNNNNNNNNNNNNNNNNNNNNNNNNNNNNNNNNNNNNNNNNNNNNNNNNNNNNNNNNNNNNNNNNNNNNNNNNNNNNNNNNNNNNNNNNNNNNNNNNNNNNNNNNNNNNNNNNNNNNNNNNNNNNNNNNNNNNNNNNNNNNNNNNNNNNNNNNNNNCAAUAACCAUCAGCGGGAUCAGGAUACCCAUGGUGGCUCCCACUUGCUCCACGAUGAUCUCAUCGGAUGAACCACGAUGUCAAGGAUUCAAUCAAUCUCGUACACGAUUCCCUUUGUUUGUCGGUAUAGAACUUGCCCGAGAUUCGAUCGUCGGUAUACCUAUACCUUGUUCAAUCUCGUUAUCGGUAAGUCCCUUUACUCGUUCCGUAGCACGUCAUCCUGUGACUAACUCCUUAGUCACAUUGAGCUCAUGAUGAUGUUCUACCGAGUGGGCCCAGACAUACCUCUCCGUCAUACGGAGUGACAAAUCCCGAUCUCGAUUCGUACCAACCCAACAGAUACUUUCGGAGGUACCCGUAGUGCACCUUUAUAGUCACCCAGUUACGUUGUGACGUUUGAUACACCCAAAGCACUCCUACGGUAUCCGGGAGUUGCACAAUCUCACGGUCGAAGGAAAAGAUACUUGACAUUAGAAAAGCAUUAGCAUACGAACAAUACGAUCUAGUGCUAGGCUUAGGAUUGGGUCUUGUCCAUCACAUCAUUCUCCCAAUGAUGUGAUCCCGUUAUCAAUGACAUCUAAUGCCCAUGAUCAGGAAACCAUGAUCAUCUAUUGACUAACGAGCUAGCCAACUAGAGGCUUGCCAGGGACACAUUGUGAUCUAUUUAUUCACACAUGUAUUACUGUUUCCUGUUAAUACAAUUAUAGCAUGAACAAUAGACGAUUAUCAUGAACAAGGAAAUAUGAUAAUAACCAUUUUAUUAUUGCCUCUAGGGCAUAUUUCCAACAUAUUCAUCUUCAUUUGUCCACCAUGUGAACAUCCACAAGAAUCAAGCAUGUAGUGCUCAGGAAUGCUUAUCUUGAUCUUGUCCUUGUUAGCACAUGAGCUUGUCCUUAUCAACACAUGAUCAUUAACAAUAGUUUCAAUGAUAUAUUCGUGCUGAUCCACUUGAACUUGCACACCAUAAUCUUGAUGACGAUCGCCACUUGACGUCAUCCUUCAUGGGUUGUAUGAGAUCUUCCUUUUGACGCAAGCCCAUGGAAGCACACCUAACUCCCACAUAGGACUCUCACAAAGACCAUGGGUUAGUACACAAACACGUAAUGGACAAUGCUUACCAUACCAUGGGAUCACUUGAUUCCUCUCGGUACAUCUUGUACGCUUUGUGUGCUGAUCAUCUUGAUUUACUCUUUGUCUGAGAUCUUGAACAACCUUGUGUCUCUAUGACCAUUCUUUGGAUAAUACUUUGAAUACCACCUUGGUUAUCAUAUAAACUCCUUGAACCCAACAGAUGGACUUCAAGAAGUGCCUAUGGACAAAUCCUAUAAAUAUAACUUAAGGCAACCAUUAGUCCAUAGGAAUUGUCAUCAAUUACCAAAACCACAUAUGGAGAUAUAUGCUCUAACACCUGCGCCAUGCACAGCGGGUGGAGCCCGCCAGCCCGUCACCCCGACGCGUGGCUCCACGCUGCUAGUCUCGCCGGCGCCAGCCGAGGCUGCCUCGCCCGGCUCUCAGCCGGCCUCCCCUGUGUCGGCCGCUGCCACGCCUGGCUCCCAGCCGACCUCACCUGCGCUGGCUACUGCUUCGACGGAUCCCGGGCUGCCGCCCAGCUCUGCGUCGGAGGUCUUGGCUCCAUCAUCUCCUACACCAACACCGCCUGUUCUGCCUGCUGUCACGCAUCGUCCUCGCACACGUAGCCAAUCCGGUGUUCUUUGUCCAAAGGAACGCACGGAUGGUACGGUUGCAUGGCUGGCUGCGUGUAUGGCUCAUACUGUUGCUAAUCCCACUGCCGAGCCUUGUCAUUUUCAGGCUGCACUCAGUAUUCCACACUGGCGUAUGGCAAUGGAAUAGGAAGUUCAGGCUCUCCACAAGAAUAACACUUGGCGCCUUGUUCCUCCAGUUUCUGGUGUCAACAUUAUUGAUUCCAAGUGGGUUUUUAAAGUCAAACGACAUGCUGAUGGCUCCAUUGGACGCUACAAGGCACGGCUGGUUGCAAAGGGCUUCAAACAGAGGUAUGAUCUUGAUUAUGAAGACACGUUCAGUCCAGUCAUCAAGCCCACUACCAUUCGAUUGCUACUGUCUCUUGCUGUUACUAGAGGAUGGUUCCUUCGUCAGCUUGAUGUAUAGAAUGUUUUUCUCCAUGGAGUUCUGGAGGAGGAGGUUUAUAUGCGUCAGCCACCUGAUUUUGUUGAUCCGGCUCGCCCUCAUCAUCUCUGUCGUCUGGUUAAGGCAUUGUACGGACUCAAGCAGGCUCCUCGUGUGUGGCAUGCUCGCCUUGGAUCUGUUCUUCGGGCUCUUGGGUUUACUCCCUCCACUGCUGAUAUGCCGCUCUUUCUACUCCAGCGCCAUGAGGUUACGAUGUAUCUUUUGGUAUAUGUUGAUGACAUCAUUCUCAUCAGUUCCUCUGACUCUGCUGCUGAUCGUCUUGUGACUGCCCUCAGUGCUGAUUUUGCUGUCAAGGAUUUAGGUGCUCUGCAUUUUUUCCUUGGUCUGGAGGUUUCACGUUCUUCUGCUGGGCUGACUCUCACUCAGAAGAAGUACUCCUUGGACUUGUUGCGCCAUGCUGGUAUGAUCAAAUGCAAACACGCUAUCACCCCGAUGUCUGCCACUGAUCGGUUGUCUGCUCUUGAUGGUGAUUCUCUAUCUUCUGAUGAUGCUACUGAGUAUCGUAGCCUUGUUGGUGGUUUACAAUACAUCACCAUUACUCGGCCUGAUAUCUCCUACGCAGUCAACCGUGUGUGCCAAUUUUUGCAUGCGCUCACGACAUCUCAUUGGUCAGCAGUGAAACGUAUUUUGCGCUAUGUCAGUCUUACUGCUUCCUAUGGCUUGCUUCUUCAGCCGGCACCUUCGUUGGAGUUGUCUGCUUUCUCUGAUGCGGACUGGACUGGCAAUCCUGACGACAGGCGAUCCACGGGGGGAUAUGCGGUAUUUCUGGGUUCUAACUUGAUCGCCUGGAAUGCUCGUAAGCAAGUAACAGUGUCUCGCAGUAGUACUGAAGCUGAGUACAAAGCUGUUGCUGACGCGACUGCUGAGAUUAUAUGGGUACAGUCUCUAUUGAGAGAGUUGCAUGUUACUCAAGCUCAUCCACCGGUUCUGUGAUGUGACAACAUUGGUGCUACCUAUCUUUCAUCCAACCCGGUGUUUCAUGCUAGGACUAAACACAUUGAAGUGGACUAUCACUUUGUUCGGGAACAUGUUGCACAGAAGCUACUUUCUAUCAAGUUCAUCUCAUCAAAGGAUCAACUUGCUGACAUCUUCACGAAGCCUCUUCCACAACCACAGUUUGUAGGCUGUAGGCGCAAUCUUAACUUGCUUUGUACUUCAGGCCAUAGUUAAGAUUGAGGAAGGGUGUUAGACUGUAUAUACGUAGCCCUGUAUACAUAUACUGUACAUUGUAUUCUACCCCUUGGGUAUCCUUAUAUAAUGAGAUAGCCACACCCCGUUUAGGGUGUCGAGCACUUUUCAAACAUUACGUUUUACAAUCCUGACCUCUAAGAUUUGCAUAUGCGAAGCUUUUAACAAUUGCGCAUGAAUGACGCCGGGGCAGAUGUGGCGUCUCGCCGGUCGCCGUCCAUGGUGGAUCCGAGCUUCUUUUGCGUGCGGGGAGGCAUGGACCCAAGCUACCUAGCUAGGACGAAAUCAGCAACAAAGACGUGGAGGCUUCUUGAGCAACGCAGCGUGGGCAAUCGACGCGAACCAGAGAGAGGUAAAAAAGCAAGAUGACGCCGCGUGGCCCCGCCCCAACAACACCCACGACGCGUCGAACACACAAACACACACAGGAGCAUCAAGCAAGCAUGUGAUGCUCUCGUCUCGCAGCAGUGAUGAAGGACAGAGGAAACCACGGGACGGGCAAGGAGCGCGGGUUCCAUGUUUGGAGUAGCUCAUUUUCAACUACUACUAGUAGCCAGUUUGAUUUCUACGUAGUAGCAUAGCAUACACGUGGGCACCACAAGCAUUGAGUUACAUCGUUGCGUAUUACCACGUGACGCCGAUUAUCCAUAUUGUUUUUUUGGCGCACAUUCAUUCAUAAGCUUAUUUAUAUUGAUUGAAAAUGGGUGCACGACUGCACGUGGUGGGGUUCCCAAGGUCUACACGGUUUCAGCUUGUCCCUUAUCAUCUUCUUGACAAGCGUGUCAAAAGAAAAGAGAAAAAUGUGUUGGUGAUUGAUGACAAGUCUCUAUCAAGACGUAAAGUGACGAGGCAUCAUGUGCUAUCUAGUAACAUAAGUUUUCAAAACACUAUUUUGAGAAAGCUUUUUUCCCCUCUCUUUUUCCACAAAUUUUCCAAAUUUUUAAUAGAAUGACAACAAACCUCUACAUUGUUAGGAAGUUACUAACUCGACCAUCUGAAUUAGCUUUUACUCUAAAAGCAACAAUUCAGAUCUUGUCAAACAAACAAAGAGGGCUAUCCUGCCGUUGUCCACUACGCAUGCAUCACUCACCGGCGGCAAGGAGUUGGCGGUGCUAGGGUUUUGGAUGUCGAAAGAGGAGUUAAUCUCUUUAAAUUUUUUACACCCCGUCACACGCAUGACCUCAAAAGGAAAUUUAUUAGCAAUAGUAUUAUCUGUCCUGUGAGCUACGAGCACGCGAGAGAUUAAUUAGCGAGGAUCUUGAUUUCUUACCGAAUGCCAACAUGUUUCAUGUGUUGAGAGGUCUACACUUUGGAUCGGUCGAUUCUCCACGCGUUCAGAAUAGAUCAAAAGGUGAUCAUGUCACUUUGUUAAGGCAACUAGCUCGGUUUGUCAGUGCAACAUUACCAAGUGUGAUUGCUAUGUUUUGUCUUGGUUUUUUUUAUUUCUUCAGGAGGUGGUGAGAUGGAUUAUAGAUAUGUGGAUCAAUGUCACCAAGCAUUAUCACCCCCUUUUCUGUUAUCGAUGGAUCCUUGGAGUAGAUGACAAGGGUCAAGGCAAAGUGUGCAGUCAUUUUUGAAAUAGAAAACCUUGUACACCCUUGGAGGCCAACCUCCUCACAUUAUUGUACACCCUUGGUUCCCAAGGUCUACAUGGUUUCGGUUUGCCCCUUGUCACCUACUUGAAAAGCGUGUCAAAUUAAAAAAGAUGGUGAUGGUGGUUGAUUGCAUGGCUCCCCAAGGCAUAAAGUGGUGAGGCAUUAUGUGCUAUCUAACAACACAAGUUUUCCAAGCAUUAUCUUUAUUAUUAUUUUANNNNNNNNNNNNNNNNNNNNNNNNNNNNNNNNNNNNNNNNNNNAUUAUUUUAUUAUUUUUUACACUUUUCCCUAAUUUUCAAGAGGAUGACAACAAAUCUAAGCCAUUUUCUAUUUCCUUCUUUCUCUCUACUUUGUCAGGAAGAUACCAACUCCUUCAUUUGGAAUUAGCUUACCCUAAAAGCAACAGUUCAGAUGUUGUUGGACAAUAAGAGCGUAGUGGCAUAGUGGAACGAAGUGAUCGGACCUAGUGUAUGAUAUGACCGAGAAAACCCUACAAGUUUUUGGACAUCCACCAGCGGACGAUUGAGUGAGCGAGGAGAUUUUUUUUUUGGACCCAAGAAAGAAGGUUCGCUCGUCCCGCUCCCGCAAGCGGGGGACGAACCCUAGAUCGAGCGCCGCCAGCCCCACCCUCCUCGNNNNNNNNNNNNNNNNNNNNNNNNNNNNNNNNNNNNNNNNNGCCCGGUCGUCGGCGGCGGCGGCGGGCCUUCUUCAUCCCUCGCACGGGGGGCUGGCGCGGGCGACCUCCUCGGGUUGUGACGAGCCAUUGGGUAGGACGCGGCGGCGUGACGGCGGUGGGCGCCCCGGUGACGACGACGGCUGCAGUUGGCGCGUGGUGGCCUGCUAGGGCCUCGGUGGUGGCGGGUUGGCCUUUUCCCGGCCAGAUCUAGUGCGGGACGUGGCUGACGGCGCAGGGCCAGGUACUUGGGGGCGAUGGGUGCGUGUGGGCGGUGAAUCCGGCGAGGCAGUGCACGCCCGUUGCGGUGGUGCUGCUCGAGGCUUCGCGGUCGGCGGUGGGGCGGGGCUGCUGCCUCGGUUGGCAGCGUUCGAUCCGGGACUGCAGGUGGCGGUGCGGAUCUGGUCCGUGGCGGAGAAUGGCGGUCGACGGUGCACAGGCAGUGGGCCGACCUAGUCCGCGGUGGUGCUUGCCGCCGCGUUAGUGCCCCUUCUUGUUGCUCCUUCGCGACGUCGGUCCGAGUGGGUGCCUGUGUUGCUGCUAUGCUACGGACGGAUCGACGGCGCUAACUAUGGCUAUGGCGGCGUGUGAGUUUGUCUCGGGCUGGUUGUGGACCAUGCCGAGGCUUGCUCGGCGGUGGCCGUCGACAGCUACUAGGCUGUGUUGCCCACAGUCGACGAUGAUUGUCGGGGGACGCACACGUGGAUGCCCCCUAAUGUGGGGGUGUUCACCCAGGCCAGGUAGCUGAUGCCGGGCUAGGAGCGGAAGGAGACACCUCCCGUCUCUCCCACCAUGGUUGCACGUUGUGAGGUCGGCGGUUGGUGGUGACGGCGUGGGUGGGGGCUGGGAUCCGACUUCGGGCUCUCGGCGGUUGCGGUUGGUCUCUUCCAUUGCGGGCGUGCGGCGGGGGUGCAGCUAGGCCAAUGGCGGUCCGGCGCCUUGGUAGAGGUGGCCGGCGGUGCGCGUGGUGGUGGUGCUUCCACUUGGCGGCGAGGCGGACUGGUCUUGUUGCCGCGACCAUGAUGCUACCUGUGCGGAGGUGUGAAGGAGCGCCUUGGACGGGGGGCGGCGUCGAAGACGGCGUGCUUUCUGCAGUGCGAUAGCGGGAGAUUUACGGGCAUCUAAAGCCCCGGCCGGGCCUGUGGCGACGGGCCUGGUUUGCUCCCGCUAUCGCGUCCGGUCGGUUACCGUCCUUGACGGUGGAGGCUGUGCCCUCCUGCAUACCGUUGGUGAUGAUGCCCCUAGCCCCGGCUCCUCUUCCUUGUCAUGCAGACCCCUCCUUGCGUUGCUGUGGUGAACCGGCGUGGAAGCUUCAAGUCCAUGUUGGCGCGGGGUUGUGGUCGGUUUGGUGGCGGGCUCCAAUGCGCUUGAGGUGGAGGUUGGGAUCAGGAGAAAUCCCAGUCGGCCUGGUCGAUACCGACGCGGUGGCGCCUGCGGGUGCCGCCAGACCUUCCUGAAGGGCGUUGAGGCUACCCUUCCUUUCCCCUCGCCGCGUACCGGGGGAAUCCCUUAGCAGCAUCGUCGUCAUCGUCGCGCCCCUUCUUGGAGGUGUUGAUUGGUACCGGCGUCUCGGAGUCUAGGAGCUUGGUGGGUGUUCUUAGGUGGACGCAGCGGUCGCGAGGCUUCUCUGUUUUUGGUGAUCCGUCGCUGUCGGCAUUUGUUUGUUUUACUCUUUCUUUGUUGUUUCUUUUGGAUGUGUCCGUGCUGUUUUCGUCCUAACACCUAUUGUUGAAUGUAUUGAAAACGAUUGCUUUGUAAUAUAAAGCGGGACGAAAGCCUGUUUCGAGGAGCACGAUUGAGUAACUUUUUUUCAUAAUAAAACAACGAGCAGCGCUGAACGUAUCAGCUCAAGCGCUCAUACAAGUGGCCGACACUGCGUCAAGCCGUGCAUACAUCCACAUUUGAAAAAGACAUAAAAGAUGGACGACACUGCUUCUGUGCUUCAAGCCAUACGUCCACCUACACUCGUUACCGGAAAAUCCAAACAAACCGCAAUCUGAAACCCUGGAUGGACUGCAUGGGUACCGGCCAGCGGUUUGCCAGAGAAAAUGAGAAAUGAUUCUCAACAAAGAGAAACAACAUAUCACACAAACCACAAUUAUCUUGGGUGAUUAUACGACGCAUCACACAAUAUAAUCUAGGGAGUAGUACUGAGAUCAACACUAGACUGGUAGAUUCAGACAGACCGCACUGAGAUGAAUCGUCACAGCAACUUGCAAACUCUAGAUUAUUCCUGAAUUAAGAACGACACACUAGUCACUACUGAGUACAUGAUGAAAUGAGCUGAUCCAUGGAUGUGAGCAUGACAUGAUCCCCCUGCAGCUAGCUUAUCUGAACUAAUCGGCACCUCAUGAACUGAUAUAUCCCACGCACUAGUCAGCACCUCAUCAACUGAUCUGAUCCCCUGCAGGCUGCAGCUAGCUUAGCUGAACUAACAAACUGAUCCUCAUCGAUCUCCCAGGAGGGGGCCCAGGAGGAGGAGCAGGAAGAAGAGGACAUCGCCGGCAACGCACAGGACGAUGUCGACGGCGCAUGAGAUAUCAGAGAAGCAGUCUCCUGGUCCUGGGUCGGCGACGGGGAAGAGGCUGCCGUGGGCCAAGUACAUCCAGUACUGGUCGGCGAUGGUGAGCGCGAGCGCGAGGUAGGCCAAGGUGUAGCGGACCCAGACGCGGGGCCAAUAGCUCAAAUGCGACAUCUUUUCGUUGAAUUGGAAGCAGUGCGACAUCUUUUGAUGAAAUAACUCUCGUGCGACGGUUUGAAGGGAGAAAAUAGCUCAUGGCCAACAUGACCUUUAAACAGAAUUGAUCGUUAGCUGUUAGGGUUAUGUGACGCUUGGACCCACAACUUAUCCACCUCAGUAGCGUGGGACCCACCUGGCGGAAUCUAAAACAGAGUUGUGCCCGUGCCCGAGCUGGUGCCCAUGCCAUUUAUUCCCCUUUCCCCAAUCUUCCUCUUCUCCGCCCCUUCUCCGGCGACGGCGCACAGGAUGUCCAGCUCCUCCGCCACGCAGUCAAGAUGGCCAGAGUAUGGUGCAGUUCCGAUGAGAAGGUGUCCGGACUGCCCACGGCCAGAGGCUCUUAAGCGGAUGGUCAGUAAAACUGACGAGAAUGGCAACCUCGGGCGACAUUUUGUGUCAUGUUUGAGCAUUCCCAUGAUGGGACGGGAUGGCAAGGUAAGAUCUCGGUUCCUUCCCUGCAAUGUCGUAAUCUUUUGUUCAAAUUUAUCCAAAUUGCCUUUUUUUCUCCUCGAAUUUGAGAUCUAGGGUCAUGUUACUGUUUUCAAAUGCUGAAGAAAUGUUCUCAUUUUGAGUGGAUCGAUCAGUACGUUGAUAGGCUCGAAUCAGAGAGCCACAUUGAUAUGAAUGACGCCACAACCCGGAAUCUAAUUUUGGGGACGUUUACUGUGGAGAGACCCACUUUCAUCUCGGACAGAGGAGCGCGGGCGGAGAGACCCAUGCCAACGACGAGGAUUACGUGGAUUGCUGAACGGGCUGUCCGUGCUGAACUUCCUGUGGAGGCCGAAGUAAACGAGGAAUUGAAGAAGGUAAAGAAGCUUCUAAGGCAGAUGGUGGAUUUGCAGAAGCAAGCAAAUCUCAUUUUAUGUAUCAUUGUUCUGUUAUUUCUUUUCCUCUUGUUCAUCCGUCGUUACAAUGGACAAAAGUGUAAGCAAGCUAGUUUCAUGUACUGAGUGUAAGCAGAAAUUUCUUAAAUUCUUGAGUGAAGUGGGUAAUUUCAAAUUUGAAUAUGCAUUUCGAGUUCUUCAGUUAGCAAGUGCGAGACCAAAGUUCAGUUUCAGUAGAAAAAAAAUUAUCCGUGGGCUGGCGAAUAGAUUUUGGGCCAUGACGCUGAAGUUGAGGAAUAGCGAGGCCCAAAGAGUGCAGUUACACGAAAAAAUAAAUCUGAACUGCCUAAUAGAUGUUGGGCCGACAAAUCAGGCCCAUAGAGAAAACAAACCCACCUGCCUAGAUUUGACUUGUUUUUAUUUUAAAAAAUAUGGUUUUACUUGUUUUACUUGUCUUAGGUCCUAAAUAAUUUGAUUUGUUUUCAUGUUUGUAAUAUUUACUUCAUAAUUUUUUGUUAUGAGUUGCAUGCAUUGUUGACCGAAAUAUUUGUGUCAAAUAUUUUAUUCAUAAAGUAACACAGAGAGCAUCCAUAAUGUGUUUGAUUGUUUCCUUGACUUACUCAUUGGUCCUUCCCAUGCGCAGCCAGAACUAAGUCACGUAACCUUAAUUGUUUGGUUGUUUUCCAAAACUAAGUCACCUAAGCCAAUGCGCAUACUUUUUGCUUGGUGCUCAUUGGGCAUUCUAGCCAGAUUACUUAAUGCGUUAUAGCCAAACAUGCACGCAAAGUCAGCAAAGCUGACCAGCGGUAGCUAGGCUAUGGCCUGUCCAUUGUGAUCUGCUUCACAACGUACGAUCAAGCCAGUUCCUCUCCGAAGACUACCUUCACUUUCCAUUGUGAAUUGACCUGAAGCGAUUGCUUUUUUACUUGUAGUGCAUUACUCUAACGUGUACACUGUCGAUCUUGAUUUUUCUAAAUGAUGGCAACUAACAAGGACGUGUGAACAAGAUUAACAAGGCAACAAACAGAAUUCUAUUACUACCGGAGGCAACCAAUAGAGUAAAAAUAUUGUUACUCACCCUACUAUCAUCGCAUAUGAAACCAAUUCAACGGAGGCAACCAAUAGACACAUAGAUAUAGUACGUACGUAAGACGAUAGUAGUAGCGGACACAACAUUACGAUUACAACUUACAUAAAAUGAUAAGAUAGUUUUUGCAUAGAUAAGACGAUAGACAAGAAACGAUAAAAAACAUAUGAUAAACGGGAUAAACCCGACAUGGAGACGCGCGUCUUCACUCCUCAUCGUCGGCGGUCGGCAGGUUGUAGGGGAGAUUAUGUUCAAAAAAUUCAAAAAAAUAUUAUGUUCCAAAAUCAAAAAAUUCAAAAACUAUCGUCCUCAUAAAAUUCAAAAAAAUCAAAAAAGAAAAGAAAAACUUGUGCCCGUAAUCGUAUUAUGUUCCAAAGCAAUCAAAAAAUAUAUAAACAUGGUUUAUAUAUAAAUUGUGCAUGGUGUGCUGGUUGGGUCAGAUGCUGUCGAGGUCGGUGAAGAUGUUGUACGUGGUGAAGCAGAUGAACUCGCACCCCCCAAACCAGACAUGAUCGAGGAGGUGAUACGCAUCGUAGGGGUUGCGGAAGCGCACGAGGAUGCCAGUUCCUCCCAGGCGGGGCUCAUCGAUGGUGAACAUCUGGGGAGUUCCCACGGGGAGGUGAUGAGACAGGGCGCGAAGGANNNNNNNNNNNNNNNNNNNNNNNNNNNNNNCGUCGCGAACUCCCGUGCACCCCGCCAGCGGGACAUGGCCCAGACCCGGAGCUGGUUCUCGACGACGACCCCGGCGGGGUACAUCCUUUCCGGCAGGGUGCCGGGCGCUUGGAACGUCGGCCCGUGGAACUCCAUGGUUGCCUUGGGGGCUUGGUUGCUUGGAUGGGGCUUGGAUGUGAUGAGAGGGGUUGGGGGAGAAGGAGGAAGAUGAAGGUUAGAUGUGCACGAGAGGAGGGGUUAAAUAGGCGUUUUGGGCUGCAUCGCUUCGUCGACUUCGCGGCCGCAAUUAACUGAUGCCGUUUGUGUUUGCCUAUUGGAUCAAAGGGUGCUUCGUCGAUUCACAGACUGCGUCAAGCACGCCCCCGUUCAGACGAUGGACUGCACGCCCUUAUUCAGACUGCGGUCCUUGAUGCGCUGCUAAUGGCUCAGAUGCGACGCGUGCAUGCAUGCAAAACAACGCAACAAAGAAGCACACGAAGUCAGACGCACGUACGCCAUAUCCAUGCAUCACAUCAUUGUCAAUCGUCGGAUCUUCUUGAACGGUCUAGAUUGUACGCCACACGGGCCCUCGAUCCAAACCCCAGCUCGCCAGCCAAUCAGCUUGUAGAACGAGCGCACACGCGGAUAGGCGUCAGAUCCAACUGCUCACUCAGCAGCGAUCAACGGCUCUAAACAUGGCGGGGUUUCAGCUGGGGUUUUCUGGGUUUUGGUGUUUUCGGGGUUUAGGGUUUCAGUGAGCUAGGGUUGAGCACAAAUAAUUCAAAAAAAUCAAAAAAAUAUAAAACUUUCGCUCAUUGUCUACUGAUGCAACUAUGUUGCUAUAAAAAAAUUGAUUCUUGUUAUAUCCACGUUUCAAUGAAAUUUUUUCACACAAUUCACGGUAUUGAUGGAAUGAGCUAGGGUAGAGCAUAAUUAAUUCAAAAUAAUCAAAAAAUAUAAAACCAACGCACAUGGUCUACUUAUGCAACCGAUGUGCUAUAAAAAAUGUAAACUUGUUAUAUGCAUAUUUUAAAACCAAAAUUCACACGUUCACGAUAUCGACAAAAUGAGCUAGGGUUGAACAUAAGUAAUUCAAAAAAAAUAAAAAAAAUAGAAAACCAGCGCACAUUGUUAUUUUACAUCACAUACUUAGCAAACAAAAAUAUAAACUUUGUUUUUGAGUCGGUCAACGUUUUUUGGAAAAGUUGACAAUUUUUCAAAUGAGCACAAAUAAUUCAAAAAAAAUAAAAAAAAAGAAAAACUUGUGCCCAUAGUCGUAUUAUGUUGCAAAGCAAUAAAAAUAAUAUAAACAUGGUUUAUAUACAAUUGAUCGAAAAUUCCUUUAAUAAGAUGGGGUUUUGUUACAAUGUACAAUGUACUAUUCCGGUGUUUCGGCUGGGGUUUUCGGGGUUUUGGGUUUUUGGGGUUUAGGGUUUCACUCAGCUAGGGUUGAGCACAAAUAAUUUUAAAAAUCAAAAAAUAUAAAACUUUCGCUCACUGUCUACUGAUGCAACUACGUUGCUAUAAAAAAAGUUGAUUCUUGUUAUAUCCACGUUUCAACGAAAUUUUUUCACACAAUUCAUGGUAUUGAUGAAAUAAGUUAGGGUAGAGCAUAAUUAAUUCGAAAAAAAAUUAAAAAAUAAUAUAACCAGCGCACAUGGUCUACUUAUGCAACUCAGGUGCUAUAAAAAAAUACAAACUUGUUAUAUGCACAUUUUAAAACCAAAAUUCACAUGUUCACGAUAUCGAUGAAAUGAGCUAGGAUUGAACAUAAGUAAUUCAAAAUAAUAAUAAAUAAAAAAAACCAGCGCACAUUGUCAUUUUACAUCACAUACUUAGCAAACAAAAAUAUAAUCUUUGAUUUUGAGUCGGUCAACGUUUUGUGAAAAAGUUGACAAUUAUUCAAAUGAGCACACAAAAAAUAUAUAAACAUGGUUUAUAUACAAUUGAUGGAAAAGGCCUUUAAGAAGAUGGCGUUUACCCUACCUUAUGAGGUCGUUUGAAACACAUUUUUCAUGACUAUGAGUCUAACUUAACAAAAGAGCUCAGAAUGAUGACAUAACAACCAUAUUUGAGUUGUUGUGAUAACAUCGAGUCAAAAGUUCAAGUUGAGUCCAAAUUUGAAUUUAAACUGAUUUUUUUUUCAUCAAAUUUGAAAUUCAGUUUGAAAACAAUAAUAACCAAACAAGUUCUGAUGGAAACAUGUGGGUACAUAGUGCCCAACAAAUUUUAUUACAUGCCAUAAAUUGCAAAUUAUCACUGGCCUGCCAUUCGAGGCAACUGCAAUCAUGCAAUUCAGUGUUAACAACAUGCCUCCUUCCAGUCUUGUUAUCUCUAACUUCAGCAUCCCACAAUGAUGAUUUUUCAACAGACAAAUGUGUGAGACCUCUCCUUCUGUUGGCCACCUGUUGCACCACUCGUGGAAGUUUAUCACCUUGCAGACACUCAGCAAUCUUUUUUCUCAAUUCCCACAGCCGCAUGAGCAUGAUCCUGAUUUGAUCAACCAUGUCAUGCACAGGCAAAUCUUUUAGCUGCUUCACCUUGUUGUUGAAACUUUCUGCCAAAUUGUUGUUGAUAUGGUCACACUUGAUGGCAGUGUUGAAUCGUGACCUAUACCAUAAUAAAGAAUGGUAGGUGUUUAACCAUGUACCAAACUCCUCACAUGUUGCCAUUACCUUACUAAGAUGAUAUGAAUGUGUCUGUUUAGUGUAAGAUCUUGCUGCUGGCCACAUUCUCCCAAAUUCAUCUCCUCUGAAUUUUUUGAUCAAAUUCAUCCACGAAUGACCGAAACACUCUCUUUGCUCAGCAUGUGGGAACACAUUUUUAACUACAUUUUCCAGACCUUUGCAUGCAUCUGUGUGUAUUGCCAAAGGUGACACUGGCCCUAAGCAUCUUUUCAACUGCAUCAUGAACCAUGUCCAUGAAGCCUCUGUCUCUGACUGAAACAAGCCAAUAGCAACUGGAAACAUCCAGUUAUGUCCAUCUAGAGCAUUACAUGCUGCCAACUCACCAUUCCACUUGCCUGUCAAAAAUGAUGAGUGUAUGCUCAAAUAUGGACGACAUCCUGCUUUGAAGCCAUCGAUGCAAGGCUUUAAAGCCAUAAAUAAUUUGGAGAAAUAAACCUUGCCAUCCUUUGAUACCUCAGUAGCUAUCUCGACAACACUGCCAGGUGACCUUUUCUCCACCUCUGCUUUGAAAUUGAAAAACAGCCUAAAUGUGUUUGCCAAUAACCAUACAAAUUCUUCAUUGGCCUUUGUUUAGCCUUCCACACUGUGGUAUAAUGCAGUUUAAUGGGGUACAACUUUUCCAAGUCUACUUGGAGUCUUUUUGCAGUAGUGUUGGGUGCUUUGGCCAAAAUUGGAGUUAUCUUUUCUGCAACCCAAAUCUGUGAUGUCAUGCUUGUUUUUUUUCUGUGAACUUGUCAGACAAGUAUGUUUAUAAGGGAUUUGGUUGACCCUGAUAGUACUUCCAUCAGGCUGCAGUCUAGGAGAUAUGUACCACUUGCAAGCCCUCCUACCACUACCAUCAAAACCUCUGCACUUAGCAUAAAACUUCUUUCUAUCAGUCGAAACUGUCUUGGCAUCAAACUGAUGUGUGACUGCAUAAGUCUUGAAAGACAACCUGAACUCAUCCAUGUUUGGCCACAACUUCUCCACUCGAAUGACAGGGUUUUCCUUGUCAUACACAUGCACCAGCUCUUCAUCAUGUGCAUCAUCUACAUCAUCUGCAGCAUCUUUCAUCAACUGUUCAUCUACAUCUUCACUCAAUUCUCUGUCAUCAUUAUCACUUGCAUUAGCUUCAUCCCUCUCCUCCUCAUCUCUGUCAUCGACUGGAAUGCCAAAUAGUUUGGCCAUCUCAGUGUCAGCAAUUAGUGCAAUGACCAAAUCAGUGGGCUCCUCCAACUCAACUGCAUUCCAAUCAACAACAACAACAUUUCCCUCUUCUGCAUGUGCAUCAGCCCCAUUGGCUAUUACUGUCAUAUCAGUAAUAAUGGGAACAAUAUGCCUCUGUGAAGCCCAAUCAUCAUCUGCCUUCUGCAUAGCCAAGUGUGAUGGCACAUAACCCACCUUCGAGUCAAUAUUCAGAUCAAUGAGCGCAACAAAAAAUUCAGCCCUGAAGCUUGCCCAGCCCUCUUGCCUAUCGAUUUCAUCAACAAUAUCUUCACCAUCUUCAAUUCUGACAUACUCUCCUUUGAAAUCAUCAUACCGCAAUAAUGAAACCUCUUGCUCUGGACCCCAAAGCACAGUUUCCCCAAUUUUCUCCACCAAUUUCCUCACUGCCUUCUCUUCCAUCGACUGUAGAUCAUUGGGAUCAAUUUUCGCACAAUCAACCUCCCAUUUCACAAUUGUGUCUCUCUGGAUUUUCUGAAUGCUACCAUCAACUAAUUUUGCCGUCGAUGGAAAGAAAUUGAUUGCAAAUUCGAAGGUUUCAGCAGCAUCCCCUCUGUUAUAGGCGGGCGGGCAGUGUGAGACAAAGCAAAGAGUGCCUUCAAUCGCACUCACAAAUGGGCGGAAGGGAGGCGCAUUACGUGUUCGAAGCUGAAUCUGGCGGCUCCUUCUCGACCUAACCACGGGCUCCUCUCACCGCGCCGCCCCCUCUCACCUUCUAUCGAUUUCACCAAGCAAAACAGAGAGCUCAGAUCUACAAGGUGGAGGGGAUUGGGACUAGAGUAUCGAAUUCACUCACCAUCAUGGCCGUCGCCGCCGAAAGGGGGCUCCGCCGCCGCCAAGAAAGAGGUCUCCUCCGUCGUAGCCGCCGCCAGAGCUGAAGAAUGGAUCGCGGGCAGUUUCGGACAGUUCUGGUCAGGCAGUUUCACGGGAUGCAGUGCUAAUUAAUUUGGGUCAAAAUUAGGUAAGACAUCACUUAACGUAAAUUGGACUAGUUGACUAAGGUUUUAACGCAUGUGUGGCAGUGAGCUAUUUUCUCCCUUCAAACCGUCGCAGAGAGCUAUUUCAUCGAAAGAUGUCGUACUGCUUCCAAUUAGAUGGAAAGAUGUCGCAUCUGAGCAAUUGGCCCCCCAGACGCGGCGGAACGGGAGCUGCAUGGCCAGCACCGCCGCGGCCGCCUGGAGUGCGGCGCAUCACACGAUCCCGAUGUCCAGAGCGCUUGCCUCGUCGGCAUCCACCUUCGCGUCCAUCUGCCAAAAGAUCAUGGACUGCAGAGCUCACAGAAAACAUGGCCGCAAAACACGGCUCGUAGUUACCAGUUAGCACUUACCAGUGCGGAGGUGAAGACCGUCCAAACGCAGUAGUAGAGGAACAAGACAAAUGGGGUGAUGAGCACCCAUACGCUGACAAGUAGGACAACGACCGGAUGAGCGGCCACCGCCGCACUCACAGCAAGAAGAUGAGGCAUCUCCACGUCCAUGGACCCAACCUUCUUUUCCGCAGGCUCGUCCAUGGAUCCAAGCUAGAUCUGUCGUGAAAGAAGCGGACCAAUGUUCAUCAGCAUUUUUUUUAACCGGACAAACCCCUUUCCAUUACUCAUCAUAACGGAAAUACAAAGUUCGACCAAAGGAAAACAAAGAAAGGGGUGCGAGUUCAAAGCAUUUUUGGGAAACCCACCGUAGGCACUCGUCCUUGAGCAACCUACCGCAGGGCGAAAACCCCAAAACACCUAGCCACCGCAACCAAAAGGUCUAGAACCCACCCGUCACACAACAGGAAAACAAGUCUCACACAAACAUAGAACAUAGCCUGAUUCACUCCGGAAUCGACUAAUACGCCCAUGCAGGGGGAAUGGCAAACUAAAACCACCUGACCAUAGAAGCCACCACUUGUAGAAGCACCAUCAUCACUGAGCACCUUCUGGAGCAGCACAGAUCCGCAUCAAGUUCGUCGCAUUGGUCUUCAGCAUCUUAGCACCUCGCUCGAUAGCAUCCCGAUCUUCCCCUGCCAGUAAACCUGCCCAGUACGUAAAGAGACAACAAGCUGUAUAUAUCACAUCAAAGGGGGAUCUCAACUUUUUGUUCUCAAAGGUAGCACGGUUACGACAACUCCACAAUGCUCAACACACAGCAGCAAGACCACAAGUAUAGAAUCUAGCCCCAUUAGGGAGAUAUAUAAAGCACCACGAAUAGGAUUGCCAAAUGUUGUUAGGGCCCAGACUUGUACCAAGCAUGCAUCCUACAGUCCUCCAAGCCACCCUAGCAACUCGACAGGUAAACCAUAGGUGUUGUGAAGUUUCCCUCUCCCUACAAAAAGAGCACCUAGGAUUACCCCCACAUUUCCUUUUCUUCAUCACAUCACGAGUAAGAAUAGCAUCCUGGAAUAAUUGCCACAUAAAUAUCUGGAUCUUAAGAGGAAUUCUAGCUCUGCAGAUCCAUCUAUAGUCACAACCAGCAACGUUCCUUUCCACAUAUUCAUAAACAGACUUAGUAGAGAAUUUUUUACCACUCCCCAGCGUCUAGAUAACCUGAUCUGGAGCCUCAGAUAAUGUCCAACUAUGAACAGUUCUAUUCAGCUCUUCCCAUUGACAAACCAAAGCAUGGUUCAUCUGCCCUCUAAAGAAAUCAUUCUUCACCCCAACUUUAAAUUUCGCAACAGUCAUGUCUGGUGAUUACAGAUGAAGAACCAAUCAGCAUAAGUACUCUUUAGAGGUGGGUUACCACGAAUGGGAUCAUGCCAUAGUCUCAUAAUGUUACCAGAGUUUAAUAUCACUUCUCUGCCAGUCAUGUAUUGAGGUUUCAACUUCAUAAUGGCUUUCCAAAUGGGGGAGUCUGCAAACUUGCUCGCCACCGAGGCCACAUCAUCUUUUUUGAAAUAUUUGGCUUUUACUAUAUCUUGCCACAACCCUUCCUGGGUUUCCAACUUUCACCACCACUUAGUUUAGACACAUAUAUUUUGUUUAUGAAGGUCUUACACUCCUAGACCUCCUUUCUUCUUAGAUCUACAGAUACAAACUUAUCUCACUAAAUGGUACCUUUUAUUUCCCUCAUGUUCGCGUGAGAAGAAUUUUUUCCGAUGCUUAUCCAGCUUAUAUAUUACCAUCUUAGGAAGCAAGAACAUCGACAUGUAAUAAUAAACAAUACUAGUAAGAGAGGAAUUCAACAGGAUCAACCUACCCCCCGAGGAUGCUGCAUUACCAAUCCAAGUUUCACAACAUUUAAGAAACUUCUCAUGCACAAAAGGCCAGGCCAGGUUUCUGAGAUUAUUUUAGCUAACUGGAACCCCCAGAUAUUUCAUAGGAAAGUGUCCAAUCUACAAUUAAAUAAAUCAGCAUAUCUUUUAAAGAUGCCAUCAUCACCCCCCACACAAAGCAUUUCACUUUUAUCAAAAUUAAUCUUGAGCCCACACAUCAACUCAAACAUAUACAAAAGGAGUUUCAUACUAACAACCGCGUCAAAUCAUGUUCAAAGCAGAUGAAAGUGUCAUCUGCAUAUUGAAGUAUCGCUACGCCCCCCUCAAUCACGUCUGGGGCAAGACCAGUGAGAAGAUUUUCUUUUUGAGCAUUUAACACCAUCUUAGAAAGCGACUCAACCGCUAGAUUAAACAGAAACGUAGAGAAGGGGUCUCUCUAGUGCACCCCUUUAGGACUUUGGAAGUAUGAUCCUUUCUCAUUAUUCAGCUUGAUACAAACCGUACCAUCAUAAAUGAUUUUUUUCACCCAGUGUAACGACCAAGAUGCGGUCCUUUCCGAUCUGGGGGUCGAGGCCCCUGAAUAGGAAAGAAGCGCAUCUAAGCGUUUCGCAAGCAAGUAACAUAGCACAAAUAAUAAUAAAAGUAGACAAUUCGGGAUUCAACUGUCUUCUCAUUAAUAACUCAGAGUACAUCACAGAUACAAUCAAGGUAGUUCCGCUAUGGACUACAAAACAUGGAAAUGCUAUGCUACCCUGCCUGCAGGCCCACGAUCACGACCAUGCCCCAGUCCUCUGGAUAGUUCACGUAGAGGCGGUCCGUCUCCUCGUCGUACUACCACGCCAGCUGGGUGCCGUCGGGAUCAUCUGUCUCUGGGGUACCUGUACCUGUUGGGAGUUUCGGAGGAAUCCGUGAGUCACGGGGACUCAGUAAUCUAAGACCUUGGCGCCAGAACUAGCCAUGUUAUUAGGAAGGGUAAGAGUGAAGUGUAUAAGGCUGCGGCAUCCUAAGCUUGUUUUAGUGGCUAACUUACGUAAAGCAAUUGUGAAGGUGGUCUACACUAGCGGUCGGGAUUACUUGAUCACCAAGUGAUCCUGAACACCUACCUACAACAUUCAUAACCCGACCGUGUUCCCGAUCGAAGAGAGAUCUUCGAGGGGACAGUCACAGUUACGCACACAGUUGGCAAUUUUAUUAGCUUAUGUUUAAGUUCUCUAAUACCGGAUGUUAACAAGAUAUUCCAAGUUGCCACAUAACCGCGGGCACGGCUUUCCAAAAGAUUAAACCCUGCAGGGGUGCUCCAACUAGUCCAUCACAAACGAACACAGGCCGCAAAGUCAUCCUCUAUCAUGAAUCUCGUGAUCUCGUCGGAUUCCUUAGAGGAAAACCUCAACUCUGGGGAAACCAAAGAUUCACAGGGAUUCCUAUACGCAAGAUAUAUCGCUAAGGUAAGGCAAGGCUAGCAGGACCUCCCGGUGUGUCGACGACCCGAUAAGAGCCGCGUAUCUCAGUCUCAGGACAACACCGUCUGUGCAAAGUGGACAAGGACCAAACCUCAAGUUUCCCUGGGGUGGUCUUGCCGACUGCUAGGUGAUUGGACCAACACUCAUGAGGAGCACUGGCCCGGGUUGUGGAUUAAAUUCCUCGGGGUAGCUAUUCCCUAUGCAGGUUAUUAGGUGAUUAGCAAAUAAAACCAAUGUUGGGUCCUGCCGGACAAGCCUUAGCACUACGUGAUUUAUCGAGGGGGUCCCCAUAACAACCCCGAAAGUGUUAGGAGCGAUCAUUAUGGAAUCAAACACCGGUAACCGGUAACUNNNNNNNNNNNNNNNNNNNNNNNNNNNNNNNNNNNNNNNNNNNNNNNNNNNNNNNNNNNNNNNNNNNNNNNNNNNNNNNNNNNNNNNNNNNNNNNNNNNNACAACAGCCAAUGAACAGUAGCACCACAAGAUGCAACAAUCACAUGAUGCAUGAGAUGAAAAAUGAGCAUGCACCACUAUUUCUAUCUCUAGCACAAGCAAAAUAAACUACUUCAAGUUUCUGGACAUAACUAUACACUAAGCUAUUUUGACAUGCAUGAGGAUGGCAUGAACAGAUGCGGCUCGUGAAAAAAAUGCAAAACCAAAUAAAGAACAUUGCAAACGGAGCUACGGAUCAACGGGAAUCAACGAAACAAGAUAUGAAGCUCUCCGUGGAAGAAUCAACACCACACCCACAAUUGGCACAAAUCUGGUAUUCCCAGGUUGCCAAGACAUGUAACAACCCAACAUGAAUGUAUUGGAGCAAGGAAGAACACCACAACAUCAACUAAGCUCACACAAUGAUCAAGAUGACUAUACAACUCAAUCUGCCCCAAUCUGCAUCUUAGCUCUUUGUGAGCUACAUGCAACUUAGCUAUAGCCCUAUAAAUAUGACAAAUAAUAUAUGUGGCUGUAGCCAACCAAGAACACUACAAGCACCACCAAGAAUCACAGCAAAAGGAAUUAAACUAUAGAAGAUACAAGGCCACAAACUUUCCCAAAACCAUCAGAUCUCAGGGACUUAGUGAAAAUUCUUGCACCUGAAUUUCUGUCUUUGUUCUGAAGCUUUUUGACAGCAAUCAAAACACAACCUACUGGACUCCAAAUGAUAUGAAAUUUGACAGGGAGCUUCACAAACAUAUCAGGUCCAAAAUACUAGCACUGAACUAAGGCUAGUUAUCAACACAAUGACCAGCACAUCCUCAUCUACAGGAGAAGAAAAUGUUUCCAGUAUUCCCAGUGAAAUUAGGAGAAGAAAAUGUUUCCAGAAUUCCCAGACUUAGUGAAAUUCCAGAUUUCACAAAGCUGGACUUUUUCAGCCACAUGCCCACUUUGUCUAGGCAUAGUUGGCAUGCAAAUAACACCAAGUGAUAUAUGACACCACUAUGGUGUAGACCAAAACUCCUACUACUAUCACACAAAACCUCAUGCCCUUAGGCUCCACCUAUUCCAUGGAAUCAAAGAGCAAACUUGCAACAAAUCUGAAUAUGUCAACUCCAUAAGGUAUCCCAAUGGCAAGACUAACUUCACCACUGAAUUCCUUGGGAGAUUCUACCCCAAAAUCAUAUAUAAUAUGUGGGCACUUACUUGGAACCAGUGACCACAUAUUAGGGAAGAGGAAACCACUACAAAUCAUGCCUAGUGAAUAGGCAUCAUUUCAAGUAGUUCCACUAUAACAACAACUACAAAGGUUGAGCUCAUGUGCACAAUGACAAAGUGACAUGGGGGUUUGAACCCCAUGUUUGUGUCAUGCACAUCAACUUCACAACCCCUUCUACGAAGCUACCCAUACAUACAAAUCACCAUGCCCUCUCACAUAUGAACAUGUGAAGGUGCACAAGUGUUGCAAGGUGGGGAUGUUUUCACCACAUGCAUAUCAUCAACUCAUAAGCAUGUCAUCUAGUAGAAACUCACAGCACCUACAAAUGCUAGCAACACAAAGAAUGCUAACACAUGUAUAUGGCAAUCACACACACAUGCAUACCUACACUAGCAACCCUCAUGUGUGUGCAACACACACACACACAUGCACCUCUCACAAGCACCCAAUCAUACACCACAUCAUCUUCCACUACUAUACAACACAAGCAAGGAGAUAAAAACCNNNNNNNNNNNNNNNNNNNNNNNNNNNNNNNNNNNNNNNNNNNNNNNNNNNNNNNNNNNNNNNNNNNNNNNNNNNNNNNNNNNNNNNNNNNNNNNNNNNNCAGUGUCUUCUGAUUAUAAACAAGGUGCUGUUGCUUGAUAACUGGAUCACGUCAUUAGGAGAAUCACGUGAUGGACUAGACCCAAACUAAUAGACGUAGCAUGUUGAUCGUGUCAUUUUGUUGCUACUGUUUUCUGCGUGUCAAGUAUUUGUUCCUAUGACCAUGAGAUCAUAUAACUCACUGACACCGGAGGAAUACUUUGUGUGUAUCAAACGUCUCAACGUAACUGGGUGACUAUAAAGAUGCUCUACAGGUAUCUCCGAAGGUGUUCGUUGAGUUAGUAUGGAUCGAGACUGGGAUUUGUCACUCCGUGUGACGGAGAGGUAUCUCGGGGCCCAGUCGGUAAUACAACAUCACACACAAGCCUUGCAAGCAAUGUGACUUAGUGUAAGUUGCGGGAUCUUGUAUUACGGAACGAGUAAAGAGACUUGCCGGUAAACGAGAUUGAAAUAGGUAUGCGGAUACUCACGAUCGAAUCUCGGGCAAGUAACAUACCGAAGGACAAAGGGAAUAACAUACAGGAUUAUAGGAAUACUUGGCACUGAGUUUCAAACGAUAAGAUCUUCGUAGAAUAUGUAGGAUCCAAUAUGGGCAUCCAGGUCCCGCUAUUGGAUAUUGACCGAGGAGUCUCUCGGGUCAUGUCUACAUAGUUCUCGAACCCGCAGGGUCUGCACACUUAAGGUUCGACGUUGUUUUAUGCGUAUUUGAGUUAUAUGGUUGGUUACCGAAUGUUGUUCGGAGUCCCGGAUGAGAUCACGGACGUCACGAGGGUUUCCGGAAUGGUCCGGAAACGAAGAUUGAUAUAUAGGAUGACCUCAUUUGAUUACCGGAAGGUUUUCGGAGUUACCGGGAAUGUACCGGGAAUGACGAAUGGGUUUCGGGAGUUCACUGGGGGGGGCAACCCACCCCGGGGAAGCCCAUAGGCCUUGGGGGUGGCAACCAGACCUUGGUGGGCUGGUGGGACAGCCCAAGAAGACCCUAUGCGCCAUAGGAAGAAAAUCAAAGAGAAAAGAAAAAAAAGGAGGAGGUGGGAAAGGGAAGAAGGACUCCACCCACCAAACCAAGUUGGACUCGGUUUGGGGGGGGGGAGACCUUCCCCCCUUGGCUCGGCCGACCCUCUUGGGGCUCCCUNNNNNNNNNNNNNNNNNNNNNNNNNNNNNNNNNNNNNNNNNNNNNNNNNNNNNNNNNNNNNNNNNNNNNNNNNNNNNNNNNNNNNNNNNNNNNNNNNNNNAUGUAGCUCACAAAUUUCCUGUAGUUUUUAAAAACAUAUAAUUUGUCUAUGUUUGAAAUUGUCAAAUACAAGUUAGAUCAGAUUUAGUUUAAACCUUGUUUUGCCUAUUCCAGGAGUUUAAAAAUAUCUUUUAAUUUGAUUCCUUUUGGUACUGAUCACUAGUGAUCUUAUAUAUCAGUGGUAAAAAUUGCAGAUUUGUUUGAGUAUUUUAGCUCACUGUUUCAUGUGAAACAAUUUCUGUUUCACCUCUUUUAGGAUUUCGGCUAAAUUCCUUUCCUAGCUUUGUUUUAAAAUAUUUUAUUUAUUAUUUCAGAAAGAUUAUUAUUGUUUUGUUUAUGUUAGUUAACAAUAGUUUUGCAACAAGUUUUUAUUUUAGUUUUAUUUGUUUUCAUGAAAUCAAUGCUAGUUCCGUAGUAACGUGCAAUUGCUUUCACCAUUGUUUCAAAUUCCGUUUGGGAAUACUUUCAAAAGGUUUUGUGAAAAACACUUUAUUUUAUCUUAGUUAAACUUAUAUCUUAGUUCCUUGUCAUUAUUUUCUGUUAGACAAAACUAUUUAGUGUUUGACGUAGUAGAGGACUCUCUAGUCUUGUUUGAAGUUUCUUUCGGAAUUCCUAUUCGCUCUCUCUUUUGUUUUGAUUGCUAGAAUGAUUGCUAGUAUGAGUGCUUAUGUGAAUGAUAUGUUUGCUAUAUAGAUUUCAUCGGAGAGUGACGAGUAGUCUAUCAAGUUAUUUUCUCGAGAAAUUCUUCUUCGUCAACAUCACAGGCAAGUCACUUUGAUCAUACUAUCACCCAUGUUUUAUGCAUUGUAGUUCUACCAUCCUAUGCCCAAUUGCAUGCUGCCUAGGUACUUGGAAACUUUAGUAUAAGUUGUAGUAUCAUGUGGUAGGAACACAACAACCCCGAUACUUGGCCCCGGGACGACAAUUUCUUAAUGCUAUGCUUGAGUAGACGGGUCAUCGGUUGAGUGUAUUCCACGAGUGAUGCGAGGUUGAUAUAAUAAUCAAGACCGGUUAAGACAAGAUUUUCAAGACCUCGGACGCAAUGCAACACUGGGUGAAGGAUGGUUGAUCGGCUCCCUGGAAAACCCAGUGGAUGCCCGGGAUGCUGGAGAGGCCAUGUCAUCCUGCGGAAAGCUUCACCCAGGCUCAAAGAGACGGACGGAUAUUUUCAAGNNNNNNNNNNNNNNNNNNNNNNNNNNNNNNNNNNNNNNNNNNNNNNNNNNNNNNNNNNNNNNNNNNNNNNNNNNNNNNNNNNNNNNNNNNNNNNNNNNNNGGUGCACUACGGGUACCUCCGAAAGUGUCUGUUGGGUUGGUACGAAUAGAGAUCGGGUUUUGUCACUCCGUGUGAUGGAGAGGUAUCUCUGGGCCCACUCAAUAGAACAUCAUCAUGAGCUCAAUAUGACUAAGGAGUUAGUCACAGGAUGACGUGCUACGGAAUGAGUAAAGAGACUUACCGGUAACGACAUUGAACAAGGUAUAGGUAUAUCGACGAUCGAAUCUCGGGCAAGUUAUAUACCGACAGACAAAGGGAAUUGUAUACGGGAUUGAUUGAAUCCUUGACAUCUUGGUUCAUCCGAUGAGAUCAUCAUGGAGCAUGUGGGAGCCACCAUGGGUAUCCAGAUCCCGCUGAUGGUUAUUGGCUGGGGAGUGUCUCGGUCAUGUUUGCAUGCUUCCCGAACCCGUAGGGUCUACACACUUAAGGUUCGAUGACGCUAGGGUUAUAGGGAAUUGUUAUACGAGGUUACCGAAGGAUGUUCGGAGUCCCGGAUGAGAUCCCGGACAUCACGAGGGGCUCCGGAAUGGUCCGAAGGUAAAGAUUGAUGUUAGAGCAUAUAUCUCCAUAUGUGGUUUUGGUAAUUGAUGACAAUUCCUAUGGACUAAUGGUUGCCUUAAGUUAUAUUUAUAGGAUUUGUCCAUAGGCACUUCUUGAAGUCCAUCUGUUGGGUUCAAGGAGUUUAUAUGAUAACCAAGGUGGUAUUCAAAGUAUUAUCCAAAGAAUGGUCAUAGAGACACAAGGUUGUUCAAGAUCUCAGACAAAGAGUAAAUCAAGAUGAUCAGCACACAAAGCGUACAAGAUGUACCAAGAGGGAUCAAGUGAUCCCAUGGUAUGGUAAGCAUUGUCCAUUACGUGUUUGUGUACUAACCCAUGGUCUUCGUGAGAGUUCUAUGUGGGGGUUAGGUGUGUUUCCAUGGGCUUGCGUCAAAGGGAAGAUCUCAUACAACCCAUGAAGUAUGACGUCAAGUUGUGAUCGUCAUCAAGAUUGCGAUGUGCAAGUUCAAGUGGAUCAGCACGAAGAUAUCAUGCUUGAAGCUUGCCGUCCAUUGUGGUGGCAAUGGACUUGUGAAGAUAUGCUGAAGAGUGGCUCACCCAUAGUGAGUAUGGGGGAGCAAUCAACUAGUCUUCAUAAAGCCAACGCAAUCAAUAAAGGUGGUCCAUCUUGAGGAAGCUAAGAUCAUCAUCAUCUAGCUCAAGAGGACGAGGUGCAAGGUAUAGGUUUGCCCUUGAUAGGUUUUCUGUUUAGGAUAGAUUGUUGUACUAUCAAGGGGGGCUCUCAAGUGAGUAGCUUGAUCGUAUCGUUCGUUGAGAGCUCAAACCAUUUGCAUCCUUUCAUCAUACUUCUUGGUUCUUGUUUGGUGUUUCUCUUUGUGAGUUUUAGAGCUUAUGGUCAUCUUCGUGACAAGCUCGAGUUCAUCGAAAACGGAGUCCAUAUGCAUCUACUAUGAUGUUUUCGAUGUUGGAGUUUUUGCCGGUUCUUCAUUCAUAGAGGACUCACAUCUCUAUAUCAUUGGCAUUUUCAUAUCUGCAUGGUCUCGCUGCUUGGAUAGCUCUUGUCGUCCUGAAUCCAACAAGCUUGGGUUUGCUCGAUUCGGAGCUCGUAUGCGAAAGUUAUGGCUGUUUCAGUGGCGAGCGGUAGUACCGCUGGACCUAGCGGUAGUACCGCUAGAGGUGGCGGUAGUACCGCUGGACCUAGCGGUAGUACCGCUAGAGGUGGCGGUAGUACCGCUGGCCCUAGCGGUAGUACCGCUGGCCCUGGCGGUAGUACCGCCCCUGGCCAGCGGUAGUACCGCUCCAAGUUUUUAGUACCGUCAUCUUUGCGGUUGUACUGCGUCGGACAUUUUUGCGAAGACUUUCUUGGCGGUGGUUGGCCCGGUAGUAUCUUUGCGCUACCAUGGGCUCAGCGGUAGUACCGCUGGGCUCGGGCUGUAAGUGGGGGUAACGGUCUGAUUCCUUCCCCCACUAUAUAAAGGGGGUCUUCUUCCCCCUUGGCCUCAUCUAUCCGUUGAGCUCUUGUUCUACCUCCAUUGUUGACAUUCUUAGAGCUUGCUUACUCUCAAUCCCUCCAAUUAUUCUUGCUUGUUCUUGAGGGNNNNNNNNNNNNNNNNNNNNNNNNNNNNNNNNNNNNNNNNNNNNNNNNNNNNNNNNNNNNNNNNNNNNNNNNNNNNNNNNNNNNNNNNNNNNNNNNNNNNUCACCAACCACCUCACCAGCGAGAUGAGCAAGCACUCUACUCAGGAGCCAUAUCGCGGUCAUGAUCGGGUUCAUACCGCAAACGGAGCAGGUAUGCGCAUCUCACAUGUUGGUCAGGCCUCUCUCCUUGCACAUAAUUUUCGCCCAUUGCAUCUCUCCAAUGUCCUUCGAGUUCCCUCCGCUACGCGCAGUUUGUUGUCCAUUCCUCAACUUACUCGUGAUAAUAAUGUCCUUGCUGAGUUUCACCCUUUUCGUUUCUUUAUCAAAGACCGGGACACGAGGGCCAUUCUGCUUAGCGGUCGCCUUCGGCAUGGCCUAUAUGCUCUUGAUGCGCCGCCACCAUCUUCCACGCCGUCUUCUCCCCAGGUGUUCACUAGUGUACGUGUGCCGUCUACACACUGGCAUGCAUGCCUUGGUCACCCGGCGGCCCCCAUAGUUCGACAUAUAUUGCAUCGUCAUGAUCUACCAGUUGCGUCCAAUAAAAAUGCUGAAACUAUCUGUGAUGCCUGUCAGCAGGGCAAGAGUCAUCAACUUCCGUUUUCAGAUUCUAGUCGUGUUGUGAAACAUCCUCUUGAGCUUGUGUUUUCCGAUGUAUGGGGUCAUGCCCAGACGUCCGUGAGUGGUCACAAUUAUUAUGUCAGUUUUAUUGAUGCUUACAGUCGGUUUACUUGGCUAUAUCUUAUUAAGCGCAAGUCUGAUGUAUUUGAUGUCUUUGUUCAGUUUCAAGCCCACGUUGAGUGUCUCCUUAAGCACAAAAUCAUUCAUGUGCAAUCCGACUGGGGGUGAAUACCACCACCUCAACUUGUUCUUUAANNNNNNNNNNNNNNNNNNNNNNNNNNNNNNNNNNNNNNNNNNNNNNNNNNNNNNNNNNNNNNNNNNNNNNNNNNNNNNNNNNNNNNNNNNNNNNNNNNNNUUCAAGGAUGAGCUUCAAGUUGCGAACCCAGUCCGCAUAGUUGCUACCAUCAUCUUUCAGCUUGUUUUUCUCUAGGAAUGCGUUGAAAUUGAGGUUGACGUUGGCCAUCUACAAUAUUUAUAAAGACAACUUUUAGAAUAAGUUCAUGACAAUUAAGUUCAUUUAAUCAAAUUAAGUAUGAACUCCCACUUAAAUCGACAUCCCUCUAGUCAUCUAAGUGACACAUGAUCCAUGUUGACUAACCCGUGUCCGAUCAUCACGUGAGACGGACUAGUCACCAUGGUGAGCAACUCCAUGCUGAUCGUAUUCAACCAUACGACUCAUGUUCGACCUUUCGGUCUCUUGUAUUCGAGGUCAUGUAUGUACAUGCUAAGCUCGUCGAGUCAACCUAGGUGUUUCGCGUGUGUAAAUCUGGCUUACACCCGUUGUAUGCGAACGUUAGAAUCUAUCAAACCCGAUCAUCACGUGGUGCUUCGAGACAAUGAACCUUCGCAACGGUGCACACUUAGGGGAAUACGUUCUCGAAAUUUUAAGAGGGAUCAUCUUAUUAUGCUACCGUCGUUCUAAGCAAUAAGAUGAAAAACAUGAUAAACAUCACAUGCAAUCAUAUAGUGACAUGAUAUGGCCAUUAUCAUCUUUUCUCUUUCGAUCUCCAUCUUCAGGCAUCGCAUGAUCAUCAUCGUCACCGGCGUGACACCAUGAUCUCCAUCAUCGUGUCUCCGUGAAUUCGUCACGCCAACUACUACUAUCACUACUACUAUAACAAACCGUUAGCAAUGAAGUAAAAGUAGUAAGCACAUAGCGUUGCAUCUCAUACAAUAAAUUAAGACAACUCCUAUGGCUCCUGCCGGUUGUCAUACUCAUCGACAUGCAAGUCGUGAAACCUAUUACAAUAACAUGAUCAUCUCAUAGAUCAUACAUGCAACAUCACAAAUUUGGACAUAUCACAUCACACGUCAAACCCUGCAAAAACAAGUUAGACAUCCUCUAAUUGUUGUUGCAAGUUUAACGUGGCUGAUUUGGGUUUCUAGCAAGAACGCCUUCUUACCUACGUGACAGCCACAACGAUGAUAUGCCAAAGAUAUUUACCCUUCAUAAGGACCCUUUUCAUCAAAUCCAAUCCGACUAGAGUAGGAGAGACAGACACCCGCUAGCCACCUUUAUGCACGGUGUGCAUGUCUGUCGGUGCAACCAGUCUCACGUAAGCAUACGUGUACAGUUGGUCCGGGCCGCUUCAUCCCACAAUACCGCCGGAAAAGAAUAAGACUAGCAGAGGCAAGAAAAUUUACAAAUCAUCACCCACAACUUUUGUGUUCUACUCGUGCAUAGAAUCUACGCAUAGAAANNNNNNNNNNNNNNNNNNNNNNNNNNNNNNNNNNNNNNNNNNNNNNNNNNNNNNNNNNNNNNNNNNNNNNNNNNNNNNNNNNNNNNNNNNNNNNNNNNNNUAGCAACGCUUCCGCUUAGCGAUCUUCAAAGGUAUGAAGAUGCUCUUCCUCUCUCUCGUUGCUGAUCUCUCCAUAGGAAGAUCUGAAUAUGCGUAGGAAAAUUUUGAAUUUAUGCUACGUUACCCAACAGAAUACAUAAGCUAGGCUUUCCACAUUGUGUAUGGGAGAGCUACUUGAAGACUUCAUCAUGUCCUGCCUUCAACUUGAGCCAAGAAGGAACAACAACAUCAAGCUCAAGUGAAAGGGCUAACUCAAAGGUAUCAGUUCCUUUGACGUUAGUUGUGCGGAGUGAUGAUCAGCGAAUAAAAGUAUACACUCAAGUAUGGAUCAUCAGUACCCCUUUUAUGAUUCUUGAGUCUUUAGGGAUCCAGCACUAUUAAGAGGGGAUUCUUGAGUCUUUAGGGAUCCCGCACUAUUAAGAGGGGAUCACAGGUUUUGCGAUGAACUUGCUCAAACUACAUCUCCACUGUUCUGCUCGGACCACAUCUCCACUGCUCUGCUGUUAUUUGAAAACAUAACCAUUGCCUCGGACAUCCGGCUUCCUCUGGACGUCCGAGGGCCGGACGACCGACUGCUUAGGAAAUCCGGAAUCCUAUACAAGAGAAAUCAGAGCCAUAUAACUCGGACUUCCGGCUCCCUCCGGACGUCCGAGGCCCGGAUAUCCGACCAGCUUCGGAAUUCUGGAACUAUGCACCAGAGAAACUUGAGCCAUAUAACUCGGACUUCCGGCUCCCUCCGAACGUCCGAGGGCCGGUCAAGGGUCGGACGACCGACCAGCUUCGGAAAUCCGGAGCCCUGCACCAGAAGGACAUGAGCUCUAUAACUCGGAUUUCCGGCUCCCUCCGGACGCCCGAGGGUCGGACGUCCGUCCCCUUUCGGAAAUCCGGAACCUCGCACCAGAAGAAGUUGAGUCGUAUAACUCGGAUUUCCGGCCUUCUCCGGACGUCCGGUCGCUGUUCAAUUCACAGUAUUUUUAGUGAUAUCUAUAGGCCUCGGACGACCGACCCCUGUCGGACGUCCGACCCCUCGCGGACGCCCGGACUUCCGGAAAAUGUCGGAUGUCCGGACCCUGUGUGACUUAAAAUGUCCCCAACGGCUGUUUUUCUCUCCCCACUAUAAAUACCCCCCCUCCCACUUCGUGAGAGGGCAGCCCAACACAGCCUUAUCCUCNNNNNNNNNNNNNNNNNNNNNNNNNNNNNNNNNNNNNNNNNNNNNNNNNNNNNNNNNNNNNNNNNNNNNNNNNNNNNNNNNNNNNNNNNNNNNNNNNNNNUAAAUUGUUUUUAAGAAAUGUCUUGAUUGUUGUGUGCAAGGUUUGCACGAGGGCAAUGAUCCAUGAUUGAUGUGGAGCUUUAUGCUUUGAGGUACUUAAUACAUGAGGUAAGCAUGCUUAUCAAAUGAUUCUUGAUGAAGUAUGAAAACCAUUUUUGCAUAAUUUGGGAGCUCAAUCUAAGUUGGUUAGAAAAUCAUUGAUUCGAGCAUGGUCGGGAUCCUGCUGUGGGCCCAUGAGGAUACUACCAAACUGGGUAUAGAGAAUGUGCUAAGUUUAUAGUAAAAAAAUGCUAAGUUAAGUCCGCGCAUGAUGUGCUUGGGAAAGAGCUGGGAUGCAAAUUCAAACUCAUAUGAAAAAUGCCAUUGAUGAUGCUCAACCACCAAACAUACUAGAAUAAUUUCUAAUUCGUGAAAGAUGCGAUGAAAUCUUCCCAUGAAUUCCUGAAACUGAUGGGUCGGGGAACUACUAGUCCUACUAUAAACUUACUCUGAUGUCACCGGAUAUCUGCGUUAUUAACUUCUACACAACUAGCGGCAAGUUAGGCCUUCACAAUGCGCUCUUGUUUCACCGGUACUGCUCGGCCUAAUAAUAGAUUUGUGUCACUUAACAGGAGAAACAUGAAGGAAAAUCUAGCCUUGCCAAGCGACUGCAUGUUGUUUCCUUUUCACUUGGUGACACUGCAGAAUUUUUGUAUGGUGAUGUUUGAUACAUUGAUUAGAUAAGGCUUCCAAGAUUAAAUUUGAAUCCACUGAUGUUCUGAUAUUUGAUGGUUAAUCAAAGAAAAUAUUCCAUGGGGUCUCCAGCAUUUCACCGAAAAGUGUACCGCUCUGGGUGACGGACAAGGCAACUCAUCGACUCGGGUGCCUGAACCUCACAUUCAGGUAGCACAAGUAUGAGCGCCUGGGGCUAGGGCAUGCCGCAUUCAGCGCCUCCCUUUAGGCAUAGUGCANNNNNNNNNNACAUGUUGUUUCCUUUUCACUUGGUGACACUGCAGAAUUCUUGUAUGGCGAUGGUUGAUACAUUGAUUAGAUAAGGCUUCCAAGAUUAAAUUUGGCUCCACUGAUGUUCUAAUAUUUGAUGGUUAAUCAAGGAAAAUAUUCUGGGUGACGGACAAGGCAACUCGUCGACUCGGGUGCGUGAACCUCACAUUCAGGCAGCAUAAGUAUGAGCGCUUGGGGCUAGGGCAUGCCGCAUUCAGCGCCUCCCUUUAGGCAUAGUGCAAGUAUAGGGUACUCCCUCAUGUUGUAUAUAUAUAUAUAUUUGAAAACCAUUUUCCACAAAGGAGGAUNNNNNNNNNNNNNNNNNNNNNNNNNNNNNNNNNNNNNNNNNNNNNNNNNNNNNNNNNNNNNNNNNNNNNNNNNNNNNNNNNNNNNNNNNNNNNNNNNNNNUACCGGUGAAACAAGAGCGCAUUGUGAAGGCCUAACUUGCCGCUAGUUAUAUGUAAAGAUCAUACGGAUGAUGAAAUAAAAUAUGCUUUGUUUCAAAUGGGUACUACGAAAGCACCUGGACGGAUGGUUUUCCGGCUCUUUUUUACCAAAUACAUUGGGAUUUUCUACAGAAUGAAAUUUGUGGUGCUGUCCGAAGUUUUUUGAAUGGAGGAUCUAUUCCGAUUGGUUUUUGUGAUUCAGUGAUUGUGCUCAUUUCCAAGAUUAAUAAUCCCCAACAUCUCAAGAAUUUUCGACCAAUCAGCUUGUGUAAUGUUCUUUAUAAACUCGCCUCAAAGGUACUCUCAAACCGACUUAAAGUUUUUCUGCCAGAGGUGAUUUCCGAGAAUCAAAGUGCUUUCAUUCCUGGUCGUCUUAUCACGGACAAUGCUCUUAUUGCUUUCGAAAGUUUACAUACGAUAUGAUCUCAGAGAGUGAAGAAGCCUUACUUUGCUCUCAAGAUUGAUAUGAUGAAGGCAUAUGACCGUGUGGAGUGGAAUUUUCUUCGUGCAUGUCUCUCGUUUGGGUUUCGCUGAUUCCUGGAUAAGCUCGGUGAUGAGGUGUGUUACUUCUACUCGUUAUGCUGUUUGGGUUAAUGGAGAUCUCACAGAACCUGUGUGUUGGGGAACGUCGCAUGGGAAACAAAAAUUUUCCUACGCGCACGAAGACCUAUCAUGGUGAUGUCCAUCUACGAGAGGGGAUGAGUGAUCUACGUACCCUUGUAGACCGUACANNNNNNNNNNNNNNNNNNNNNNNNNNNNNNNNNNNNNNNNNNNNNNNNNNNNNNNNNNNNNNNNNNNNNNNNNNNNNNNNNNNNNNNNNNNNNNNNNNNNUAUAUAUAUAUAUAUUUGAAAACCAUUUUCCACAAAGGAGGAUAAACCCGGCUCUGCAUCAAGCGAUACACACAACCAUCUUUAUUAUAUUAUAAAAUAUUGUAUUGUAAAAUAAUUACAUAAAUCAACCAAAACACCUUUCUACCAAAAAUUGUGGCCCUGCCUAGAACUACCUAGAAGGUGGCCCUACCUAGAAGGUUGAUGAUGUGUCCUGACCUCGCGUCAACACACAUCAUAAAAUCCGAUGACCUCAUGAAGCCACCCGCCGGCUAGUCGGGAGCACCGGCCGAGAAAACCCUCUACAUGCAUUGCAUGCACACGCUAUAGAAUCCGUCACCUCCAUCUUCUGUCCUCCCAUCUUCAAGAGUAAUCAAUGCAUUGACCUUGACAGGCCCAUUUGCCGACGAGCCACCACGACACCAGACAAUGCCACUCUCCUACGUGCUUUCAUCAAAUGGUAUCCAGCGCUGAGACCCCACGGCACCUUGCCGCCAAGACUCGUCGUCGUCGAUAUUGUAGAAGCCAUGCCUCUAUACCUUGAUGGCCGCACGAGAAGCAUGCAGAAACCUGUGUGUCCUGCUACCGAAUCUAAACACUUGUGUCUCCAGCUGAUGUUUACGUCCUAAAAGAGGAUGGCCCCAUGAGGGUGACGAUGCAGGAGCCUCGCCAUCAUUUGAUUCGGAAUCCGAAUUUAGGGUUUCCCCGGGGCUCACAGGAAAUGUGAAUCUUCCCACAACACCUCCAACGAGGUAACGACACCCAUGGGUGCUACCAUCGACGGCUACGGAUGAGGCCGUACCAAGCUUUUGUUGGCAAACUUGCGCCCAUAGACGCCUGGUCCACCAGAUCCUCCUCCACCAUCACCAGCAUGCCCCAUGGGGACGACCUUGCCGCCCGGAAAGCACCCAUGAUCGGAUCUGAUGUGGUGCCACAGCCCCAAAUUGCCGCACUGCCUUGGUGGGUUGUCGACGGUGGAAGAAUACUCAUCGCUGCGCCAUCGACUCUGGACGAUGCACACGUUGAAGCAGGACACCCACGGGGAUCUCCCCAGUGACCGCGUCACGGAGCCACGACGAUGGAAGGCCCCGCCACCGCCAUCAUCUGCCACAUGGCUGUUGCCCGCGGCGCCCCGUCAACAAAGAGGAGAGGGCGGCGGCAGCCGAAGCCUUAGAUUCGAUUAGGAGGGAGGGAGGGAGCCGGGAGGAGAUCGGAUUGAGAGGGAUCUAUUUGAAAACUUGUGUUCACCUCUAUUAUGUGUGUUUAUCAUGCACAAUGUAAUCUCCUAUCAUGGGUGUUUAGCAGCAUGAGUUGAAACAGUUGAAUAGGCAACCCACAAACUAGAUCAAACUCUAUCUAAAAUUAUCCAAUUCCACCAACUAAUUAGGAAAGCUGGAGCAAAAAUCUUGCACGGAAAAAGCAUGUGAAAACAGCAACAAUUCAGUGCUUAUUAUAACUUUUAUUUCUAGCUCGGAACCUCUCGAGGGUGAGUGACCUCUCUUGUUUAGCGUCGUCGAGUCGUAUACCCUCGAGAACCACGGUGAGCCCCAGGAUGAAAGCAUGGUCGACGCCUUCGUUGACACAGAUGUUAUACUUAAUCGGACACAAGACCAUCCCCCCAGCUUUCCAUAUAAGCAACGGCGGCGGCGGUGAGGGUGACGAUGCGGUUAGUCCAAGGGUACCAAGGGCGGAAGCUGACGAAAUCGCUGCGCCUCUCACGACGAUGAAGAAGAGCAGGCAGGGCCGGGCCCGUAAAAUUCGAGGCCCUAUGCUCGACUCUCAAACGGGCCUAUCGCGCCUUUCAAAAAAAUAGGACUAUAAUAAUCGAGACGACAAUCUCUUACAUAACUCAUGUCUAAGGUUGAAUUAAAUCCUUCAUUCUUNNNNNNNNNNUGACGAUGCAGUCAGUCCCAGGGUACCGGAGCGGACGCUGAUGAAAUCGUUGCGCCUCUCACCGUCGACGUGCACGUCGAUGUCUCCCGUUUUGCUCAGCGAAGGCCGCACGACGAUAGAGAAGAGCAGGUAGGGCCGGGCCGGUAAAAUUCGGGGCCCUGUGCUAGACUCUCAAACGGGCUUGUCGCGGNNNNNNNNNNNNNNNNNNNNNNNNNNNNNNNNNNNNNNNNNNNNNNNNNNNNNNNNNNNNNNNNNNNNNNNNNNNNNNNNNNNNNNNNNNNNNNNNNNNNGGAAAAUGUGGUUUUAGCAAGGCACUACAAUGCUAUAUUGGAAAAUGGUGAUGAAAUUAUUAUCAAAAUAUUUAGUAAUAAUUCUAGAAAAGGUAUCAAGGAGCUUGGCAAUGAAGUAAAUUUGGUUACCAAAGUGCAGGUACCGGAGUCUAGUUAUUAUUGGCCAUUGCAUUUAUGAAGAGGAGAAGCUCAUCGUAUAUUGAUACUUACCAAACAAUGGCCNNNNNNNNNNGAAAAUAUUUAGUAAUAAUUGUGGAAAAAGGUAUCGAGGAGCUUGGCAAUGAAGUAAAUUUGGUUACCAAAGUGCAGGUACCGGAGUCUAGUUAGAAUUAUUGGUCAUUGCAUUCAUGAAGAGGAGAAGCUCAUUGUAUAUUAGUACUUACCAAACAAUGGCCAAUGCCAUCCUUUUUAUAUGUUCUGUUUCCUUAUAACUUGAAAUUCUUAGAUUGCGAAAUGAUAUUGUUUAUAACAAACUUAUGCUUUGUGGACAUAUAAUGAUGCUACAAUAAGAGCUAUUGCUUGAUUCGCCGACUAUAUUCAAUACAAUUAGUGGGAUCGCAAGAGGACUUUUGUAUUUCCAAAUGCAAAUAUAGUUCACAAAGACUUCUGAGCAGGCAAAACAUGUUGGAUGGAUAAAUGAAUCGUGAGAUACCAGAAUAUGCCAUGGCAAGGAUCUUUGAUUGAAACCAGUAACAAGAAAACACAAAUCAUGUUGCCCCCCCCCCGGGGGGGGGGGGUCUAGAGCCCCCACCCAUGUCAUUGCCAUUUAAUUAUUUUAGUUAUGUUGGUGUUACAUGCAACAAAAUGUGUUUAGUAGUCAAUGCAGGGGGCAAUUUUCUCCUAUUACAUUAUGUGUGCAAAAUGUAGUUUUAGCAAGGCACUACAAUGCUAUAUUGGAAAAUGGCGAUGAAAUUAUUAUCAAAAUAUUUAGUAAUAAUUCUAGAAAAGGUAUCGAGGAGCUUGGCAAUGAAGUAAAUUUGGUUACCAAAGUNNNNNNNNNNCAAAAUAUUUAUUAAUAAUUCUAGAAAAAGGUAUCGAGGAGCUUGACAAUGAAGUAAAUUUGGUUACCAAAGUGCAGGUACCGGAUUCUAGUUAGAAUUAUUGGCCAUUGCAUUCAUGAAGAGGAGAAGCUCAUCGUAUAUUGAUACUUACCAAACAAUGGCCAAUGCCAUCCUUUUUAUAUGUUAUGUUUCCUUAUAACUUGAAAUUCUUAGAUUGCGAAAUGAUAUUGUUUANNNNNNNNNNAUAUAUUGAUACUUACCAAACAAUGGCCAAUGCCAUCCUAUUUAUAUAUUAUGUUUACUUAUAACUUGAAAUUCUUAGAUUGCGAAAUGAUAUUGUUUAUAACAAACUUAUGCUUUGUGGACAUAUGAUGAUGCUACAAUAAGAGCUAUUGCUUCAUUGGCCGACUAUAUUCAAUAAAAUUAGUGGGAUCGCAAGAGGACUUUUCUCCAAAUGCAAAUAUAGUUCACAAAGACUUCUGAGCGGGCAAAAUAUGUUGGAUGGAUAAAUGAAUCGUGAGAUACCAGAAUAUGCCAUGGCANNNNNNNNNNGUAUCUCCAAAUGCAAAUAUAGUUCACAAAGACCUCUGAGCAGGCAAAACAUGUUGGAUGGAUAAAUGAAUCCUGAGAUACUAGAAUAUGUCAUGGCAAGGAUCUUUGAUUGAAACCAGUAACAAGAAAACACAAAUCAUGUUGCCGGGGGGGGGGGGCUAGAGCCCCCGCCCAUGUCAUUGCGAUUUAAUUAUUUUAGUUAUGUUGGUGUUACAUGCAACAAAAUGUGUUUAGUAGUCAAUGCAAGGGGAAAUUUUCUCCUAUUCCAUUAUGUGUGGAAAAUGUGGUUUUAGCAAGGCACUACAAUGCUAUAUUGGAAAAUGGNNNNNNNNNNUUGAGACAUUUUAGAUAACUAUGCAAUCCUUACACUAUCAUAUUCAUGGUGUAGUUGAACUCAACAUCUUGCGUGUCUCGCUGUUGAAACGAUUGAAACAGUGGCUAUAUGUCGCCACAAUAUGUGGUGGAAGGUGAAUUUUCCAUCCAAUUGGACAUCUAUAGCUUCGAUAUCUUUAUGUAUCAUAAAAUUACAUCAAUUCAAUAAAAAUAGAAUAACUUGAUUCAGUUAUUCUAUUGGCUCAUACUUGGGAACUUUGGGAAGAUGGAAAAGCAACCAAAUUUGUGGACCAUUUGUUAUAUUAUAUUUAAUAUGGGAUAAAGUUAUCUUUGAGAUAUGUGUCAAUUAUCUUUAGUCUUUAAUAUGGAUCUUCAUGGGUUCUAUGAAAAUAAGACAUGGCGACGGGGGGGGGGGGNNNNNNNNNNNNNNNNNNNNNNNNNNNNNNNNNNNNNNNNNNNNNNNNNNNNNNNNNNNNNNNNNNNNNNNNNNNNNNNNNNNNNNNNNNNNNNNNNNNNGGUCUAGUCCAUCACAUGAUUCUCCUAAUGAUGUGAUCCCGUUAUCAAGUAACAACACUUGCCUAUCGCCAGGAAACCUUGGUCAUCUUUGAUCAACGAGCUAGUCAACUAGAGGCUUACUAGGGACAGUGUUUUGUCUAUGUAUCCACACAAGUAUUGUGUUUCCAAUCAAUACAAUUAUAGCAUGGAUAAUAAACGAUUAUCAUGAACAAAGAAAUAUAAGAAUAACUAAUUUAUUAUUGCCUCUAGGGCAUAUUUCCAACAGUCUCCCACUUGCACUAGAGUCAAUAAUCUAGUUCACAUCACCAUGUGAUUCCAACGAAUCCAACACCCAUAUAGUUAUGGGGUCUGAUUACGUCUUGCUCAUGAGAGAGGUUUUAGUCAACAGUUCUGAAACUUUCAGAUCCGUGUGUUCUUUACAAAUCUUGAUGUCAUCUUAUAGAUGCUGCUACUAUGUGCUAUUCGGAAAUACUCCAAAUAUCUACUCUACUAUACGAAUCCGUUUCACUACUCAUAGUUAUUCGGAUUAGUGUCAAAGCUUGCAUCGACGUAACCCUUUACGACGAAAUUUUUAACCACCUCCAUAAUCGAGGAAAAUUCCUUAGUCCAUCAGUUACUAAGGAUAAAUUUUGACCACUGCUAGUGAUUCAAUCAUGGAUCACUCUCUGCUAGUGAUUCAGUCAAGGCACACAUCAGGUGCGGUACCCAGCAUGGCAUACUUCAGAUUCUACGGCCAAGGCAUAGAAGACGACCUUCGUCUAUUCUCUUUAUUCUGCCGGGGUCGGGUUUUGAGUCUUACUCAAAUUAACACCUCACAACGCAACCAAGAACUCCUUCUUUGCUGAUCUAUUUUGAACUCCUUCAAAAAGUUGUCAAGGCAUGCAUCUUGUUGAAAUUUCUAUUAAGCGCUUUCGAUCUAUCUCCAUAGAUCUUUGAUGCUCAACGGUCAAGUAGCGCAAUCCAGGUAUUCCUUUGAAAACUCCUUUCAAACAACCUUGUAUGAUUUACAGAAAUUCUACAUUACUUCUGAUUCACAAUAUGGCAACCACAUAUAAGUAUCAGAAAUUCUGUAGUGCUCCCACUCACUUCUUUGGAAAUACAAGUUUCUCAUAAACCUUGUACAAACCCAAAAUCUUUGAUCAUCUCAUCAAAGUGUAUAUUCCAACUCCGAGAUGCUUGCACCAGUCCAUUGAAGGAUCGUUGGAGCUUGCAUACUUGUUAGUAUCUUUAGGAUCGACAAAACCUUCUGGUUGUAUCACAUACAAUAUUUGCUCAAGGAAACCGUCGAGGAAACAAUGUUUUGACAUCCUAUGUGCAAUAUUUCAAAAAUAAUGCAACAACUACUAACAUAAUUCUAACAGACUUUUAGCAUCGUUAUGAGUGAGAAAGUCUCACCAUAGUCAACUGUUUGAUCAUGUCGGAAACAUCUUUGCGACAAGUCGAGCUUUUCUUAAUAGUGACUUAUCACNNNNNNNNNNAUCGUCGUGUGUCUUCCUUUUAAAGAUCCAUCUUUACUCAAUAGUCCUACGACCAUCAAGUAGUUCUUCCAAAGUCUACACUUUGUUUUCAUACAUGGAUCCUCUCUCGGAUUUCAUGUCCUCCAGCCAUUUGUCGGAAUCCGGGCCCACCAUCGCUUCUCCACAGCUCGUAGGUUCAUUAUUGUUCAACAACAUGACCUCCAAGACAGGGUUACCAUACCACUCUGUAGUAGUACGCGACCUUGUCGACCUACAAGGUUUGUAGUAACUUGAUCCGAAGCUUAAUGAUCACCAUCAUCAGCUUCCACUUCAAUUGGUGUAGGCGCCACAGGAACAACUUCCUGUGCCCUGCUACACACUAGUCGAAGUGAUGGUUCAGUAACCUCAUCAAGUUCUAUCACCCUCCCACUCAAUUAUUUCGAGAGAAACCUUUCCUCAAGAAAGAACCCGUUUCUAGAAACAAACACUUUGCUUCCGGAUCUAAGAUAGGAGAUGUAUCCAACUGUUUUGGAUAUCUUAUGAAGAUGCAUUUAUCCGCUUUGGGUUCGAGCUUAUCAGACUGAAACUUUUUCACAUAAACAUCGCAGCUCCAAACUUUCAAGAAACGACAACUUAGAUUUCUCUAAACCUUAGUCUAUACUGUGUCAUCUCAACGAAAAUACGCGGUGCCCUAUUUAAAGUGAAUGCGGUUGUCUCUAAUGCAUAACCCAUAAACGAUAGUGGUAAUUCGAUAAGAGACAUCAUAGUAUGCACCAUAUCAAAUAGGGCGUGGCUAAGACGUUCAGACACAUCAUCACACUAUGGUGUUCCAGGUGGCAUGAACUGUGAAACAAUUUCCACAUUGUCUUAACUGCGUACCAAAACUCGUAACUCAGAUAUUCAUCUCUAUGAUCAUAUCGUAGACUGUUUAUCCUCUUGUCACGACGAUCUUCACUCUAAAAUAGCUUUGAAAUUUUCAACAUUUCAGACUUGUGAUUCAUUAAGUAAAUACUCUUGUAUCUACUCAAAUCGUCAUUGAAGUAAGAACAUAAUGAUAUCCACUGCGUGCCUCAGCACCCAUUGGACUGCAUACAUCAAAAUGUAUCACUUNNNNNNNNNNGUAUCAUCUCAAUGAAAACAAGGCCUUGUUCAUGUGGUAUGAUUUGCAUGUCACUAGUGAUUCAAAAUCAAGUUAGUAUAAAGAUCCAUCAGCAUGGGGCUUCUUCAUGCAAUUUAUACCAACAUGACUCAAGCGGCAGUGCCACAAGUAAGUUGUACUAUAAUCAUUACCUCGUAUCUUUUUGCACCAAUAUCAUGAACAUGUGUAACACUACGAUCGAGAUUCAAUAAACCAUUGAAGGUGAUUAUUCAAGCAAAUAGAGUAACCAUUAUUCUCUUUAAAUGAAUAAUUGUAUUGCAAUAAACACGAUCCAAUCAUGUUCAUGCUUAACGCAAGCACCAAAUAACAAUUAUUUAGAUUUAACACCAAUCCCGAUGGUAGAGGGAGUGUGCGACGUUUGAUCAUAUCAACCUUGGAAACACUUCCAACACGUAUCGUCACCUCGCCUUUAGCUAGUCUCCGUUUAUGCCGUAGCUUUCAUUUCGUGUUACUAAUCACUUAGCAACCGAACCGGUGUCCAAUACCCUUGUGCUACUAGGAGUACUAGUAAAUUACACAUCAACAUCAUGUAUAUCAAAUAUACUUCUUUCGACUUUUGCCAGCCUUCUUAUCUACCAAGUAUCUAGAGUUGCUCCGCCUCAGUGACCGUUCCCCUCAUAACAGAAGCACUUAGUCCCGGGCUUGGGUUUAAUCUGGGGUCUCUUCAUUAGUGCAGCAACUGCUUUGCCGUUUCACGAAGUAUCCCUUCUAGCCCUUGCCUUUAUCGAAACUUAGUGGUUUUACUAACCAUCAACUAUUGAUGCUCCUUCUUGAUUUCUACUUUCGUAGUGUCAAACAACGCGAAUCGCUCAAGGAUCAUUGUAUCUAUCCUUGAUAUGUUAUAGUUCAUCACGAAGCUCUCACAGCUUGGUGGCAGUGACUUUGGAGAACCAUCACUAUCUUAUCUGGAAGAUCAACUCCCACUUGAUUCAAGCGAUUGUCGUACUCAGAUAAUCUGAGCACACACUCAACGAUUGAGAUUUUCUCCUUUACUUCGUGGAAAAAGAAUCUUGUCGGAGGUCUCAUACCUCUUAACAAGGGCACAAGCAUGAAAUCACAAUUUCAUCUCUUUAGAACAUCUCUUCUGUUUCGUGACGUUUCAAAACGUCUUCGGCGCCUUGCUUCUAAGCCAUUAAGUAUUUUGCACUGAACUAUCGUGUAGUCAUCAGAAACAUGUAUGUCGGAUGUUCACAACAUCUACAGACGACGCUCGAGGUGCAGCACAGCGAGUGGUGCAUUAAGGACAUAAGCCUUCUACGCAGCAAAAUGGACAAUCCUCGGUUUUACAGACUCAAUCUGCAAAGUUUGCUACCAUAAACUUUCAACUAAAUUUUCUCUAGGAACAUAUAAAAACAGUAGAGCUAUAGCGCAAGCUACAUCGUAAUUCGCAAAGACCAUUAGACUAUGUUCAUGACAAUUAGUUCAAUUAAUCAUAUUACUUAAGAACUCCCACUCAAAAAGUACAUCUCUCUAGUCAUUUAAGUGGUACAUGAUCCAAAUCCACUAUCUCAAGUCCGAUCAUCACGUGAGUCGACAAUAGUUUCAGUGGUAAGCAUCUCUAUGCUAAUCAUAUCAACUAUACGAUUCAUGCUCGACCUUUCGGUCUCAUGUGUUCCGAGGCCAUGUCUGCACAUGCUAGGCUCGUCAAGCUUAACCCGAGUGUUCCGCGUGUGCAAUUGUUUUACACCCGUUGUAUGUGAACGUUGAGUCUAUCACAUCCGAUCAUCACGUGGUGUCUCGAAACGAAGAACUGUCGCAACGGUGCACAGUCGGGGAGAACACAACUUCGUCUUGAAAUUUUAGUGAGAGAUCACCUCAUAAUGCUACUGUCGUUCUAAGCAAGAUAAGGUGCAUAAAGGAUUAACGUCACAUGCAAUUCAUAAGUGACAUGAUAUGGCCAUCAUCAUGUGCUUCUUGAUCUCCAUCACCAAAGCACCGGCACGAUCUNNNNNNNNNNNNNNNNNNNNNNNNNNNNNNNNNNNNNNNNNNNNNNNNNNNNNNNNNNNNNNNNNNNNNNNNNNNNNNNNNNNNNNNNNNNNNNNNNNNNCAGCCCAAGAAGGCCCUAUGCGCCAUAGGAAGAAAAUCAAAGAGAAAAAAAAAGAGGAGGUGGGAAAGGAAAGAAGGACUCCACCCACCAAACCAAGUAGAACUCGGUUUGGGGGGGGGGAGACCUUCCCCCUUUGGCUCGGCCGACCCCUUGGGGCUCCUUGAGCCCCAAGGCAAGGCCCCCCCUCUCCCACCNNNNNNNNNNGAAAAAAAGGAGGAGGUGGGAAAGGAAAGAAGGACUCCACCCACCAAACCAAGUAGGACUCGGUUUGGGGGGGGAGACCUUCCCCCUUUGGCUCGGCCGACCCCCUUGGGGCUCCUUGAGCCCCAAGGCAAGGCCCCCCCUCUCCCACCUAUAUAUACGGAGGUUUUAGGGCUGAUUUGAGACGACUUUUCCACGGCAGCCCGACCACAUACCUCCACGGUUUUUCCUCUAGAUCGCGUUUCUGCGGAGCUCGGGCGGAGCCCUGCUGAGACAAGGUCAUCACCAACUCCCGGAGCGCCGUCGCGCUGCCGGAGAACUCUUCUACCUCUCCGUCUCUCUUGCUGGAUCAAGAAGGCCGAGAUCAUCGNNNNNNNNNNNNNNNNNNNNNNNNNNNNNNNNNNNNNNNNNNNNNNNNNNNNNNNNNNNNNNNNNNNNNNNNNNNNNNNNNNNNNNNNNNNNNNNNNNNNGGGUGGGGGGAGGGGUAGUGCGAGGGGAGGGGGGCGCACACCUUCAUGGACGGCAAAAUUUUGGAACAUGGAGAAAGCGAUAUAUUACCUCCUCCAACCUCCAAAUAUGGAGCCUGUGAGUUCAAUUUGGACCAGUCCAAAAAAUAAAAUAGGGCGAUGAAAUGCGGAAGCCAAAUUGACUAGACCCACUUUUUGGCCAAAGUCAUCAUACGAUCGGUUAUUAUGUUGAUCAAGAUGUUAUAGCGACUAUGCUAUAGUUACUUUCAGUGAACACACUGCCCCUGAUGUCGCGGUGCAACUAUUUGACAACAAGUGUUAACUCAGAUACGAUUAAUUAGCUCUUGGGGAAGUACAAACUCAUCACGCCGACCACCGGUGAUAGGUUGGUCUUAGGCCAGCCAUAUGACCGCCAGAGCUUAAGUGCCCCCCUCCAUUAUAAGACGAAGGGAGUAUUAAGCAAUCACAUCGAUUAGUGAUACUCCUUGUAUUUAUUUUGCAAUUGAGACACAUAAUAGGUUCAUGAAAUUAUAUAGUUUAAUUAUUGCCCCCUUUUCAUUUUCCACUAAGCAUCAGGGAGCCACAUCUUCACUGUAUUCGCACACAAACACGUCACCGUGUAGGCGUGUACCCUAAACAGGGUGAUGCACCCCAUCUCACGUCGAAGGAGCCUCACCGAAAGCGCGAUUUGCAAGACAACCGACAAGAAUUUUUGUAGACCCGAUGCCCCCACACACCCAGAACGGACCGCGUCAGGAAGUGCGGUGGCUAUGGGCUUCCCUAGGUCGGCGAAGCCGCUCCAAGAACCUCGGUAUUCACAGCUCUCUAACACGAAGAACAACGAAGAACGAGGGAGAAAAAACAUGGAAGAGACAAAAGUAGAUGGAAAAAAGUAAUAGUUGUCAUUGUGUGUUGUUAUUCAACCGGCCCUUAUCUUUUGCAUAUAUAUGAGACGACUGGACUUUCUGUAUCAGAAAAAGACUCUAAUCCUAUCUAAAACAUUAAAAGUUAACCUAAUUCGGACUACGAGGGUCGGAACCUCCGGUCGGCCCAUAACUUCUGGGCUAAAAUUACAUCAAGUAGUCCUCUUGCACCGCUCCCGCAGGUCGCAUAUUGCUUCGGAUCGCGAUGUCCCAAAAAUCAAAGUUGUAGAUCUUGAAACGGAGAAAAAAAAUUAUCUCUUGAACACCUUUUCAUCUGAGAUCGUCUUGAGGUUGAAUUUGGACCCAUAAAUCUGCAAAUAAUGUUGAAUGCCAGUUUUUCCGGACGUACCUCGUGCAAAUUUUAGGUUUAGCCCGGAACCUCCAUGGAGGUUUCGGCCGGAACUUCCGUGGCAGACUUAUUUUUCCAUGCCAAAAUCUCAUGUCAACACACUGCAAGUCCAAAAGAACUAACGUCAGGGAUAUGGAAAGCAUGGAUUGUGAUCCCCUAGAAAACUUGGAGAUGGAACCAUAGUCCGCUUCAGGUUGGAAGUACAUUAGUUUGACCACAAGCUAAGCUAAGCCCACAUCGCACGGUAGUAAUGCAAAUACACUUAUGUUCAGGGGAAAUGAUUAGUAUCCACCGGUGGAUUACUCCCAAACGUCCACCGCCUUCUUCUUCUACCACUUGUUCAUGCAGCCCUAUUUGUCCACCAUGCCUUGCAGAAGACCAUCUAAGAUAGUUGCAGAGCUUCUGCUUGCACGGACGUCUUUUAUGAAAAGAUCUCUAUAAAUUAUUGCGACAACAACUCUUUUGCAGAACAAUUCUACAACAACAACUUUGUUGCAGAAUAAUUCUGCAACGAGAUCUUUGUUGCAAAAAUAUUAUGUAUUUCUGUAAUUUUUUUGCAACAAGACUUUUGUCGUCAAAAUUUCCAUGGCAAGACUUCUAUUGCAAGAAAAAAAACUGUAAAAGACGUUUGUUGGAAAAAACUACGACUUACCUAUAUUGUAAAAAAUUCUACAACUUUGACCCGCGUUACAAAAAAAUUCAUGCAACAUUACUCGUGUUAUAGAAAAAAAAUCUACAACACGGCCUGUGUUGCAAUGAUAGAGGGUGAUGCUCGGCCACUCAAUCCAUAAAAUCCGACGACUUGUAGCGCCUCCGUCACCUACCCUGCAUGACACGUCCAAGUGAGGAUCCGUAUACCGUUCAUCGUCGAACACGUGUCUAUAACAGGGACUAUGUUUCUAAAACAUAUACGAUGUUGCAAUGAUUUUAUAUUUUACAACAAAACCUGUGUGCGAAAAAAUUCUACAACAAUACCUCAGUUAGAAAAAAUAUGCUACAAAACCUAAGUUGCAAAAAGAAUCUAACGUAAAAGUUAUUACAAAAAAAAUUAUGCAACAAAAACUAUGUUGCAGAAAUAAUUCUGUGUAACAAGACCCGUAUUCCAGUGGUGAAGACAUAAUCGGCUCGCACUAUGCGACAAAUCGGACGGCUCGUGACCCGGUGAUCUUUUAAAAAGAUCAGCCGAUGAUCACGUAGCACUUCCAUAUGUUCAGUCACGUAAUAUCAUGCAAAUCUUCCAUGCUGGUUAAUACUUUACACACAGGCAUCGCAAUCCCAAGCUUGGAAUCUAGUAUUACUCAAUAUACCUCCAAAAUGAAAACCUAAAUGGUCACAUGACGUGUAUUAAUCUCUACAUAACUCCAAUGUUUUAGAGAAUUCAGACGUGUUCCAGAAGUUGGUGGCUCUCCGAGAUAUAUACCUUUGUUGUGAGAUACAUAUCCUUCUCAAAUUGCUUGUACGCUGUCUUUUGGCCUGCACACUCCAGAUAACUCCAAGUUCUGACCUAAACGCACCUGUUAAAUAUCCACCCAACACCCAUGCACACUGUACUUCCCAGUCAUUCCGUCUUCUUCUCUCAGAUCUAAGCAAAAAGUCAGACGAACCACAACCACCGCCAUGGCAACCACCCUCACCACCGACCUCCGCCUCUCCAUCGCGCACCAAACCCGAUUCGGCCUCCGCCUCGCCUCCGCCAUCUCCUCCGACCCCGAGUCUGCUGCCACCAACGUUGCUUUCUCCCCGGUCUCGCUCCACGUCGCGCUCAGCCUCGUUGCUGCCGGCGCAAGGGGUGCCACCCGCGACCAGCUCGUAGCUGUACUCGGGGGCGGUGGUGCAGGAGAGGCCGAGGCACUCCAAUCACUUGCCGAGCAGGUGGUGCAGUUCGUGCUCGCCGACGCGUCCAUCAACUCCGGCCCGCGCAUCGCCUUCGCCAACGGUGUUUUCGUCGACGCGUCGCUCUCGCUCAAGCCAUCCUUCCAGGAGCUCGCC
rnacentral:lncRNA from 1 species